rnacentral:lncRNA from 1 species
UUUUUUUUUUUAGUUUUUUUCUUUCUUUUUUCCUUUAAUUUACUUUUUUUCUUUUUUUUCCUUUAAUUUAAUUUUUUUAUUUUUCAUUUUUUUCACUUAUUUUUUACUCGUUUCUUACACUUUUUUUCUUUCUUCUUUUUCAUCAUUUUUGUCUUUUUCAAUUUUAUUUCUUUGCAUUCUUUUUUGUUUGUAUUUUCAUUUUCCCCUUUUUCAUUCUUGGUUCGUCAUUUUUAUCAUUUUUCUUAUUUUUUUUAUAUUCUUUUCUUCAUCUUUUUUUGUCAUUGCAUUUGAUAUUUUUUUACUUUAAAUUUAUUUGUAUCAUACUAUAUAUUUUAAAUAAAUUUAUUAUUUUUAUUUGAAUAGUUUAGUUGUCAAUAUGUGCAAUUUAUCAUUUGUAUUUAUAUACAAAUAAGUAUAUGAAUUAAAAUCAACAUGGGUUGUGGUGCAGUGGAUGGGGCUGCUCCACCCUUAACCAGAGGUCGAGGGUACGACCUUGGUUAUGGAGAAAACUCUGUUAAGAGCGCUAUCACCUUAAUGGGCCCUGCAACACCCGAUCCAGAUUAGUCGGGGAUCCAAUACAGGCACUGGACACCGAAUGAAAAAAUAAAAAAAUAUAUGAAUUAAUUGUAUUUUCUUGAGACUAAAAUAUAUAUGGCUGAAGAUCCACAUAGCCCUUGAAUUAUAAAUGCUGGGCGAAUAUAAAUGAAUAUUUGUUUACGGUAUUUUCGUUAUCAUAAAAAAAAAAAAGGAAACCAAAAAUAGAAAAAAAGUAAAAAAGUAGAAAGAGAGGUAGAAGUUAGAGAUAGAAAAGAGAAAAAGGUGCAAAGAAAGAAUAGAAGAAAAAAAAUACAAAAAAAAUUAAAAAGAAAAAAUAAUGAAAAAGGAGAAAAGGAAAAAGAAAAAAGAUAAUGGUGAAAACAAAUAUACUGAGUGGUUAUGAUAUUUUAGUCAUCAUCCAUAAUUUGUACUCGACUUAAUCAUGUUCUUCGAAAAUAAAAAAUAUAUAAAAACAUAAAAUACAACCAAAAAAGAAAAAAAUGAAAAAGAAGUAGAAACAAAAAAAAUAAAAAAAUAGAAAAAAAGGAGACUAAAAAGGAAAAGAAAAAAAAUAAAAAAGAAAGAGAAACAAAGGGCAGAGAUAGAAAAGAGAAAAAAAAUGACAAAAAAUGAAAAAAGAAAAAAAACUAGAGGCUACAAAUAGAAGAGAGAGAAAAAAAAAACUUAAAAGAAAAAUUUAAAAAAUGAAAAAAAAGUCAAGUUGAUAUAAUAUAGAAGUUUUAAGUUUUUGAUUUACGAGUUAAAGUGGGUUGAAACCAGUUUUACUCAAUCCAUAUUUGAUCAAAUCCAUAUUUAUCCAUAUUUAUAUUGGGGAAUUACAAUCCAAACCAUUUUUGCUCGAUCCAUAUUUAACCCGUCCAAAUCCAAUCAAAUCCGUCCGUUUGCCACCCUUAGCAACAACAGCGUACAAACACAACACAACUACCUUAUCAAAAACAAACGGCAAUAAUUAACAAAAAAAAAUACCAUCAACUAUACUAAACCUUAGCCGCCUCCCUUCUUUUACCAUUUUUCCUCCCGUACAACCAUCUAUGGCAAAAAAAAUCAGAUGGAUUUCAUAGUUUUCAGACUGAGAUUCAUCAUUUUGAGCAAAAGAUUAACUCCCAACGUUUCUCUCCUUCAUUUCUCUUACUGAUUCAAUACAUCUCACUAUGAAUUUCAAAACUUUCAAGAAAGGAUUUCAAAUUCGGAUUUGAAAUCUAUGGAAAACCUUAAUUCCCCCCACCCCCCAAAAAAAAAAAUUCCCUAUAAAUAGAUAGUGAAGGAUAGAGGGAAAGGGGAAUAUUUUGGGGGGAAAACUUGGAGAUUCUGGAAGAGCAUUUCUCUAAUCUCAUAUAACUAAGAAAUUCUUUGAAAUCAAUUAAAUUUCGGCAAAAGUUAAGUGAAAUUCUGAUUUCAAAGUCGUCUUUAUCAACUCGUCAUCCCAAAUUCGCUGUCCCGAAAAAGGUCAGUUGUCAACCUCGUCCUAUCUUAUUUUUAAUUUUGUGUAGAAGAAAAGUGUUGUCACCCAAUAGUUCCAUUCUUUGUUAAAUUUUAUGUAUCUGAAUUUGUUUGUUACGUGUGAAAUGGUCGGCUGUUGUUUUGAAUAUCGUGCACAAAAUGCAUGUUUCUUGAUUUUGAAUUUGUGAUGAAGUUUAGUUAUCAUGAUUAUAUAUAUGUUUAAGUUGGAGUGUUCUGUGGAUAUUGAAGAUUUAUCUUUCCUUUUAUCUAUAAUAAAUCAAGUAUUUUGCAAAUUUUUAAUUCAAGUUCAAUCAUGUUUGAAGGUGUUUCCUUUAGAUACGAGAGUUUCAUUAGAAUAACUUGUUGUAGUUUUAAGUUAUCUCUUUAGUUGACUAAUUACAUGUUUACACAAACUUUUGUUAAUGACACUCUGCUGAUUAAAUUAACUACUGCUACAUGAGUGUUCCUUAUUUUAUGUUGGCUUCCUAUGAAUCAUUUUUUUUAAUGUAAGAUACCUAUAUUAAAGUAGUAAUUGAUGUGAUUAUGUCUUCAUUCUUUAAUACUAAUGACUUUCAUUUUUUUUUUUCAUUUUGAGACUUUUUUUUUAAUUAAGAUAAAGCCUAACUAUUUGGAAUAUCUAUUGAUAGUAGUUACUGAACCGUUUCGCCUAUUUAUGGUUUUCGAGACUCAUUUUCUUAAUAUGGACAUCAUAUUCUUUCCAAUUUGUGUGAUUGUUCUAUUCCUACUUUAACAGAUUUGCUUCUAAAAUUCAAGACGUCUUUCUCCUAUAUUAAUUUUUACUUUUCAAGAAUAUUGUUGUCAUAGAGUGUUUGAGUAAGAGAUCUUAAUCGUUUAAAAAGCUCCUCUCAUGUGUGGUUUCUAGUGAUAAUUGGGGUUUAUCCAUUUGUUUUACUUGAUUAGUCAUGCAAAGAAUAGUUGAAUAAAUUUCAAUCCUUAUCUUUUCUUUCUUUUACAUGAACCAAUCUUGAAUGAGUCCAAUCGUACUCCCUACUCCUUCGCAUUUGAUAUCCAUUGAGUCAAACCUCACCAAGUCCAUAAAUGAAUUAAUAUACCAUAAACAGUUGUUGAUAUGCACUGGUAUAUGACAAGUUUAUACGACAGAGUUACGGACUAUAUAGGUGAAAGGUGGCUGGUACAUAUCAAUUUAUGACACAUAAUAAAGCUGGAAGUGAGCAUACAUAUUUUUAUAAACUGAUAUACACAGUAUAUAUGGAAAGACGUGAAAAAACAGGGAUGGUAUACAUGUGGUAUAACACUGCAGAAAAAUGAGGCCCAUAGGCUCGAGAGCUUACUGAUGGGCCAAAGAAGGGCCCAACAUAAAUUCUUGUCUUCAUUCUUUGUAGUUUAUAAUUUAUUCUUGUUUAUUUGUAUUAACUAAUACUUUAAUCCAUUAAUAUACAUAAAUCCCUCAAGACAUUGUAAUUCUAUUUUGUCUUAGUUUUCUUUUACUUAAUUCAUAAUUUUUUCAUCUAAUUUUUCUUGUCUAAAACGGAUUAAAUUGGCUCCUUCAAUUUCCUCCUUAAAACAAAUCUUUUAAAGAUUAAGUAUUUUAUUCCAAAGUGGUAUUUGUUUCGUUCAUUUGAUUAAAUGGACUAUUUGGACUGAAGUAAUUUUCUUCAAACCUAAGAGACUAAAAAUUAUUUAUAAUAAAAUUGAUUUUCCCCUAAAAAAAAUUAACAAUGAAAAACGAUAAGAAAAUAAUUAUACAAUCUUCUUCUUUCUCCAUAAAAAUAAAAAAAUUAUUUUUCUCUUAAAAUUCAAAUAAAAAUUGCAAUUUAGUUUAAUUCAAAUAGAAUAUUUCUCGACCGAAUGAAUAAAGGCUAUUUCAGAUAUGUAAAUAAAUGAUUUUAGUAUUUUUAUAAAGUCAACCUUUUGCAAAGUUAGUCAUUUUUAAGUUAGUUAAAAAAUAUUUGGUUAAUCAUUUUUAAACAGAUGCUCCUAAGUGCCUUAAAAAUUUUCUUAUGGCGUUAAUUGAACCCUUACCCAUUUUCUCUAAUUUUAAAGGUUUAUUUAUGUGUUAGAACCUUUGAAACUCUUUUUAUGCUUUUCUUGUCUUUUCUAUAAAUAAUCAAGUGGCGACUCUGUGAAUUUCUUAAAAUUAUUUUAAAAUUUUCUUGAAUUUUUUGAAAUAUUUUAAAAAGGUCAAACCAGUUUCUUUUUAAAUAAAAUUCGGAAGGGAUAAAACAAUUAGUUGGAUUAUUUAGCCUUUUAGGGAGUCGUAAAUUAGGCAUAAUUGAUAUAGUUACUCAUGCUUUAGGUAGAAUUUCUAUUUUAGAGAUGAAAGUGCCUUACUCAACAUCUAGAAUUAAAUUUAGAUACAUUAGCCUAGUCUGAAGUAGACAUGGCCCUAGAUGAAUUUUCGGAGAUUAGAAGUGAGACCCUUCGACCCAUCCUAGGCCAAGACUCUUGAUAGUUUCUUGUAGACUUCUAGGUGUGUUAUUUAAUCAAAAUUCUUAUUUUAGUGUUGAAGAAACUAUAUACAUUAUACUUAUGCUAGAUUGGUACUUGUGAGUUGAUAUGAAUUUCGGUUCGAGUCUCACAAAUGAUGAUGAUAUUGAGUUUUGGUUCGAGUCUAACAUUGAUAGUUUAUUUAUAAUAUGUUAUGGUACGGAUGGAUUCACGGUUGUGGCUUGAUUUAUGCUUGUUUAAUGAUAUUUUGAUUAUUUAUUUCUUUGAUUGCUCCCUUCAAGAUUAUGGGGGCUCGCAUUGGAUUGUUUACAUUUUUGUAAUUACUGGGUUAUAGGGGCCAAUAUUGUACUAUUAUUUAUUCUUUUGUUCAUCUUAUAUUUGUUCUGAUUAUUUAUUUAUAGUAUUAGAGCAUUAUUUCAUGUUUGUCCUUUUACCUUGAUUUAGCUUAGUUAUUUUGCAUCUUUAUUGUAUUUAUAUUAUGAUUUGGCUCAGCCGAUCGAUAAUGGUUACUAAGUAACCGUGGCUUUGAUACUCAUACUACACUUUUAUACCUUUUUGGUGUAUAUUCAUGUACUAGUGGUCGCCACUAACGUUAUUGUCAUGUCCUAUUUUUUUUUCAAGGUUAAACAAAACAUGACUUACAGACUCUUAAAGAAAUAAAAUUUUGUAUAGAGUCGCCAUUUAAUUUUUAAGAAAAAUAAGAAAACUUAUUUAUUUAUUAACAUGUGUAACUAAUAUUUUAGUCUGCGAAAACCAAUCUUAGAUUCUAGGUAAGAGUUCAAAUUAUUUCGAAGGAAAGAGGUUAGACACGCUUCAGAAUCCACAAAUAGGGCACGUGGCUAGACUAAAUUCAUUAAAGAGGGAGGAGGCAUAAAUAUCUAAAAUAAUGUAAAAGAUGUAUGUAUAUUAAGUAUAUAAAUAAACUUAUUGUUAUAAAAAUGUGUAAAAGUAUAUAUAUAUAAAUAUACAAAUUGCAUGUGAAAAGAAAAAGAAUUUUAUCCCGUAUGAAAAGAAAAAUAUCUUUUAUAUACUACAAAAAGAAAAAGUAUUUUGCAAAUAAUACAAUCUACUUAAUCAAAAUUAUGGAGAGAAAAACAAAGAUUUUACUUGAGAAGAAAAACUAGACAAUUUUUAAAUGUGUGAAUUAAUUGAUUAACUUAAUCCUUUUAUGUGAAUAUUGACGGCCUAAAUCUUGCCUAAACGUGCGAUGAGAAUUAUUUAAAUAAAGAACAUUCCCACCCGACGCCCCAAAAGUAAAAUUUUCACUAUGGAUGAUAUUUAUACAAUUGUAAUAAUGUGAAAAUAUAAACAUAAAUUUAAACUCUCGUUUGAAUAUUAUUUUUGACAAGUAUUUCCGAGAACCUAUAUAAACACGUUAGUGAUAAAAUAAAAUAAAUUAAAAAUUAUGUGUCAAUAUAUAAAAAGGAUAAUCCGGUGCACUAAAGCUACACCAUGCUGAAGUGGUUGGUUGAUUUAUCAAUCAUCCUAAAUCGCCUUGCUAAAAUACGAAUUGUAAAACCUUUUAUAUUGUCGUGAUAUUUUAAAGAUUUCGUCAUUGCCCAUAUUUUUAUUUUUUAUGUAUUUGUAUAUGUAAUAUCCGUCUUUUUAUUUGUGGAGAUCAUAAAAAUCAAAUUUUUUCAUCGAUCAUGUAUUGAUAUUUUAUAUAAAAUAAUUACAUUUGAGAAAAUGAAAUCAGUCUUUUUUUUAUGGGGUGACUUCAAAAAUUCGACGGAGAUAUAUUAUUCGACGGAGAGAUAUUAUCAUUGCCCAUUAUUUAUAAUAUUUGUCAUUAUUAGUUCAUUGGAGAGGACGAAAAUAGCAGGGAAUGAGCUCCAACAAUCAAGAAAUUAUCGAAAUAAUGAGAUCUGGCCAAAUUUGUAAACCAUUAUAUUAGCAAGUAAAUAUAAAUGAAACAAAGUCAUCAGAAAUUAACAAAUCAUUCAAACACUCGCCAAAAUUCCCCAAAGUACCACCAGAUACGGAAUCUCAUCAAAUUUUGAUGGUAUACAAUGAUUAAAAUAGCCAAAUAGAAGUGAAAAUGGGAGAAAGGGGAGUGACUGAUGCCACCGUGGUUGUGCUUGUUAGGGCUUUGUUGGAGAAACUGAAAAAUUCAAAAUAAACAAAAUAAUAAAAUGAUUUGAUAGGAGAAAGGGAAACGGGAGUUGCUCCAGUUCAUCGGAGCAUGGAGCUCCUCGCUGGAGCUCGAGAAGGGUACUGGACAAUGGGGAGGGUUUUUUGAUGAAGCCGUUCACCGGAGUUGCUAUUCUUUACCGGAGCUCAAAUCUUUGGUGAGUUUGUCGAUAAUGGGACUCGCCGGAUCUCACUAGUUUGUUGUUGUUUGGGAAUUUUUGUUGCUAUUUGUGCCGGCGUCCCCAUGUUUUUCGAUCAAAUAUCGAUGAAACAUGACAGAAUAAUAAAUAAGAUGUUGGUUUGUGGUGGUUGUUUGAGUUUUCUGAUUAUGUGAAUAGAGGUGGAGAGAUGGUGGUGAGGUGGUGGAGCAUAGGGGCUUCAUAGUGGUGGCUAGAACUCGUCGGAAAUCACUUUCGAUGAGCCAUUGGCGGUGAAAAGAGAGAAAUGGAGAGUAAAAGAGGAGAGGCGAGAAGGGAGAGAGAAAGUGAGGGGCGACUGAUUUUGUGUGGGGGGUAUAUUUUUUGUGUUUUUUUUUAUGUAUAAAAAUGAAAAAAGGAUGAAUAAAAUAUAUUUUCUUCUAUUUGUCUUUCAUCCUCACUUAUUUAUAUUAAAAAUUGAGACCCCUUUUUAUCCGAUGAAUAAAGAAUGUCUCCUCUUUUUAUAUUUGGGCACCUUUUGGUCCUGAAGUUAUUCACUAAAGAAUUUUUAUUCUUUUAAUCAAUAGAUAAAGUUAUUGUCUAAAAAAUAGUUUCAUUGAGUAGUUAUUAUCAGAUGUGACAAGACAUUAUUAUGUGUUUAUUGUAAGAUGUGAUAAGACAUUAUUAUGUGAUCAUCGUUGGGUGUAAUAAGACAUCAAAUUAUUAUAUUGUAUAAAAAUAAUUAAUAUGACUUAGCGUUUGUGGACUUUAAAAAUAUGUAAAAUGUAGAAAUUGAUAUGUAAUUAAAAAAUGUAAAGAAAAUUGAAAAUGUAAUUAUCUUGAAAAUACUGCAAAAAGAAAUGUAAUGUAAUGCCGUGUAUGUGUGCAGAUGAUUGUGAAAAUGUUAAAAUGAUAAUGAAUCGAUAAAAAUCCUAAUAUACAUAGAAUUUUCAAUAAAUUAUGAAAAGCAAAAAAUAUGAAAAAUAAAUUGAUAAAAUCCUAAAGUAAGGAUGAUUAUCGAUAAUUUGUUAACAAUUGUAAACAAAUGUGAAAAUUAUAUUUCAUGUCGUUUAACGAUUAGGAAUCCUGAAGACGUUAAUUUUAAAUACGGAGAGCAAAAAUUAGUUGUCAACAGUUAUGAUCGUGCUGCUUAGAGUCUAAAGGCAGGGUGAGCUCCGAGAGUCAGAGUUGCCCUUUUCCUUGCCCUUUUCCCCUUCAUCUACUUCUGCUUAGAGUUUCAGUAUUCGAGACUGAUGUAUGUUUGACUAUUAUUGUACAUGCAUUUCUUUUGUUAGUAGCUCUUGUACCGACACUACUAGAUCGUGACAUAUAAUUUCUAUUCAUCUAUGUUUCAGAUUAUAAAUAUUACUUGGAUUAUUGUUGCAAGUCUUUACUUUCAAAUUUUCGGCUAUUAUGCCUCUUUCCAUCAAAUUAGCCUAUUACUUAUAGCUCCGGGCUACAGUUUGACUUAUUUACUGGUGGGAGAAAAUAGGUACCAUCAUGGCUUAUAAAUUGGGUCGUGACAAAUUGGUUUCAAAACUAGGUUCACCAGUUUUCUUGGUACAAGAGAAAGUGUCUUGUAGAGUCCCAUAACCAGAACGAUUGUUGAAACCUAAUUUUUGUCCUUCCCAUUUUAAAUUAAUUUUUGAUUUUCUCAAUUUUAAAUAAUUUUUAAAAUAUUUGGUUUAAGUUAUUUGAAAUAAAUUCCAAGCUUUCCUUUUGAAUUUAGGUGAAAUUAAUAUGUUCUGUGUUUAAUUAUACAGGAUUAUAUAAUUAUUUGUUAAAGAAAAUGUCCUAAAAUUUAUUUUGAGGAAAGAGUUUGAUUAGAUUUCAAAUAUUCUACUUUUUUCAAGAUCGAUUGAAAAUAAGAAAUUGAUAACAUUAUUAGUUUCUUAAUUUUUAAAAAUAACAAUUAUACCUUGUUAAAUAUUUAUUUUGAAAUUAUCGAAUUUGAGAAGCUCGGCUAAAUUAAUUAGAAGCUAAUUCUGUCUUAACUUUGAUCAAUUAAUUCAGUUGUGGCUAUUUUAUUAAUGAAAAAUGGGUAUAAUUUUUAAUUGAACUCAUUUCUUUUCUUGACCUAAUACAUCCAGUCUAUAUCAUUCUUCUUUAAAUUUUAUUCCACCAAAUCCGACCCAUAUCUUUCAAACCAUUUCUCUAACUUAACCCAACAACAACCAAACGGACAGCUUGCACCAGCCCAUUUCAAACACUGACCCGACCCACCUUUUCUCUUUUCUUCAUUACAACAACCAGCAAUACAAUGAUAUGAAACGGACAACAAAUAAAAACAAUCGACAACAUCAACAAAACCCUACCGCCUCCCUUUUGUUUACCAUUUUACCCUUGCAUUCAACCAUUUUUGGCUAGAAUUUCAAUAUCUUUUCUCUUGAUCAGGCUACACUUAUGUGUUCUUGGCAAAACACAAUAGCAUGAACUCUCAUUAAUAGUAGUGGCCCAUUUUGGUCUCUUUGUUCUUCUUUUCAUCUUCCCAUUCUGAUUUUUGUACCAAUUUGAUACAAAUUCCAUCUUGUAUAUUGUCAGAUUGAGGAUUUAAAGAAUCCCUAUAUUUUUUCUAUACAAACAUUUUCAAAUGUGAAAAUUCUAAUUUUCUCCACUAAUUUCCCCUAUAAAUAGAUAGAGAAGGAUAAAGGUGAUAGGAGGAUUUUAGGAAAAAAAUUGGGGGUUCUGGUGGCGUAUGCUUCUAACCUCAUGUAACUAAAAUUGCGACAGAAGAUUAAACUCUAGAGAAUUAAUUGCAAUUCCUAUAAAUUAGAACCAAAUUUUGACAGUGGUGAAGUCCGUCCAAUCAAAAAGCUCGUCGUUUUGGUUCCUGCCCCAGAAAAGGUGAAUUUCUUCGUACUCUCGCUUUUGAUUUGAUUUUUAAUCUUCUACUUGAUAUUGAUUUAUGUUAGUCAUCUAUACACUACGGUAAAAUAAGGAAAUUUACAUAGAAUGUUAUUCUCGAUGCCUGACUCUGUAUUUUUGGACUAUCAGUUUUGACUCGCUUUUGAUUGUAGCCAAAUUGGAAUAAAAUUGAUUAACGAAAGUAUAUAUAUGUUCUUAAACGAAUUGCUCAUUCGUUGUUUUAGAAGAAGUGUUUUCAGGUUUUAAUCUAUUUCUUGCUACUUCCUACGCUCGUGAAGUGAUUAAAAGACCUAAUCUUUUCUGAAAAAAAUACUUAUUUGGUGUAACAGAAUACUCUAGUUUCUUCGCAUCUAAUGCAUAGUUUUCGUGUUUAAUAAAUUAUCCAGUGCUUACUUAUUUCUCAGUUGUGUGUUGAUUUUCGAACUAUAUGGUUUUGAUAUAGGAAUGAUUUGUAUAUUGUAUGGAUAUAAGAUUGAUUUGAUAAAUCUUGAAAUCUUUGUUCUUCCUUGUCUUGUUGGUGACUUUCCUUUUUUUAUUCUUUUUUUUCUUCUUUCCUUUUUUUUUUUAAAAAAAGGAUCUAAUCUUCAUGAAUGUUUUCUCAGUUGGUACUAAGUUGUACGCACCAGUUUUCACCUGAAUAGCCUAAUAUUACUUUUUUUCUUCCUUUCUCUCUUUGACUUCUCAUCAUUAUUGAGUAAUUAUUAUGUAAAAUAGUCAUGUAACUUAUUGCCUAUAUUUCAAUCAAUAGUUCAAACCAUUUUAUGUUAUAAGUAAAAAUAUACCUUUACCAAGUUGUUAACAUGUGUUUCACUCUCUUGAGUUAUUAUUUAAGCUUGAGUCCUUAAUUUUGAUCUUCUCACUCAUUUCAUCCUUGACAUUGUUGAGCCACCAUUUUUCCCUUUUUCCAUAUGUGAUAUUUAGUGAUGUGCUUCCUAGCAUCAAAGAAAUUCAUUGGAUAAUAAGCAUCUUAGACUUAUCCCUUUUUAUUGUAUGAGGCAUGACAUCUUUCUUUCUAACAAGUUGGUCGCACUCAUGGCAUUUCAUUGUGGUUCUCCUCUCACUGAUUUUUUAUCAUGGUUGAAUGCUUUCUUAUGUAAACAUAUAUUAAAUUCGAUGUAAAAAGUGUAUCACCUUUUCUCAUGUUUUUUUGGAUUAGUAUAUUUUUCUUUAGAAAUAAUUUUUUGUAAGAUGGUUUGCUAAUAUUUAUUUCUCCCUUUGCAUGAUUACCUUGAUUUGGAGUCCAAACAAACUCUCCUCUUGCAUACUUCAAAGGGUCGAGGAGGCCUAGUAUCGAGUCAAAAUCUCAAGACCAAGUCCUAAGAGGAUUGUUUUGCACUAGUAUACAGUGAUAUACGGAUCAUGGAGGCUGGUAUAAGCCAAUAUAUGACACAUGAUAAAACUGGACGCGAGCAUACAUGUUUUUAUAUGCUGAUAUACAUUGUUUUUAUAUGCUGAUAUACAUCGUAUAUAUGGAAGAUGCAGAAAAACAGAGCUAUGAUACACACAUGAUAUACAUGCAGGAAAGUGAACCCAUAGUCCAUAAAAUUAGAAGCCCAAAACCUGGGCAGCUCAUUGAUGGGCCAAGGAAGGGGCCCAACUUUAAUUCUUGUCCUUCAUUUCCUGUAGUUUGUAAUUUAUUCUUGUUUAUUUGUAUUAACUAACACUUUAAUCUAUUAAUUUAGACAAAUCCCCUAAGAGUUGUCAUUUUAUUUUAUCAUAGUUUUCUUAUACUUAAUUCGUAAUUUUUUUCACCUAAUUUAUCUUAUCUAAAAUGGAUUAAAUUGGUUGCUUCGAUCUUUUUUUUGAAACGAAUCCUCUAAGAGUGAGUACUUUAUUCUAAGAUGACAUUCGUUUUGUUCAUGUGACUAAAAGUCUAUUUGGAUUAAGGCAAUUUUCUUCAAACGAGGAAACUAAAUUUUCUUGUAAAUUGUAAAUUUCCAUAAUUAAUAAGGUACUUUUAAUUUAGUACUCUCUUAAUAUUUUUUCAAAGGUAUUAUUUAUAAUAAAAUUGGCCUUUAUAUAAUAAUAAUAAUAAAUAAUAAUAAGAAAAUAAUUAUAUAAUCUUCUUUUUUUUUUUUCCCAUAAAACAUAAAUUUAUUUUUCUCUUAAAUUCAAAAUUUGCAAUUUAUUUUUAACGGAUCUUCCUUUAAUUCAAAUAGAUAUUUUUAUUUGGAAGAAUAAGUGUCAUUUUAGGUUAAUAAUUUUGAUAUCUUUUAUAGAAUCGAGCAUUUUUAAAAUUAAUCAUUUUUUAGUUAGUCAAAUGUAUUUGGCAAACUGUUUUUUCAAACGUACGCUCCUAAGUGUCUUAAAAACUUUUUUAGGGCGUUAAUUGAAUCCUUACCUAUUUUCUCUAGUUUUAAAGGUUUAUUUCUAUUUUUGAACAUUUGAAACUCUUUUUAAAUGUUCUUGAUUUUUCUAUAAAAAUCAAGUGGUGACUUUGUGAAUUUCUCAAAAUUAUUUCAAAAUUUUCUUGAAUCUUUUUGAAAUAGUUUAAGAAGGUCAAAACCAUUUUCUUGCCAAAAGAAAUACGAAAGGAUAAAACAGAAAUGACGACUCUGCAGGAAAUUUUAUUAGGUUCUAACCAAAUAUUUGAACUAUCUUCUUUGACUAAUUAUUUGAAUUUUUAAUACUUGAACUGAUUGUUUGCUUAUGUGAUUAAAUUUUUAUAAAAUUUAAACUGUUGCAUUUCAUGACAUACUUCCAUAUUUAAAAUGCAUAAAUUAUUUAGGGUUUCGCAGUUGUCGUACCCCCUAUUUAUUAAUUCCAAAUGAAGAGUUGGGAAUACGAUGGUUUAUUGGUACGUUAGGUGUGCAAUGGUUGUUCAUAUUUGCAAACUAAGUUGUUCACUUGAGAACCUGGUCAAAGCCCACUCUAGAUACCUAUGAUAGAGCAAAACCAAAAUUCUUUUUAGGCAUGAGCCAAGGACAACCCAAUAAUUGAGGGGGUAUCGAGACCAUUAGAAAAAUCCACCUUACGUCUAUUGAUUAUGAGUUAAUAACAGACGAUUAUCCUUUAUGUGUUUUAAUUGAAGGAUGUAAUGUCAGAUUACACGGACCAUUGUCCCUCGAGAUAUAUUUGGAGGCAAUGGAACUUCUUACAAAUGGCAUGUAUAUCCUUCAACGCUAGGGAUACCUUUGGCGUAAAAGGUAUCAUGUAUGAUAGGACGCAUAACAAUUGUUUAUGUGCUAAAGUGUUUCAUUAUUUUGCUUUGUAUGUAUUUGCUUAAUAUGUGUGUUUAAAUGACAUAUCUUUGGCUUUAAACAAGACUAGUCCAUUAUCUAUUUGGAAGUCUUAGAGCAUUAAUAGGCACAUAAGGCUCAAAAUUUGAAUCCUUUUAAAAUACCCUAAAAGUCCGUCGAUAAAAUUUCUUUCAAUUUACCCAAGUUUAUUCAAAAUUUCAUUAGAUCAUUAUCCUAUUCACAUUUACCACAUUGCUCUCACAAUUUGCUUUUUCUCAUAUUUGAAUAUAGUCAGAGCUAUCCAAAUAUUCUAUUAAUGAAAAGAUUAUGUUGUCUUAAACAAAAAGAUUUUCAAAUAAGACUUUUAGGAUGUUUAUUUGUAAAUACCCGAUUUCUUCAAAUAACUUAGUCCAUCCUAUUUGAAAUGUUUUUUUCCCAUUAAAUUCAAGAUCUAUCAAAUGAUCAAAGUUCUGAUCAUUCGAUCACUUUCCAAGUGUUCUAUAUUUCAAAUUCUAGACUUAGUCUAUUUCAAAUCAAACAUAUGUCAUUUAUUUUGUAUAUUACUUUGGUCAAACAUUAAGAUCAUGAACUAACAUUUUACCUUUUGAGUGUUUUUCUUUUCUUUUAGAGAGAGACUGAUUUGUGUUGGUAAUCAAACUUGCUUGCUUCACAAAGACCAAAAGAAAAUCAAUAUCAAGUAAUCACUGGCAGAACAACAUAAUUUCACACGGUCUAAGGUCAAGAAAGAAACUACGAAUUUCAUCAGUUCUUGCUUGGGCUAACAGAAGGACUCGUUUAACUAUAUAUCCUAGUUUUAUUAACUCAAAUGCUUCAUCUGAGCCAGUUCUCAUCUUUUUUGUGGCAAUAUACUCGAGUGCCUCGAUAGGAAGUAAAAUAAACCCAGAAGUCAUUGCUAGUUUGGAGUAAUAAAUUGUUGGGCUAAGGCUCAUGGUGAUGCAAAGUAGAACACCUUCUCAAACUCCUCCAAAUAUGACUUUGCCUCCUGAUGCUCGACAAAAAGGGUCUAUGUUACCAACAUCGAAAGAAGUUGAUCAGGAAGGUCAUUUUGCUCAUGCUUCUCAAAAUGCCCCCUAUGUAUACAUAUUUGCUCAUCUAAAGGUUCAAAACAUGUCAUUGUCACACCAAGCCCCUCCAGUAUACACCUAUUAUACUGCCUCACCAGUAACACAAACUCAAUGGUUAUACUACUUAGAUGCUAAUCAUGAUAUUGAAAAAGAUAAUGAUCCAACACUGUACACUGAUGAGACAGUGAAUAGAAAUCUCAAGGUCUUGGAAGAUGCAAUAGGAAACCUUUGGGGACUUUGGAGUAACCGAAGUAUGAAGUAUAAAGAGUUGUGUGCAUUUUUUGGGAUCAAGUUGCCUCCUAGUUAUAAGAUCCCAAAACUUUAAAAUUUGGAUGGGUCCAGAAAUCUCUUCUUUCACUUGAAAACUUAUUGCAAAAUAUUGAUUAGUGUGGAAAAAUAUGAAUGAAUACGGGUCAAUCUAUUUAGUCAAAGUUGAGUGGAAAGGAUUUAGAAUGAUGAUGUAAAUAAGAUGUGACUAAAUGACGCACUUGGGAUGACUUGGCAAAUGCUUUUGUUGAUUACUACAAGUUUCAUGUCGAUAUUAUUACUGAUAGAAUCUCUAUCACAAGCUAAGGAACAAAUCAAAUAAGAUUUUUCAUAAAUAUGCCAUAUAGUGGAGAGAAGAGGCGACUAGAGUAUAUCCUCAUAUGGAAAACACUGAAAUGAUCAGUUACUUCAUUCACGUACUCAAUCUAGAAUAUUUUGACCGCAUGAUAAUGAUUUCUGGAAAAUAUUUACUGAAAUUGUCAAGACUAGAGAAAUGAUUGAGGAUUUCCUCAGACAGAAAGGAUAAUAAAUUUGGUAGAACUGCAAUCCACUCAUAAGGGCUUCUAGACUAGCUCUUUCGAAAAUGGAAAGAAAAAAAAGAAGGAAGUAAUGAGAGUGAUGACUCAAGCAAAUUCUUCCAACUACAAGGAACCUCCUUGAUACAAACCCAAUGCUUUAUAUGCUCACUAUUAAGUCUACAAUGCACAAGCAAUAUAUCAUGCUCAACCUCCACCACAAAACUACCAAAACAAAGUACCUCAUGCCAACUAUUAAAGGAAGCCUCCCAGGAUCUUCACGCCAUUAGUAGAACCACUUACUCUGAUUUGUGAAAGGUUGAAAGUAGCAAGGCUACUUCAUCUAGUAGAAACAAAGCCUGCAAACACUUUUGCUAAUUUGUAUGAUCCAAACAAAUGAUGUGCUUACCAUUUUGGAGUUAUUGGACAUGAUACAAAGAAAUUUAUCACUCUCAAGCAUAAAAUUCAAGAUCUGAUUGACAACAAGGUGAUAAAGCUUGAAAAAUCUCCAGCUAAUAUUAACAAUAAUUCAUUGCCCAAUCACAAGCUGUAGUCAUUGGCAUCAUCAAUCAGAAACAACAUAAAUUUCCCUCAAAAGGUGCAUUUUUGGCGUCCUUCUAUCCUGCAUUGGAAGUUAUUUUUUUUUCUUAUAAUCAUGCUUUCUUAUUUUAUUUCCUUGUAAUUGUAUUCUGUCGCUUUAUUUCCUAUUAAUCACACUUUAUGAUUUGAUUUCCUUAUAAUUGCACCUCUUUAGUUGUAAUGAACUACGUUUGAUAUGAUUUUUCUUGUGGAAUAUGUAGGCGGCCUGUAUUGUCUUCGAUCACGUUAUCAAAGUAUCAAAUAUUCCUUUUGUAUGUAUGAACUACAUUUGACCUAAAUUCCCAUCAAUGGGAUACGUAGGCGACCUAUAUCGACUUUAGUCAUCCUAUUAGAAAAUUUAUCUUUUCAUUUUAUGUAUGAAGUAUGUUUGACUUGAAUUCCAAAGAAUGGGAUACGUAGUCGGCCUAUGCCAGGUUCGGUCAAUCCCUUAGAAUAUUUAUCUUUUCAUUUUAUGUACGAACUAUGUUUGACCUGAAUUUCCAAGAAUGGGAUACGUAGGUGGCCUAUGUUGUCUUCGAAAGAUUUAUCUUUUCAUUUUAUGUUGGAACUACAUCUCCUACCUUAAUGGAAUGCGUAGGCACCACAUUGACUCGGUCAUAUUUCUCGUAAGAUUUUCAUAGAAAUUGUGGCAAAAAUUUUGAGAAAGAUUUCAAAUAUUCAUCAAACGGAUCCUUUCCCAAGUUAAAUUAACAUGACAUUGAAUCAUGUAACUGGGGAAGAAAUUUUUUAGAAGGUCUCAAAAAUUUCACAAAACUUGACAUUUGCUACAAAGUUGAAAAUCAGACGUUGUUGAAGCUGAAAUCGAGGUAUAAAUUUUUAAAGUUCUCUAUGCUCAAAGUACUAUACGUUAGAAACAACUCAAGUAUUUUGCAUUUUAUACUGGGGCAGAAUUUUUGACAAAGAUCCUCAAAAAUUCCACAAAACAGUACUUCAAGUUUAGAAAAUUUUGCAAAUCAAUAAUCAACAAGGUGCAUCAGGAGAGCAAGGAAAUAUCAACAUAGUCAUCUCUCAAAAAUAAGAAUAUUUCUUUUGAUGCAAGAAUAGUGAAGUCAUAAAAUUGACAAUGUUAAGCAUAACAAAGUGCAUUACCAGACCUACUGUGGCCUUGCCAUAACAAUCCAAACAACUUUUCUCCCCUAUUUUCUCUUGAUUUAUGUUUCUAUUACUUCGUUAUGAUCUCUAACACUUUCUCUGAUUUUAUAGGGAAAUGAUCCGGAGUAAUGAAGAAUAUGUGGAGAUAUUAUCCAAACUACUAUCUCUAAAUCAUCAAGAGUCAAAUAACUCUAUCUUUAUCUUUAGACUCUAUCUUCUGUUACAUUCCUUUCUUAGUUAUAACAAAGGAAUUUAAUGGGUGUUGUUUAAGUUAUACAUGUGACGUUAUGCAAGACCGCUUUUAAGAAAUAAUGAAAAAGUAUCCUCACAAAAUUUGAGGAUUCAAUCUAGAAGCUCAGGACAUACACAAGUCCUUUAAAAGACUCAUGAUUAAAAGGAUGAAGUUCAAUAAAUCAACUUCUACCUUUUCUCAUUUUAUUUGGGUCAUCCACCCUUUCAAAAAGGACAUAUCUUAUAUGGGUUAUCCACCCUUUCUAAAGGACAUAUCUUUUUAUAUUUGGGUCAUCCAUUCUUUUAAAAGGACAUACCGAAUCGUUACUUCAUUCGAGGUGACAUAUCUUAGUAUAUUUGGAUCAUUCACCCUUUCGAAAGGACACAUCUUACUAUAUUUUGGUUUUCACACUUUAAGAGGAUACAAAGGGCCAUCAACCUAUUCAAAGGGACAUGUUACAUUUAAGAUAGGUUAUCCAUCUUUCAAUGAGACACGUUGGAUCAUCACCCUGUUCAAAGUGACAUGUUACAUUUAAUAUUGGUCUUAGUCCUUUUAAUGAGACACAAUGGGAUGUCACCCCCAUUCAAAGUGGCAUAUUACAUUCAAGAUAGGUUGUCCACCUUUUAAUGAGACACAUUGGAUCGUCAUCCCAUUUAAAGUGAUAUGUUACAUUCAAUAGUGGUCGUCCACCUUUCAAUGCAACACAUUGGGGCGUCACCCCCAUUUAAAGUGGCAUAUUAUAUUUAAGAUAGGUUAUCCGCCUUUCAAUGAGAUAUGUUAGAUCGUCAUCCCAUUUAAAGUACCAUAUUACAUUCAAUAUUAGUCGUCUGCCUUUCAAUAAGGCACAUUGAGCCAUCUCCCCCAUUUAAAGUGUCAUAUUACAUUCAAGAUAGGUUGUCCACUUUCGAAUGAGACAUGUUGGAUCAUUACCACUUAAGAUACGUCAUCUACCUUUCAAUGAGACACGUUGAGAUGUCACCCCAUUCAAAGUGAUUUAUUAUAUUCAAGAUAGGUUAUUCGCCUUUUAAUAAGACACGUUGGGUUGUUACCCCAUUCAAAGUGAUAUGUUACAUUCAAGAUAGUUUGUCCGCCUUUUAAUGUGACACAUUGAAUCGUCACCCUGUUCAAAGUGGCAUGUUACAUUCAAAAUAGGCCGUCCCCCUUUCAAUGAGACACAUUGGACCGUUAAUCCGUAAAAGUGGUUCAUUAACUAGUUCAACAUAGCAUGUUUAAGCAGGAUUGCACAAAUUUAUGUUUAUGUAAUGCAAUAUUUACAACUAAUCAUUUGAUUGAGUUGUUAUCGAGAGCAUCCAAAAUGAUAAAAUUCUCAAAUCAAAACCACAGGUGUGCACGACUCCAAAAAGGUUGCAGCACAACGUAGAAGUUUUUCUUAGCAGCAAAUUGGGACAUAGUCUGAUGAGAAAUAUCAAACUCUUUGGAUGCAAUUUGAAGGACGACUUGCACUACCAUCGAACCACACCCCUAUCGGAAGAAAUGAGGGUAUUUUGGGAUGUUUCUGGUUUUAUUUUUACCUUUGAGGAAUUUCUAAACUCGCAACAAUGGUAGUCUUUCUCUUCUUUGAAAAUUAGGUGACAACAUACUUAAAGAUUUAGAAUUAUGUCCAUGUGGCUCUCAGUUACGAGUGUUAAGGGGCCCCAUAUUCAGAACUGAGAUAAAUAUAAGCCUCUUUUCCAUAACUCAAUGUAUUUGUCACUAAUUUUGAGUCAAAGAUCAUCUAAAAUAAGAGACUAUCCUUUCCACCGAUUAAGUCAAACUACUAGCAUCUGAUGGCCUGAAUCUUGGGAUCACUACAAGAAAUACAAUUUUUUGUGAUGACUUUUAGUGGCGACACAAACAGUUGCCACAAAAGUUAGACAUACAAAGGUUGCCACAGAAGGUAUAAGAUUUAGGGGCGACCAUUAAAUUCGCCACAAAUAAUGACAUAUUUAGUGACCACUAUGUGUAGGUCGCCACAAAUAUAUAGUAAUUUUUCCAAUAAAAUUUGGGUUAGUGGCGACCUAGGAAUUGUCCCUAUUAAAAGUCUUUUGUGGCAACUUAUACGCCACUAAUAAUGACAUAUUUAGUGGCGACUAUGUGUAGGUAACCACAAAUAUGCAGUAAUUUUUUCAAUAAAAUUUGGGUUAGUGGCGACCUAUGAGUUGUCGCUCUUAAAAGUCUUUUGUGGCGACUUAAUCACUGCUAAAGGGAGAUUUGUUGUGGCCAUCUUUUUUGUCACCACUAAUACUUCUACUUUGUUAUUCUGCCCACUUAUAUAGGUAAAUUAAAAUCAUUUUAGUGGUUAUAAUUGUUGACACCCAAUUUUGACCUCCCAAUACAACAUUUAGGCUGAUAUUUUAGCAAAAUUAUUAACUUUUAAAUUUUAGUAUCUUUUACACAUUUUUCUUGCAUCAAACAAAUUUUCGACGUGCCAUAUUCAUGAUUUAAAAUGUACAAAUUAUUUUAUUAAUUUUUUGAUAUCAUUUUUUAUAAUUUAUUAAUUCAAAUAUAAUAUUUUUUACAUAAUUUUAUUAAAUUAUUGGUAACUGUGCAUACUCACAUUUUUGCAAAUACAUUGUCUACUUUUCCAUUAUUUAGUAUUAUUUAUUUUAUUAUCAAUAUCAUUAUUAUUUAUUAUCUAUCUAUCUAUCUAUCUAUCUAUCUAUCUAUCUAUCUAUUAUUAUUUAUCUAUUAUUUAUUUUAUACUAUAAUUACUAUUAUUUAUUAUUAUUUACUAUUAUUUAAAUAGCAUCCUAAAUUAAAAUCACUUUGUCUAAAUUUAUUUAUCUUUUAGCCAUUUUCUAUCCACUUUUACCUAAUUUAAUACCAUUUUUAGCCUAAUUGAUGACAUUUUAAUUUUAAAUUAAUUUUUAUACAUCUUUUUAAAUGAUUUUAAUCUCAGGCGUUGAUCUGAAUUGAUCCAACGGCUGAGAUCAGAUUAGCCUCCCUUUCCUUUUAAAGAAUAAAUAAAAACCUAAUUCAAAAUAUUUUUUUCUCCAAAUUCAUCCGCCUUCUCUCUUUUCUCCUUCUUUAUCUCUCCAAAAACUCUUCGCCGCCACCUCAUCUUCUCCGCUAGCCACUGCUAGCCAGUAAAAUGACCCCCAAGGCCUUAUCUCUCCAUCUUCCCUCUACAUCGGAGCCGUUGUUUCGAUGCUCCGGCGAAACCACCACAAGCCACCUCCAUCCCUCUCUUCUGCUGCUAUAAAAUCUAACGACACCAACCACCAGUCACUUUAAACCAGCCAUCGUGCUCCCUCUGAUCUCUUUUCCAUCGUCAACAUCGAUGCACCAGCCAUGGCAUCACCACCUCUCAGUUCGCCAUCGUUGCCAGCAGCCGGAUCUGGCGCCUUUCAAAAUACCAUCGGUAGUCGCCAUCCUUCCCCCCAUCUCCACGUCCAGACCCGGUAACCCCCUUCACCGAAAAUCAAUAGGUGUUAAGAGUCCAUUUUAUGGUGUGAGCUCAAAUUUUACUUGUUGUUUGUUUACUUUUCGUGAUCUAAAAAUUGAUGAAAUAAUUAUUGUGAAUCUAGUGAAAUCUGCUGGCUGUGUUUAUUUUAUCAUCUGUACUGUCAUGCAUGAAAAUUUCAGUCAUGGUAGUGCUUAUUCUUAAUCUAAAUCUGAAUUUCAUGACCCUUUAUUUGAUUACUAAUUAUGUUGCUGCUGAAAUGCUAUUCCGUUGGAUGUCAAAAAUUUAUUUCUAAUGGACAGAUUUCUUGCAAUUAUUGCGGAUUAGCUGAUGUUAAUUGCUAUUAUUUAUUUAUUGUGAUUAGGGUUAAUAUUGAUAUAUUGCUAUUUAAUAUAUUAUUUCUGGGUACUCACUUUUGUCCUUAUUUAGAAUGUGUAAAUCAUUUUGCUUGGCAUGUUAAUUUUACGUGAUUAGUUUCUUACCAUUUUUGUUAAGCUACUCAUAUCAAUAUUUGCCUGCCUUGUUUAUUUUCCUGCAUUAAUUCUUCUUUAGAAAAAAUAAUAAAUAAUACCUCUUCGUACGUGCCUAUUUAUGGAAGACGCUGCAUAUUUUUCUCUUUUAAGUUGAUUAUUAUGAUCUAAUUUUAAAAACUAUGCACUAUGUACAUCACUACAUAAUAUGUAUAUAUACAGAGAGAGAGAGAGAGAGAGAGAGAGAGAGAGAGAGAGAGAGAUAAAAGAGAUACAUACUUCUAUUUUAACAACAACUUUAUCGUUAUAUGCUUAAUAUAAAAAAUAAGUUACAAACAUAAUUGUGAAGCCAACAACCAUAGAAAGCUAAGUUACUCAAGCAUGGAAAAUAUAGAAAUCGCUUGAAAUUAUAUCCUUGCACAUACCCUUAUAUUUCUUUCCAUUCUAACUCUCCCAAAAAACAGAGAAAUUAUAUGCUUGCAAAGCUUUGAAGGUACAAUUUCAGACACUUUGAAAUAUUUUUGGUCUUGCUUCUUUAUUUUUUGUGUUAGUAAUUAAAAAUUGAAUAAAAGUAAGUCCACUAAAAGGAUUUUUUAUCCUUUUAGUUCCACUAAAAGAAAAAUUGAUUCCAAUGAGUUUAAAGUUCUCUAUGGAUCCAUUUUGUGUUGAUUGUACAUAAUAUUUGACUAUAAGGCCAAGUGGAGCCUUGUGUUUUAUCAGUUUGUAACAUAUUUUCUGUAACACUCUAUGAAGCAUAUUUAUAUGUAUUCUGGUUAGCUGACAGGUUUUUGAUAGGCCUAUUUACAAAGGAAACUCUGGCAAUUUUUUUUGAAAAUUUUGAGAGUUAACAGAAUUUUAGGACUACAUAAUGAAUAAAAUGAAGUGGAAUUUAAGUAAAUGAUCUCAUGAGUGUCUUAGAUAAUUCUUAAGUAAAUCCUUAAGAAAAAAUGUGUUAGGAAUUGAUAUGCCUAGCAUGAAUAAGUUUGGUGGUGUUAGCUGAAUUGAGAUCUUUCUCUUUUACUGGCCAGAUCUUUCUGUUAGUUUCAUUGUCCUUUUUGUCUAUUUUGGUUUAAUAAGUUAGAAUUGAAACUUUACUUUUUUUGUUAUUUCAAGGACAAGUAAUUUCAUGAUGGGAAGUGUUAGCCACGAGAAGUUUGAAGAUAUUUUGUGAUUUUUUUUCUCAUAUGUAUAUCAUAUUGAUUUGUUACCCAUUAAAAACUAUAUAAUUCUCUUGUGGAGAAAUAUAUUUUAAUAUCGUCUUUGUACCUUUAAGUACUAUAGUUGUAUUAUUAUAUAAUUUAUAUUUUUUUGAGGAAAAAAAUGAGUAUUAGUGGCGAACCAUAGGCGCCGCAAAGCGUGAGUAUUAGUGGCGACCCAUAGUCGCCACAAAAAGUCAAUUUAAAAUAAAAAAUCAACCUUCUGUGGCUACAAAAGAUCGCCACUAAAGCAUUUGUGGCGACAAUGGUCGCGGGUAAAGCCUCAUCUACAAUGGAGACUAUCCCAACAUCGAUAUUUUGAACUUUGUUUUUGGAGUAUUUGCCUCUUUUUUGUGGCAAGUAUUGUCGCCACAGAAUGUAUGUGUUGUGGCGACUUACAUAUGUCGUCACAAAAAAAUUUUUAGUUACGGAAGUAAUUGCUACGACCCUUAUGUCGCCACUAAAAAUUAUUAGUGGCGAUUUUUCAUACUUUAGCAGCGACAUUAAUUGCCACAAAAGUUAAGAUUCUUGUAGUGAAUAUGUAGGCUAGGCUCUUUAUUGAAUACAUGAAUGUGUUCAAACCUCCCCCAAUCUCUUUAUUCACCAGCUUUUCAAUUUCACCAAAAUUUGAAAACCGAAAUAACUUGUGAAUUCUUUAAAAAACGUGCUUAGAAAUCAAGCAUUAUGACCUACAAGUGGCGUGGAUUCUCAUGAAACCUGAGAUAUAUAGGAAGCCCGAUAUCGGGGUUCGGCCAUGAUUCUUCAAAACUCGUGCAAAAACUAAUCUUUUCCUAGAGACAAAUUUAUGGUUGAACAAAAUUAAGGAUGUCGAACUCCCUUUGCCCAGGGGUACCUGCAUUCACCCUAACCAAAGAGAAGGGGCAGUUUUUGACACAUAAUUUUUGCCUUCCCCAUUCCAAAUUAGUUUUUGAGUUUUCCAAUUUUAAAUAAUUUUUAAUAUAUUUAUUUUAAGUUAUUUUGAAAUAAAUUACAAUCCAGCCUUUUGAAUUUUGGUGAAAUUUGUAUGUUUUGUGUUUAAUUUUUCAAGAUCCUGUAUAUAUCAGUUAAAGCAAAUGCUUUAGAAUUAAUUUAAGUGAAGAGUUUGAUUAAAUUAGAAAUAUUCUACUUUUCCCAAGAUCAAUUAAAAAUAAGAGAUUGAUAACAUAAUUAGUUUCUUAAUUUUCAAACAAAAUAAUUGUGCCUUAUUAAACAUUUUUUUGAAAUUGUCGAAUUUGAGAAGCUCGACUGAAUUAAUUAGAAGCUAAUUCCAUCUCAACUUUGUUCAAUUAAUUUAGUUGUGGCGAUUUUAUUAAUGUAAAAUGGCUAUAAUUUUUAAUUGAACUCAUUUCUUUUCUUGACCCUAUACAUCCAACCCAUUACCAUUCCCCUUUUAAUCUUCUUCCACCAAAUCCAACCCACAUCCUUUAAACCAUUUCUUUAACUUAACCCAACAACAACCCAACGAACAACUUGCACCAGCCUAUUUCAAACACUAACCUAACCCACAUUUUCUCAUUUCAUCAUUACAAAAACCCGUAAUACAACGAUAUCAAACAACAACAAACGACAACAUCAACAAAACCCUAGAUGCCUCCCUUUCAUUUACCAUUUUACCCUUAUGUUCAUCUAUUUUUGGCUAGAAUUUCAUCAUCUUUUCUCUUUCUCAAGCUACCCUUGUGUGUUAUUGGCAAAAUCACGCUAAAAUACAACAGAGCAUGAACUCACAUUAAUGGUAGCGACUCAUUUUGGUCUCUUUUGUUCUUCUUUCCAUCUUCUCGUUCUGAUUUUAGUACCAAUUUGAUACAAAUCCCAGCUAGUAUAUUGUCUGAGGAUUUCAAAAAUCUCUAUUUUUUCUGUAUAAACAUUUUCAAAUCCAAAAAUAUUAAUUUUUUCCACUAAAUUCACCUAUAAAUAGAUAGAGAGGGAUAAAGGUGAGAGGAGGAUUUUGGGAAAAAUUUAUCGAUUCUAGAGGCGCAUGCUUCUAAGAUCACAUAACCAAAAUUCUGAUAGAAGAUUAAACUCAAGCAAAUUCAUUGUAAUUUCAAUAAAUUAGAAUCAAAUUUUUACAGUAGUGAAGUCUGUCCAAUCAAAAAGCUCGUCGUUCUAGUUCCUACCCCAGAAAAAGUGAAUUUCUUCAUAGUCUUGUUUUUGAUUUGAUUCUAACUCUUGUCGUAGAUAUUGUUGUGUGUUAGUCAUCUAUACACUAUGGUAAAAUAAGGAAAUUGAUAUAGAAUGUUAUUUUUGAUGCCUUACUAUGUAUUUUUGGAAUCUCAAUUCUAACUUGCUUUUGAUUGUAGCCAAAUCAAAAUAAAAAUUGAUUAACGAACGUGUAUAUAUGUUCUUAAAUAAAUUGCUCAUUCAUUAUUUUAGAAGAAGUGUUGUUGGGUUUUAAUCUAUUUCUUUCUACUUCUCGUGCUCGUGAAGUGAUUAAAAAGACUAAUCUUUUCUAUAAAAAAAUACUUAUUUGGUGUAACAGAAUGCUCCCUUUUCUUCGCAUCUAAUGCAUAGUUUUCAUGUUUAAGAAAUUAUCUAGUGUUUACCUAUUAUCUUAGUUGUGUGUUGAUUUUUGAACUAUAUGGUUUAGAUAUAUGAAUGAUUUGUAUAUGGUUUUGAUAUAAGAAUGAUUUGAUAAAUCUUGAAAUCUUGGUUCUUCUUUGUCCUAUUGGUGACUUUCUUUUUUUGUUCUUUUUUUUUUACGUCUUUCCUUUUUUUUUAAAAAGAUCUAAGCUUCAUGAAUAUUUUUUCAGUUAGCAUUACCUGAAUAGCCUAAUAAUAAGGUUUCAUGGUUUUUUCCCCUUCAUUUCUCUCGUUGACUUCUCAUUAUUGUUGAGUAAUUAUUAUGUAAAAUAAUCAUGUAGCUUAUUACCUAUAUUUCAAUCAAUAGUUGAAACCAUUUUAUGUUAUAAGAAAAAAUAUGCCUUUACCAAGUUGUUAACAUGUGUUUCACUCUCUUGCAUCAUUGUUUAAGCUUGAGUCCUUAAUUUUGGUCUUCUCACUCAUUUCAUCCUUGACAUUGUCGAGCCGCCAUUUUUCUUUUUCCAUAUGUGAUCUUUAAGAUUGUGUUUCCUAGCAUCGAAGUAAUUCAUAGGAUAAUAAGCAUCCUAGACUUAUCCCUUUUUAUUGUAUGAGACAUGGCAUCUUCCUUUCUAAUAAGUUGCUCACGCUCAUGGCAUUCCAUUGUGGUUCUCCUCUCACUGAUUUUCUAUCAUGGUUAAUGCUUUCUUAUGUAAACAAAUAUUAAAUUUGAUGUUAAAAGUGUAUCACUUUUACUCAUGUUUUUUUGGAUUAGUAUAUUUUUCUUUUGAAAUAGUUUUUUGUAAGAUCGUCUACUAAUAUUUAUUUCUCCCGUUGCAUGAUUACCCUGAUUUAGAGUCCAAACAAACUCUUCUAUUGCAUAAUUCAAAGGGUGGAGGAGGCCUAGUAUCGAGUCAAAAUCUCAAGACCAAGUCCUAAGAGGAUUGUUUUGCACUAGUAUACAAUGAUAUACACAUUAAAGACACUGGCAUACACUGAUAUAUGCUAGAUAUACGAGAUUUAUAGGUCAAAGGUGGAUGGUAUAAACAAAUAUAUGAUGCAUGAUAAAGCUGAAUGCGAGCAUACAGUUUUUAUAUGCUGAUAUACGUGUAUACAGAAAGACGCAAAAAUAACAGAGCUAUGAUUUACAGCUGAUAUACAUGCAGGAAAGUGGACCCAAAGUUCACAAAAUUAGAAUCCCAAAAGUUGGGUAGCAUAUUGAUGGGCUAAAGUAGGGGCCCAACUUCAAUUCUUGUCUUUUCAUUUCUUGUAGUUUGUAAUUUAUCCUUGUUACUAAUACUUUAAUCAAUUACUCUAGACAAAUCCCCUAAGGCGUUGUCAUUCUAUUUUAUCAUAGUUUUCUUUUACUUAAUUCAUAAUUUUUUUCACCUAAUUUAUCUUGUCUAAAACGGAUUAAAUUGGUUCCUUCGAUUCUUUCCUUAAAAUGAGUCUUUUAAAAGUGAGUAUUUUAUUCUAAGUUGUCAUACAUUUUGUUCACAUGGAUAAUAGUCUAUUUGGAUUAAGACAAUUUUUUUCAAACCUAAUAAACAACAUUUUCUUAUAAAUUCUAACUUUUCAUAAUAAAUAAGAUACUUUUAAUUUAAUACUAUCUAAAUAUAUUUUCCAAAGGUAUUAUCUAUAACAAAAUUGACCUUUCUAUAACAAUAAUAAUAAAUAAUAAGAAAUUAAUUAUAUAAUCUUCUUCUUUUUCCAUAAAACAUAAAUUUAUUUUCCUCUUAAAUUCAAAAUUUGCAAUUUACUUUUAAUGGAUCUUCCUUUAAUUCAAAUAGAUAAUUUUAUGUGGAUGAAGAAGUGUCAUUUUAGGUUAAGAAUUUUGAUAUCUUUUAUAAAAUCGAGUGUUUACAAACAGUCAUUUUUUGGUUGGUCAAAUGUAUUUGGUAAACCAUUUUUUUAAACGGACGCUCCUAAGGGCCUUAAAAACCUUCUUAAGGCGUUAAUUGAGCCCUUACCCCUUUUCUCUAGUUUUAAAGUUUUUUUUUUUUUUUUCUGUUUUGAGCCUUUGAAACUCUUUUAAGAUUUUCUUGAUUUUUCUAUAAAAAUUAUGUGGUGACUUUGUGAAUUUCUCAAAAUUAUUUUGAAAUUUUCUUGAAUUUUUUUGAAAUAGUUUUAAGAAAUUCAUAACCAUUUUCUCGCCAAAAAAAUCUGAAAAGGAUAAAACAAUGAUGAUAUCAAUUUUUUAAUCUUCGGGAGGCUAUAGGAUAUUUAGAGUUCUUCACUCUUUCACUUAUUUUGUGCCAAGAGUCUCAGUUGGUUUCUAAAGAUUCCUUUAGUUUCACUCUUUCGAAAUGGCUAGGAUAUGUGUUACCACUACAUAAGACGAGGACCCCAAAUCCAUGACUAGGGAUCUUUUCAUAGUUCGUGGAUGACCUAGAGGUCAAGGAUUGCCUAGAGAUACAUCCCUAGAUAGGGACCAUGAUAGGGGGCCUUUACCAGACCCUAUUUCUACUCCUUAGCUAGAGAUUCUUCCACACCAGCCACUGAUAGGAUAGGGACUGUCCCAGGCUCCACUAGGGUUUGUUUCAUUUUUAUUUCUUUGGAUGCAUUGAUUCAGUUCUUAGGGUUGGUUGGUGGUGCACCAUUUGAUGGUGCAUAGUCUGUGGAUCGGAGUGAUAAUAAGGCAGAGAAGCAGUCUAUAGCUGUGGCUCCCAGAAUUGAUAUCCCUCUUGCACCGGUGUUUUCUCACUCAUUCUUUGCCUAACCUAUUAUAUUUGUUGAGAAGCAGAAUAUACUGGGUAAAUUAUUGUGAUUGACUCCUUCUAGGUUUUCUGCUACACCACGAGAAUGCUUAUGAGUUUUUGAUUGCUUGCAAUGAUAGGUUUUAUAAUUUAGGUCUGGUUGAGACUCAUGGUGUGGAUUACACUACUUUUUAGUUGGAUUUGGUUGCUUGACAUUGGUGGAGAGGUCAUCUUGAUUCCAGGCCAACUGAUCUCUCUCAUUGACAUGGACUCAGUUCUUCAAGGUCUUUAGAGAAGUAUAUGCCUCAUAGUCUUAAGGAUUGUCAAAGAGAUCAGUUCUCAAAGUUGGAGUAGGGAUCCAUGACUGUUGUGCAGUAUGAGGCUCAAUUUCAUGAGUUGGCUCGGUAUGCCAUAUCUAUUCUAAUUAUUGAGUAUAAGAGGGUUUAAUUCUUUGUUUGGGGAUUGAUACUCCUCUUUGUAUGGCUACACAGGGUUUGGUUGCUAUAGGUAGGUCUUUUAUUGAGGUUUCUUAUUAUGCUCAAUUUAUGGAGAAGAUACAUCGCAAGGUGCAAGAGAGCACUGAUAAGAGGUCGUGAUAUUAGGGUAGCUUCAGUUGGAGUUGUUAUGGAUUAAGAGGAAAUGGUUGAGAAGGUUCCAUUUUAGCCAUAUCAACAUCAAGAUCAGUCUAGUAGGCCCGUUCAUGCCUUAUUUUAAAUUAUCGAUAGAGGCCAGUCUAGUUAUAAUGAUUAUCCUGGUCAGAGUAGUGGUCAACCUCAAAGGGGUUUGACAUUUGGGUAUUCUAGGCAUGGUGGUUAUUUUGGGUUAGCCAGAUCUCCUAGCUUUAGCUCAGCACCAGGGAUGUAUUAUGGUUGUGGGGCCUUUGACCAUUUUUUGAGAGAAUGCCCCAGUUGUGAAGUGAUGGCUCCUUCAACAUAGAGUAUUUCACCAAUUAGGGCUAUUCAUCCCCAUUUAGAGGUGGUAUGCAUGGUCAUUAGGAUGGUCUCUAGGGUGCUCGUGGAGGUUCUCAGGUAGGAAGGACAUGAGAUCAUUUAGGAGCCCAACCAGGUAGUAGGUAUGGUCAGUUGUAUGCCUUAACUACUAGAUUAGAGGCCGAGUCUUUAGAUUCUGUUAUCAUAAGUACAAUUCCAAUAUUCCAUAAGUCAACUUUUGCUUUAUUUGAUUCGAGAUUCACUUAUUCUUGUGUAUCUUUUUAUUAUGCCCCAUGGUUAGAGUUAUCUUGAGAUUCUUUAUUUGUGCUGUUAUGUGUAUCUACUCCCAUGGGUGAUUCUUUAUAGUGGAUUGUGUUUAUAGAUCAUGUGUUGUGAUUGUUCAAAAGUUUGAUACUCCAAUUUUUCUUGUUGUAUUAGAUAUGAUAGAUUUUGAUGUGAUUUUGGCAUGAAGUGGUUAUCCCACUAUCAUGUAAUCUUGGAUUAUUUUUCCAAGAACGUUACCUUAGUCAUGCCUGACAUACCCCCGAUUGUGUGGCAAAGAUCUAUUAGUUGCGAGCCGAUUGGGAUUAUUUCUUAUAUUCAGGCUAAGAGACUUAAUUUGAGGGGUUGCAGUCUUAUCUCACUUUUAUUAGCGAUGUUAGGUUGGAGAGUCCAUCGCUUGACUCUAUUCUUAUAGUUUGUAAGUCUCCUGAUGUUUUCCCUACUGAUCUACGUGGUCUUUCUCCUAAGUAUGAUAUUAAGUUUGUUAUUAAUCUUGAGUUAGGCACCCGACCUAUUUCUAUGACACUUUACCAUAUGGCUCUAGCCAACCUUGAAAAGCUGAAUUCUUAGCUUCAAGAUCUUCUAGGUAAGGGUUUCAUUAGACUGAGUGUGUCUCAUUGGGUUAUCCGAUCUUGUUCAUGAAGAAGGAUAGUUCCUUAUAUAUGUGUAUUUACCAUAGAGAUCCUAAUAAGGUGAUGAUGAAGAACCAAAAAUCUAUACCUCGCAUUGAUGAUUUAUUUAAGUAGCUUCAGGGAGAAACACUGUUCUCUAAGAUUGACUUGAGAUUAUACUACCACCAGUUGAGGAUUCGUGUUGAGGAUAUCCAAAAGACAACCUUUAGGACUUUUUAUAGCCAUUAUGGAUUACUAGUGAUGUCUUUUGGGUUGACCAAUGCCCCAACCAUGUUCAUGUAUUUGAUGAAUCGCGUGUUCAGUCCUUAGUUGGAUUUUUUCGUGAUUGUAUUCAUAAUGAUAUCCUUAUGUAUUCAAGGAUUAGAGAGGAGCAUAUGUAAUAUUUGAGGAUUGUGCUGUAGACUUUGACAGAUCAUAGGAUUUUUGCUAAAUUGACUAAGUGUGAGUUCUGGCUUGAGUCGAUGUCAUACCUAGGACUUGUGGUGUUUAAGGAUGGGUUUAUGGUGGAUCCUACGAAGAUUGAUGCUAUUCGUGAUUGGGCCAGGCCUACAUCUCCAUCUGAAGUUCAUAGCUUUAUUGGUUUGAAUAGUUAUUAUAGAUAAUUCAUUUAAGGUUUUGUGAUUAUUGUAGUGUAAAUAACCAGAUUGACCUGAAGGAGGUUCCUUUCUAGUGGUUCAAGGAGUAUGGGUCAAGCUUUAGGAAUCUCAAGGGAUUUCUCACUUCAGCUCCUAUAUUGGCUAUUUUUGUUGAUGGUAAGGGAUUGGCCUUAUAUUUUGAUGCUUUUGGUGUUGAUCUGGGUUGUGUUCUAAUGAAACAUGGUUGAGUUAUUGGUUAUGCAUCAAGGCAGCUGAAGGUGAACAAGUGCAACUACCCCACUUAUGAAUUAGAGUUGGUGACGAUAAUUUUUUUACUUACAAUUUAGAGACGUUAUCUUUAUGGCGUGCAUUAUGAGAUAUCCAAGUAUCAUCAUAGUCUUCAACAUCUUAUGACCCAGAGAGAGCUUAAUUCAAGACAACAUAGAUGGAUGGUGUUGCUUAAGUAUUAUGACAUCUCUAUUUUGUAUCAUACGGGCAAGGCGAACAUGGUAGGGGAUACCUUGAGCUGAAACGCAGUGAGUAUCGAUAGCUUGGCUUCUGCCUUAGUUACUCUGAGGCUGUUGGCAUGGGACGUCCAAUCCUUAGCCAACUUGAUGGUAUCCUUAGCCAACUUGAUGGUGCAGCGUGAUAUUUUAAACCCCAAAAGGAUUCUUGCUAGUAUUAAGGUGAGGUCUACCCUAUUUCAGUAGAUUCAGAGUGGAUAUGAGACUUUACAUCAUCCAUGAUCAGGUCUUGAGGGGUGAGUCUAAGAGGGAUACCAUAGAUUUUGAAGGUGUUCUAAGAUUUGAUGGCCAUAUUUAUGUUUUGAGGGUUGGUGACUUGAUUUAUUCAAUUUUUCAUGAGGUUCAUAACUUCAUAUAUUUUAUUUAUCCAAGUACAUCUAAGAUGUAUAGAGAGUUGAGACAACAUUAUUGGUAGAGUGGUAUGAAGAGAGAUAUGAAGGACAUUGUAGCUUAUUACCUAUGUUGUCAAUAGGUGAAGGCCGAGCAUCAAAGACCUAGUAGCUUGACUUAGAGAUUGUCCAUUCUCGAGUGAAAGCGGGAGCGGAUUACCAUGUAUAUUAUUAGUGGUUUGCCUCGCACUUCCCAUGGUUUUGAUGGUCUUUGGCUCAUUAUGGAUCAGUUGACCAAGUUGGCAUAUUUCAUUCCUAUUCAGAUGUCGUUUAGUAUUGAGAUGUUAGCCUGUAUCUAUGUUUGGAAGAUAUUUCAUUGCAUGGUGUCCCUAUCUCUAUCAUGUUAGACCUAGGCUUAGUAUUCACUUCCAGCUUCUGGAGAGCUUUUCAGGAGGAGUUGGGUUUUCAGGUGUAUUUUAGUACAACCUUUCACCUUUAGAUUUACAAGAAAUCGUACGGACUAGUCAAGUUCUUGAGGAUAUGCACUGGGUCUUUGUAUGGAUUUUAGAGGUCAAUGGGAGCAACACUUGACUAUGGUAGAGUUCAAGUACAAUAACAACUACCAUUUGAGUAUUAAGAUAGAGCCCAUUCAAGCUUUGUAUGGUAGGCAAUGUUAUCUUUUGAUUGGGUGAUUUGAGACCUCCAAGAUUAGACCCAUGGUACUGACUUGAUUAAAAGUCAUUAGACAGAGUUAGGGUGAUUCAGGAUAGGUUGAUGGUAGCUUAGAGUAGGUAGAAGUCUUAUAUGGAUCGUAUACUUCGUGCCUUGAGAUUUGGCAUUGGUGACUGGUAUUCCUCUUGAUGUGGCAUGGAAACAAGGCUUUUUCGGUGCCUAAAUCCGCAAAUUUAUGUGUGCACUUAAGGUGUUUUGUUAGAUAUGAUGCACUUUGGUGUGAAUUGCAGGUAAAACAGGUCUACAACGGUAUUUGAACAAAAGAAGAAGAAAAACACCUGAAAAAAGAUCAACUUUGAUCAGUAUAUAAGUUAGCUCAUGAAAUGUAACCAAUCAAUAUGACUCAUAUGCUUAAUCAUAUGAGUAACAGAACCAAAAGCCAAAGAAAAAAGCUAAGCGUGAGGAAGAUACGACUCAAGUAAUCUAGUUGUAGACCAGGAUACGAGUCGUAUACCGAAGACGUAAUUAUAACAGAACCCAAGCUACCUUCCAAGAGUUGAAGUGUCAAAAUUAUGCGAAUCAGAAGUAUGAGUACGACUCAUAUAGGGAUGUUGUAUACAAACCAGUGUUUAAUACUUAAAAAGACUAAAGCCCUAGGUGAAUACAGAUGAAGGUCACGAGUCGUACACUCAGGUAUGACUCAUUAGUAGAAGUCACAUUCUUAACAAAGAUUUGAAGCCAUAGGAAGAACAGACACUAGAACGGAUAUGAUAAGGCAGGGCACGACUCGUAAGCUGAGGAUAAGAGUGAAGAAUGAGUCAUACCGAUUGCUGACUUAACUUUACCUUUCCUAUUUUCAUGUUAUUUUGAGAUACUAUAUACCUUAGGGUUUGUAUUUUAUUAGGUUACAUUCUUGAACGUUCCUUUACAUGAUUUUACAUACUAUUACAAUAUUCUUACAAUUGUUCUUGAGAUUUUAGGGUUUAUUCAAUAAAAGUCUGUGGAGUUUAUUCAUCUUAUUCUUGUACAAUUAAUUUUAUCUUUUUUUCAUUGAUAAUCAUGGUUUCUUGCUCAAUCAUAAGAGGAUAAUCUCCAUAUCUAGGGUUGUGGGAGCCCUGGCUGAUUAGCUACGUAAAGAAAGUGUGAGACUCAAUUAUUCUAGGAUUUCUACAUGUAUCUUAAUUGUUCUUCAAAAUAAUUAAACUUAUAGCAGUUGCAGACACUUAGGAUUGCCUGUAUUCACAUCUAUUUGGGAUUCGAUAACCAAGCAUUCCAUCUUAUCACUUGAUCUUACCUCGAUAAGUGAAACUGAGGCCAUAGCAAGGGGCAACAAGGCAACACCCUAAGAUGAUAACCAAGUAAAGAGUGAAAUUUAUCUUCUAUCUUAAUAGGUAGUUGAUAAGAUUUAUAUUGUAGGUUCUGCAUACAGAACAACCUACAAGUUGGGUUGAUCACGAGAAAUUUAUGGAGUUAAGAAGCUUGGGGAAGCACACACCUAACAUUCGUAUCAUAUUGGUUUUAACUCGAAAGCACUCAAGAAUUGGUUACUAUUUGCAAUUGAUAAUAAAAUCCUUCAUUUAAUUUCCUGCACUGUUCUUGGAUUACAUUAAGGGAAGCAACUGUUCACGUUUUCCCUAUGGGAUAGACCCCAACCUUAUUGGGUUAUUAUAUUUACAAUCGACCGCAUUAUACUUCUAGUUGAGGUGUAGUUUUGGGUGACAUCAAAUUUUUGUGUCGUUGUGGGGAAGAUAGUUGAAUAGUGAAUUAAAUUGGUGAAGUGUGUGGGUUCUUAAUUUUUGUUUUUUCUUUGUCAUAUGCCGGAGUAUGCCAAGUAGUAGUAGUAUAGGCAAUCCCUUGCUCUCGUUUGAUCCAAAACCAUAGAGAAUCCUUCAAACUCCGAGAAAUAUAUCAGGACAAAUUUUAUGAAGGGGUUUAAGAUCCCCCACCUUUAGAUCCAAAUGCAGCACUCCCACGUGCUCCAUUAGAUCUACAAAAUAUUAUGGACUUACAGACACAACAACUAUUGGAGCAAGAACAUAGAGAAAAAGAAGAAGCCAUACUUGCUGCAGAGGUGGUAGUAGCUUAGCAAGGAGGAAUGGUAUGGCCAAGACAAGCUUUUGAUCAUCAAGUUCAGAGAGGCAGGGCUCCAUUUAUUCUAGCAUAUCAAUACUUAUACCCUUAUGGGAAAGAUGAUGAAGAUUAGGGUUAUGUUGAGCCUACAGAAUCUUGAGCCAUUGUUCCUUCUGCUUUAGCCCCUAAUGUGAAGUUUGAUAUCACUAGUACUAUGAUCCAACUGUUAAAUCUGAAGGGUGUAUUUUUUGGGUAAAGCUAAUGAUGAUGCAAACAUGCACCUUACAAAUUUUCUUGGGAUCUACACAAAUUAUAAUAUUCUAGGGGUUAAUCAAGACAUGUUCAUAUUAAGGUUGUUCCCAUUUUAUUUGAAAAGUAAAGAAUCACUAUGUCUAGGGGAACUUCUAAGAGGAUCUAUCACUACUUGGCAUGAGUUGAAGACACAUUUUUUGAGAAGAUUCUUCCCUCUUACACGGAUUUUAUAGUUGAAGGAUAAAAUUUAUAAUAUCACAUAAUUACUUGCAGAGUCUUUGUAUGAGGAAUGGUUUCGAUUCAAGAAAAAGCUGAGUAUAGUACUAAAUCAUAGAAUUAGAGGAUCUAACUUGUCUGAGAUCUUCUAUCGAUCAUUGAAUAAUAGUUCAAGAGCUAUGACAGAUACUAUUUUAGGAGGAGCAUAUGUGUUUUCACUGGGAAGCUGCACAUGAAAUGCUAUAUGAUAUAGCGGUUACCAAUAGAAGAUGGCAUACUCAAGAUUUGAAACGUGGUGGUGGCACAUAUGUUAUUGGAGUAACAAAUAUGUUUGGAGUAGCGAAUGACAUGGUAGCACAAGAGGUUGCACCACUUUAUGCAGAUAUUAGGUUGCUUAUGAAUAAUUUGCAUCAAUUAGAGUUAAGAAGGUGAACAUAGUUAUGACAUUGGGGUCUUGCUCCAAACCAUUCAAGAUCGAAUCUGAAGAAAAGAAAAAUUAUCUUGAUAAUAGAUUAGUGGAUUCUGAGCCCAAGGGCAAGGGAAUCAUGGUUGGAACUAUUAUAAUGAUAGUUACAGAGAUAGGAGUAGAGAUGACAAUCGUGAUUAGUUGUAUAAGGAUGACUAUAAGGACAAGAGUGACAAAUAUAUUCCACCAGGAAGUCGAGAUACAAAAUCCAGAAUGGAAGCACUUUUGGCCAAGCUGGUCAAAGGACAAGAAAGUCAAGAGAACUUCUUGAAAGAUAUCAAAGAUGAUAUGUUAGGAUUGAACUAGAAAGUUGAGUCACAUGCUACAACAGUCAAGCAGUUGGAGCAGCAGUUUGGUCAUAUGUCAACCAAAGUAAACCAGAGACAACCUGGCACUCUUCCUAGUAACAUAUUGGUAAAUCCCAGGAAUGAUAGUCAAUGUCAUUCCAUUUCCACUUGGAGUAGUAAGGUUACUACAGAUCCACUGGUACCCAGAAUUGAUGAGCAAUAGUAUAAGGAUAAGCCGGUUGAUGUUGGGAGUAGCAGCAAGUAAAACAUAAGUGAAGGGAAGGAUACAGAACCUUUGCUAAAGCCCAUUCCAAAAAUACUUCCUCCCUUCCACAAAGAUUAAGAAAAAAAGAAGAAGAAGGUAAGUAUAAUUUUUUUUGUCUAUGUUAAAGAGUUAACUAUUACUAUACCACUUGUAGAAGCAUUGGAGCAGAUGCCAGGGUAUACAAAAUUCAUGAAGGAUUUGAUCACUAAGAAAAAGUAGUCAGUUAUGAGCCAAUUGACAAUAUUCAUCAUUGCAGUAUUGUAGUCACUAGAUCUUUGGUAGAGAAGGAGGACCCUGAUGCUUUGACAAUACCUUGCACUAUUGGGUUUUUCAACUUUACUCGAGUAUUAUGUAAUUUAAGGUCUAGCAUUAACCUCAUUCCCUUUGAUGUAUUCAAAUAGUUGGGAUUGGGAGCUCCCAAACCAACUACCAUGAGACUAAUAAUGGCGAACAAGACAUUGAAGAAACCUGUUGUAUCUUUUCUGAUGUUUUGGUGAAAGUGUCUUCUUUCAUAUUUCCUACUGAUUUUGGUAUAUUAGAUUCUAAAGUGGACUUUAAAAUCACAAUUAUUUUGGGAAGAUAAUUUUUAGCUACAAGUAGGAUGCUGAUUGAUAUGGAGAAAGGACAUCUGAUGCUGCGAAUCCAUAGUGAAUAUGUGACAUUCAACUAUAAAAAGCGACUCCAUAAUGAACAUGUGACAUUCAACUAUAUAAAUUUAUGAAGAGCCUGAUGAAUUGAGAGUGGUAUCUAUGAUUGAUAUAGAUGAUAAGGACACAAAUUCAUUCCAUAUUGUUGAUGUAGUUACUCUAUGGGGUGAUAGUUCUAAUACGAUUAUUCCUAUUAAAGAGAGGCUAGGUGUCGAAGCUAUUGCAGCUGUGAUUAUGAAUUUUGACUCUGAAGGUAUCGAGUAGUCUGAGGAGUUAGUAGGUGCAUUGCAUAGGGAUGGUUAUAAUUAUGAACCAAAGAAGCUUGAUCUAGACUUGAAGAAUCAAACGACUCCACCUGCUCGCCCACCAAUGAGGAACCACUGGUGUUAGAGUUGAAGGCCCUCCCUUCUCACUUACGGUAUGUAUUUUUGGGGGCCCAUAAUACUUGCUGAUUAUUAUUGUAGAUGAUCUGAGCCAAUCAAAGGUAGAAGAAUUAUUGUUAGUAUAGCAAAAUUUCAAGAGGGCCAUUGGAUGGUCCAUUGCAUAUAUUGUGGGUAUUUCACCUGGUUUGUGUACUCACAAAAUUCAGCUUAAGUCAGAUUGUGUUCCACUGUAUAACAUCAGUUUCGAAUCAAUCCUCCUAUGCAAGAGGUGGUAAACAAAGAAAUAAUCAAGUGGUAGGAUACUGGUGUAGUGUAGCUCAUUGCUGAUAGCAAGUGGGUUAGUUCGGUUCAGUGCAUACUGAAGAAGGGAGAAAUAACUAUCGUACCUAAUGAGAAGAAUAAUCUAGUGCCUAUGAGACCUGUCACUGGAUGAAGAGUGUGCAUGGAUUAUAGGAAGCUGAAUGCAUGGAAUCAGAAGGACCAUUUUCCUAUGCCAUUCAUGGAUCAGAUGCUAGAUCAGUUAGCAGGAAGAGGAUGGUACUAUUUUCUUGACGAAUACUCAGGUUAUAAUCAGAUCACUAUUGCAUCAGAGGACCAAGAAAAGACUACCUUUACAUGUCUUUAUGGGACCUUUACAUUCAAGCGAAUGCCAUUUGGGCUAUGCAAUGCCCCAACCACUUUUUAGAGAUGCAUGACGUCUAUUUUCUCUGAUAUGGUCGAAGAAAAUAUUGAGGUUUUUAUGGAUGAUUUUUUAGUUAUUGGUGACUUCUUUGAUGAUGUCUCAUUCACUUGGCGAAGGCUAUACAAAGGUGUAAACAAUGUAAAUUGGUACUUAAUUGGGAUAAGUGCUAUUUCAUGGUCAAAGAAGGAAUUGUGCUUGGGCACAAAAUUUCAAAGAGAGGCAUUGAGGUUGAUCGAGCGAAGACUGAGGUUAUUGAAAAAUUACCUUAUCCAAUUUCUGUAAAGGGAAUUUGGAGUUUUCUAAGGCAUGCAGGUUUUUAUAGGUGAUUUAUCAAGGACUUCUCGAAGAUUGCUAUUCCACUUUGCAAGCUUCUUGAGAAGAUGGUAAAAUUUAAUUUUAAUGAUGCAUAUAAUAAGGCUUUUGAAACCUAAAAAGAGAAGUUGGUUAUGGUCUAAUCAUUCUAUCUCCUGAUUGGUCUACACCUUUCGAGAUUAUGUAUGAUGCUAUCGGAUUGGACUUAGGGGUUGUACAAGGCUAAAGAAAAGGAAAAAUCCUUCAUCUAAUCUACUAUGCUAGUAAGGCACUAAAUCCUGCUCAAAAGAACUAUACCAUGAAGGAACAAGAGUUAUUGGCAGUGUUUUUUGCCUUUAAAAAGUUUAGAUCUUACUUGAUUGGGACAAAGGUGAUUGUGCACAUAGACCAUGUAGCAUUCUAGUACUUAAUGGCUAUGAAGGAUGCAAAACCAAGGCUUAUCCAUUGGGUGCUACUAUUGCAAGAAUUUGAUUUCAAGGUGCAAGCCAGAAAAGGCACAGAAAAUCAAGUUGUAGAUCACUUGUCUAGACUUGAGAAGGAAGCUAUGCAGAAGGUUGCUAAGGGAUUGGUGAUUGAUGAUAGCUUUCCAGAUGAACAAAUAUUGGUAGAUUCCCAAGAUCUAAUUCCAUGGUUUAUAGAUUUUACAAAUUACUUAGCAAGUGAUCUAGUCUUAGAAGAUCUUUUAUAUUAGCAAAGGAAGAAGUUCAUGCACGAGUUAAUAAAAUUUUUUUGGGAUGAACCUUAUCUUUUCAAAAUUGGUAUAGAUGGAAUCAUCCGUAGAUGCAUACCUGAAGUGGAUAUGAUGAGAAAACUUGAAGCUUGUCAUUUUUCACCUAUUGGGGUUCGUCAUGGAAGGGCCCACACAACUCAUAAGAUCCUAAAAUGUGGCUACUAUUGGCCAACCAUGUACAAAGAUGCUCAUGACUAUACUACUGCCUAUGAUCCAUGCCAGUAACAAGGUACUAUUUCUUGAAGACAUGAAUUACCUAUGAGUCCUAUUUUAGAAUUAGAAGUGUUCAAUGUAUGAGGUAUAGAUUUUAUGGGACCUUUUUUAAGUUUGUUUGGCAUGAAGUACAUACUUAUGGCCGUUGACUACGUUUCGAAGUGGGUGGAAAUAAUUGUGCUUCCUAACAAUGAAGCAAGGAGUUUUACCUAACUUUUGAGGAAGAAUAUCUUCUCUCAACUCGAUAUGCUCUGUGCCAUUAUUAGUGGCGGAGGGUCACAUUUUUGCAAUCAUCUAUUCAAGAGUCUCUGCUUGAAAAAUAUGGAGUGAAUCACAAGGUGGCAACAUUUUAUCAUCCCUAUACCAGUGGACAAGUUGAAGUGUUCAGUAGCAAAAUCAAUUCCAUAUUAGCGAAGAGUAUGAAUGCAGAUAGGAUUGAUUGGGCGAGAAAAUUAGAUGGCGCAUUAUGGGCUUACCAUAAAACUUACAAAACCCCUAUAGUUGCUUCAACUUAUCAGUUUGUGUAUGGCAAAGCUUGCCAUUUACUAAAUAAGAUUAAACAUAUGGCACUAUAGGCAUUGAAAAAGUAGAAUUUAGAGUGGAAGGAUGUACCACAAGCAAGGUAGAAUAAUAUCAAUGAUUUGGAUGAAUUUUGGCUUUGAGCAUAUGAAAGUUCAGCGCUUUACAAGGAAAAGAUGAAGUUGCAUCACAAUUACAUGAUUGAGAAGAGGGUUUUUGAAAAAGGUAAACAAGUGGUAAUAUAUAAUUCCAAGAUUCAUUUGUUUCCAGGAAAGUUAAAGUCAGGAUGGCAUGGUCAAUUCAUAGUGACAAGGGUUUAUACCUAUGGUGUUUUAGAAAUAAAGAAGGAUGGUGCAAGCCCAUUCAAUGUAAACAAACAACGAGUAAAGAACUAUAUGGGAAACAUAGAAGAGGUAAAGGAAAUUGCUGAUAUUCACCUUGAUGAGGUCUGAGUAAUCAAGGAAAUUGAGUCGUGCCGCGAUGUUAAAUCUAGCGCUGCAUGGGAGGCAACCCAUGAGUCUAGUUGGUGAAACCUGAGUGCCCAAUUUAGCCACAUCGUUCUGUGACGUUAAAUCAAGAGCUGCGUAGAAGGCAACCCAUAUUUUGGUACUUAUUUCAUUUAUAGGGUAAUGUUUCAAUGUGAAGGACUAAAAGAAUGCAGAAUAAAUCUAGAGAAGUAAAGAAGUUAUCAUACGGACUCUUUACGAGUCGUAUCUAUAUGGUAUGACUCGUGAGUAGGAGUCAUAUUGAAUUGGGAGAAAAAUUAGAAUAAAGCAUAAGUUUCUAGAAUGAAUAUGACUCCCAAUACGAGUUGUAUCGUUUGGGUACGGUUCAUAACUGAGAAUCGUAUCUAGUCCAGAACAUAGGUAAGUCCCCAGUCUAUAUGAGUCAAAGAAAUUACCCGUAAGACUGGGUACGAGUCAUAUCCACCACUCAUACCUAAGCUUAGAAGGUUAAUUCUUGAGUUGACCCAGCCUAGACCUACAAUUAAAAGAGAAAAAAGACACACGAUCAGGAACCUUAUGCUGCCAACUCGUACCCAUAUAAAUUUUACCCUAAUUUUGAACUCCAAUCCAUUAAAUCAACUUAUUUUCAACUUGAAUUAACUACCAGCAACCUCAAAGUUUUCAAUCGGUUCAGUUUAAAUUCGAAUUUGAGGACAUUAACAUUCCAAAUUGAGAUUUCCAACUCUUCACUCAUCAAGUAAGUGUCUAAACUUAUUUUUGCCACUUUGCAAGUUGAAAUGAGUGGUAUGUGCUAUUGUAAACUUGAUUUAAAUAGAAUUUCUACAUUUCUUGAUUUGUUACUCUAUUUGUGUUAUUUGUGUUGAAACUUUUGAAAGGGGUAGAACUAGGGUUUAGGAUUGGAUUUUGAUAUCUAUGUGCGUUUAGUUGCUGGAUAUAGUUGAAAAUUAGUCGUGGGUACUUUGGGAAUUUUCAUUAGAGUCAAACUUUGAUUUUGGAUUUCUAUAUUGUAGUGGAUGCGUGACUUCUUACGACUUGUACCCACCAAUACGGGAGUCGUAAUGAGACUCGUACCCACUAAUAAUAUGGAAGUCUAACAAAUUCAAAGUUCUAGAAUGGAUAUGACUCAACCAUAAGAGUCAUAUCUAGGCCAUACAACUCAUAUACAUUAAUCGUACCCACUAGGGAAGAAUUAAAAUAGAAUUAAUAUUUCUGACUUUCUUACGACUGUUGGUCAUGAGUCGUACCCAACUGGUACAAUGGGUAAGAAGGAAUUAUAAAUAGAGCAGUGAACAUAGGUCAUAAACUACUAAGAUACGAAUUGGUUUUAUGAGUCAUAUCCGGUGGGUAUGACCAUUACACACCACUCGUACCCAACUCAGACAAGGCACAUUGAAUUUUAUUUUUUAACUUUUGCUUUUCUUUUCUUUUCCUAGUUACUAAAUAAAAUUGUAUUUGAAGGAACAAAGCCUCCAAAGAACUCUUCAUCCUCCAAACCAAUCACUAAGAAAGUAAAUAAGCAUCCAACAAUUGAGAGUAAGGAAAUCAGUGUCUCCGAGUCAAAAUCCAUAUUUGAAAGCAACGACAAAAAAAUUAUUAGAACUCAUCAAAGAAAUUUAACAAAAAAGGAAAGGCAGCUGCUAAGAAAAAGGGAAAUAAGGUCAUUGCCUAAAAGUCAGAGACGCCACCACCAAAGGUGUCGAGAAGAAAAAAUGUAACAGUAUCUCCUCCUCAUACACCAUAACUAGUUAAUGAUGAUGGUAAUGAUGAAGAGACAUCUAGUUCAGCAGAGGAGAGUUCAAAUAGAGUUUAGGGACCAAGGUAGAUACUACCUAAUAGACAGACAGGACCUCCUACUUACAUUGGCCCCUUCUCCGGGGCCCAUCAUUGAACGAUGGGGAUACCCCAACAUAAAGAAGAAGUUUAACUUAGGGCUGUCUCAUCUUCUGGGUGGUAAGAUAAUGAGAGUGUUAUAUCUAAAUAGGAGAAUGAAUACUAUAGGGAUGUCAGAGUUGCUCGAGUUUGCAGAAUGCUUUCGACAUUACGAAUUCCACUGUAUGAUAAGAGCAACUGGAAGAUACAUCGAGGUCCUUAUUCAAGAUUUCUACAUAGCUUAUAAGGGAAAGAUGCAGAGGUAGUAUCCACAGAGUAUAUUAUGGAAGGGAGGUAAGCCUAUUACUUCCCUGAUAAUUCACAAAGUUCAGGUUGAUAUCUUACCUUGAACCAUAGGGAGAUUCUUGUAUGGGCCAGAAUAUUAAGCUCUAGCCAAUACAUGAGAGAUAUACUAUAUGAUGACAGAGAUAAGAAAAAUCACUGAGCGAACACUAGGUACUGAUACUAAAAUAGUGAUGUUUAAAUGGAUAGCUUAGGGGAUAGCUGCACAAGGUGAGCAUGCAAAUUGGAUUGCAGUAGAUAUUAAUGAUUCAUAAAAGAUAAAGAAAGGAACCCUCAACUUUGAGGGUAAGACUUUUUGAACACUAGCCCAACACAGGUUGUGCCCCACUAUUGGAGAUGACAUUCUGAGCCUAAUCUGGGCUGCUAUGAUAGCUGGUUUCAUAGCUAGGUACGCAUUAGAUAUUGGUGAAUUCCUGGCCCAAAAUAUAUGAGACAAGAUAGUUAGGGAGAAGAAGGCAUUGCUGGCCUAGCCCUACAUGAUUUCCUAUAUUUGCCUAGCAACAAAAGUUAUGGAGCUCCCUGGGGUUGACAAGAUGAUUGAGGCCCAGAGGAUAUUUGAUAUUGGAUUGAUACAUGAUGCAGCCAACCCUUUGGCCUUACCCAUGAGGUAGGAAGUUGAUGCUAUGGUGGGACUAUUUUCACAAGAUGAUCAGUAUGAUUCCCCUAUUAUAAUUGAGAGGUAGGAGCGCAGACUCAGGCUGCAUACAUAGAUAUAAUGGGUACUUCUAUUUCCCCAUGCUAUACAGUCUAUGCCACCUAGGCACGGGGUAUGCCUUCAGGUUUUAUUAUGAUGUCUCAAUAGGGUUGGACAGAGGUUGUAACCCAGCUAGCUACAAUUACUAUGAAGGUAGGUUACAUGGAAGGCAGAGUAAGAAGUUGGACGGAUUGAAAGUUGAGGUAGAAGAUAGGUGAGUCCAAAAGUAUCUAGAUACAUUUGAGUUAAGUAUUACAUGACAGUUAUACUAGUUAGAUACCCAAUGUUGCUGAUGUUAGAUCUAAGAUUGCUGAGAUAAAGAAGAUAGUCACUAAGUUGUAUGAGAGGCUGAUUAUUGUACGAGAGGCCGAUUGAUGUUUAGCCAGUUAUGGAGACUGUGAUUCCCAUAGUUGAGGUGACUGACAUUUGGGAAGACUCGAUCAAUGUACAGGUUGAGAAGACUAGAGAAGAGAGGAAGAGAAAGAAGAUGAAAGCUAAAGUAGCUAAUAAGAAAGCCAGACUUUAGAGCAUUUAGGAUAUGUGGGACCGCUAGAAAAGGGUUUGUGAGUUUGCUACUGGAGCUGGUGGAUCGAGGGAUCCGAUUGUUAUUACUGAGAGGGCUGAUGUUCUACCCCCAUCUGUUGAUUAAGUCUUGAUUAUUGGGAUAGUAUCUGACGAGAGUGGGACCCGACCUGAGCGCCCACAUCCUGGUAUUGAUGCUAUGGUACCUUGAGUGCCUAGGUAUGACCCUUAUCUAUACUAUAUUUUAUUUUUGUAGCACUAGGGAUAAUGCAACAUUCUUAAGUUGGGGGUGGGGGUUAUUUCAAAAAUUUAGGAGCGCUUUGAAAAAUUUUCAGAUAUAGCUGAGACUGAAAGUUUGUUAUAACUUUUAGGUUGAUAUAGAAAGCUGAGAUAGGGAGUAGAUCAACGCACCUACGGUAGCAAAUUUUUAAUUUUUAAUUAUGAUUGAUGGAUUUUGAAAAUUUUAUAAGAAUUUUUUAUGUAUUGAAAGAUUUGAUUCUGUUUUGAUUUCUACUUUGUGGUUGAUGAAACACUACUGACUGUUAUUGUGAAAAGUGGUGUUAAUGUUAUGCUGAAAAAAAUAAAAAAUAUUGAAAAAGUUGAACCCCCUCAAAAAUUUUGUUUAAUUAAUUGCGUAUUUGAAUAUUCGUGUGAAACUGUUGAGUAUUUGAUAAUGGCAUUAGAAUUAGGGAUAGUACAGUUCGAGACAAAAUAAUUGCGUAGUUGGAUAACUAGUACUUAGUAGUGUAGCCCUGUGCAAGUGUGUGUAAGGUUUACUGAGUUCCCGAUAGUGUUGGAAUCUAGAACUUUCCCAGUUGCUUUUACAUAGGUCUAGGAUGGUUUAGUAGGAUAUGAUUAUAGGACAUUGUUGCAUGAGUCCACUUAAUCCUUAAAUGCCUUAACCAAAUGAAAAAUUCCCUUUGAUCCAAAUAUUUGAGCCUUUAUAGACCAAUUAUUCUUGUUACGCCUAUCACCUUCCUAUUUAACUUACAAUGAACUUGUUUUGGCCCUGUUCCUCCUAUGGACACUGUGUACCUUAACUAAUGUAAAUUACCUAAGUUGAGGGUGGCUAUUAUAAGGGUGCGUAAGAGGAAAAUAAGUAUGGAGAAAAAUGGGUAGACGAAAAAUAGUUGAAACAUAUGUAGGUGUGAUGAAAAAAAAGAAAGAAAUGUAUAAUGUAUAGCAAAAUAAAAAGACCAAAAAAACAAGUUCUAGAAAGCCACACCUGAUCUAAUUAGAACGUGCUUAAAAGGAAAAGAGAGACAUAAGGGCUGUAAUAAAAGAAGUCAAAAAUUUAGUGGAUCCCAAUAAAAGUGUAGUGUCCAGGAGGAUUAGUCACUAACAAAAUCUUAAAAGAAAUUAUACCAGCCCCAAGUCUAUGUUACAAGACAAAUAAAGCCCUAUUGUGAUCCUACCAUGACUAUCUAACAACUUGGAAAAGAGCAUAAAGCUAAGCCUAUGGUAUUCUGUGUGCACAGAUGAUACUUCUUGGUGAGUGCGAGAGUCGUUUGUUAUAUCCCUUAAUAGAUUGGUUUGUCUAUAUAAAGAGUGAGUGUGAUUUCUUUAACUAUGAGUGCACAUGGGUUAUAUUGCUAGGUUGCUAGAUUUUUUGACGAAUGUAAAGUUUGUCUAUUCCUAAGAAUCUAUUACUAGUGUAACGCCAUCAUCAGAGUCCUUCGUGAUUCUUCAUAUGCUAAAUUUCUAUACACAAGUUUGAGUUGAAAAGUUGAAAAAAUUAAGAGGAGAACAAAAGAAUUGAAAUUUAAUUCAAAAUCACUACCAUGGGUUACUUGAGAUCUUUCUGUCUAAGCAUCGGCUCUGUGCUAGAAAAUAGUUAUUUGGUUUUGUUUUCUUGAGGAAAUGCAAAAGUCUAAGUUGAGGGUGUUGAUGUGGCAUGGAAACAUGACACUAUCAAUGCGUUAAACUGUGAAUUUAUGCAUAAACUUAGGGUAUUUUGUUAGAUAUGAUGCAGUUUGGUGUGAAUUGCAGGUAAUACAGGUCUACAAUAGUAUUUGAACACAAAGACCUAAAAAAAUAUCAACUUUGAUUAAUAUAUGUGUCAUAUUAUGAACCCUAACCAGUCUAUACAACUCGUAUGCUAAAUCAUAUGAGUAACAAAACCAAAAGCCAAAGAAAAGAGCCAAGUGUGAGGAAGAUUCACUUAAGUAUCCUAGUCAUAGGCUAGGAUACGAGUCGUAUACCUAAGUAGUAAGCAUAACAUAACCCAAGUUAUAAUCUAGGAGUUGAAGUGUCAAAAAUAUAUGAGUCGAAAGUCUGAGUACGACUCAUAUAGGGAUGUCGUAUACAAACUAGUGUUCAAGACUUAAAAAGACUAAAGCCCAGGUGAAUACGAAUGAAGGACAAGAUUCAUAUACUUAGGUAUGAAUCAUAGCGAAAGUCAUAUGCUGAAAAAAGAUUUGAAGCCUUGGGAAGAUCAGACACUGGAACGGAUAUGACAAGGCAGGGUAUGACUCAUAAGCUGAGGAUACAAGUGAAGAUUGAGUUGGACCGACUGCCAACUUAACUUUACGUUUCCCUUUUUUAAUAGGAUUUUUAUGUUAUUUUGAGAUAAUAUAAAUACCUUAGUGUUUAUCUUUAAUUAGGUUACACUCUUGAACGUUCCUUUACAUGGUUUUACAUACUAUUACCAUAUUCUUACAAUUGUUCUUGAGAUCUUAGGGUUUAUUAAAUAAAAGUCUUUGGAGUUUAUUUAUCUUAUUCUUGUGAAAUUGAUUUUAUGUUUUCUUCAUUGAUAAUCAUGGUUUCUUGUGUAAUCAUGAGUGGAUAAUCUCCUUAGCUAGGGUUUUGGGAACCCUGUCAGAUUAGCCAUGUAGAGAAAGCAUGAGACUAAAUUGUUUUAGGGUUUCUGCAUGUAUCUUAAUUCUUCUUUUAAAUAAUUAAACUCAUAGAAGUUGCAGACACUUGAGAUUUCCUGUAUUCGCAUCCAUUCGAUAACCAAGAAGUUGUGAUUAGGAAAAGAAUAUUAAGACAGUGAUUUGGGAUUAUAUAACAAAGCAUUCCAUCUUAUCACUUGAUCCUACCCCCAAAAAUGUAACUGAGGCCAUAGUAAGGGGAAACAAGGCAACCCCCUGAAUUGAUAACCAAGUAAAGGAUAAAAUUUAUCUUCUAGAUUAAUAGUCAGUUGAUAAGACUUAUCUUGUAACCUUUGCAUACAGAACGAUUGGGUUGAUCAUGAGAAAUUUACGGAGUUAAGAAGCCAGGGGAAUAUAGACCUAGCAUUCAUAACAUAUUGAUUUUAACUCCAAAUCACUCAAGAAUUUGUUACUAUUUGAAAUUAAUAACAAAAUCCUCCUAUUUACUUCCCUGCACUUCUCGUGGAUUACAUCAAGCCAAGCAACUAUUCACAUUUUCCCUAUGGGAUGGACCCCAACCUUGUUGGGUUAUUAUAUUUGCAACGGCCGCAUUAUACUUCUAGUUAAGGUAUAGUUUUAGGUGAUAUCACCUCUGAGUAUUUCCCAUAAAGGAUGUGAUGAGGUUUGGGAAGAACAAAAAUCUUAGUCCCAGGUAUAUUAGACCCUUUGAUAUCCUUUUCAUGGUUGGUGAUGUGGCAUAUGAGUUAGCCUUGCCCCUAGAUUUUGCUUCUAUUUAUCUAAUUUUCCAUAUUUUUAUGUUGUGGCAGUAAAUUCUAGUGUAUCUCAUGUACUUUGGUGGGACUGAAUUCAGUUGGAUGAGAAAAUGACGUUCGUGGUUGAGUUGGUGUUCAUAUUAGCCAGGGAUGUCAGACGGUUGUGCAUUAGAGAGAUUCUAGCAGUUAAGGUUCAAUAGAUACAUCUCCAAGUAGAGGAGGCUACUUGGGAGAUUAAGAGCGAGAUACGGGUCCAAUGUCCUCAUCUAUUUGAGGCUUCAAGUACAUCCCAACCCUUUACUUUCACAGCCAAAAUUUCUUUUAGUAGUGGAUAUUAUAAUGACCCUCCAGGUCAUUUCCUAUAUUUUCUCUCAUUUUUAUUGUUUAGAGAUUUCCUAUAGCUUCUCAUUUAUGACUUGUUAGAGCUGACUAUUUGUUUAUCGGACAGUUCAUUUGUUUAUUUAGAGUCAAUUCCUUAUUUUAAAGUCUUUGGUUGUAAGAAUUGACUAUCGGGCAAAAACUUCAGUCAAAAAACCUCGUAUGCUAAUUUUGACAAUUCCAAUAUCUCUGAAACAUUUAUUUUAGGCUAGGUAAACCUUUGGUUUAGGACUCAAGACUUCCAAACUCAUUCUUGGCUACUGACCGAAACUUAAGAAAAAUAGCACUAUAGGACCCACUUUUUAUUGAAAUAACCCUAGACGGAAAUUUCAACUAUGCCAUUGAGUUUGGAAUGUAAAAUUUGAUAGGAUAGCAUAGUUUGUUUGUCUAUACGGGAUUUUAAGAAAAUCCUGAGGGGUCGAAGGAGACUUGGAAAAAUUCCAACUCUCCAGCUUGUGCAUUCGCUAAAGCGGGCCUUUAGGUACUUUAGUGGCCUGGCCUAGCCUUAGCAGCAGCUUUAGAAGCAAGUUAGCUGCUAAAGCACAAGCUUCUUAGUAGCAUGCUAUGUAAGCACAUGUACCGCUUUAACGACAUCUGGGAGCUUUAGCCUUGACUGCUAAAGCAUCCAGUGCCCGCUUUAGCGGUACCUGAGAGCCCUUUAAAUGCUCCAUUUUCCCUAAUUCACUCCUAUUUUCAUACAAGUUCAAGAGUUAAAAACCCUAGAAUGUGUGGAAACUUGGGACAGACAUUAAUAUAAGAUUUUGGGGGUAUCCGUAAGCUCGAAUUAUGCAUUUCUUCUCCAAAUUCUUGUUAAGUGUUCAUUGAAUUCAUGGUUGAUUUCUCAAUUACUUCCCAAAAUCUCUAGAUUAUUGGUGCAUUGAUUGUAGCACAAUUUGAGCUUGGAAUUUAUCCAUUCUUUAGGGUAAAUGUUCCUCGAGCAUAGGGGGACGUGUUUCUAGUUUUGAAAGUGUGAUUCCAUAAGUGGGCCCCAUAUGGGAUUUUUUUACAUAAUUUGGACCCUAAGAACAAAAAUUCAAUAUGGGUAGUUUUUCUAGUAUUGAUGAGUUGAUUAUGAUUUUUAUAGCGUGGCAUCUUGCAUAAGUUUCUUGAUGGGGAAAUUUGUCGAUUUAGUAGAUUUUUCUGGGCUUUUCUUUGAUGUACAGUAAGCUAAGUUUACGUUCCUUAAAGAUUGAGCUAAUUUGUUGGAUAAAUAUGAUAUUAUUCUAGAUAUGGAUUGGGAAUUACGUCUUGGAGAUAUAAUUAGUUUUAUAUGGGUUUUCAGCUAUUAGAGAACCAUAAAUUAGUCAUAAUUGACUUAGUUACUCAUGAUUUAGGUAGAAUUUCUAUCUUCGGUCUAAAAGUUGCUUACGUAACAUCUAGAAAAAAAUUUAGAUACCUUAGACUAUUUCUGGGUAGCAAUGGCCUUUAACGGAUUUUCGAGGAUUAAAAAUAGGCCCUUCCAGCCCACUUAAGCCAAGACUCUUGAUACCUCAUUGUAGACUUUUAGAUGUGUUACUUAAUUGAAAUGCUCAUUUUAGAGUUGAAGAGGCUAUAUACAUGGUACUUAUGAGUUGAUUUCUAGUUUAAGUCUGGCAAUUUAUUGAUAUGAGUUUUAGUUUGAAUCCACCAAAUGAUGAUUAUAUUGAGUUUCGAUACGAGUCCGGUGUUGAGAGUUUGCUUAUGGUAUAUUAUGGCAUGGAUAGAUUCAUGUUUGUGUCUUGAGUUAUGAUUGUUUAAUGAGAUUUUGGUUUACUAUUUCUUUGAUUUCACCCUCUAGGCUUAUGAGGGCCCACGUUGGGUCAUUUACUUUCCUGCAAUUAAUGGCUUAUGGGGGCCAGCCUUGUAGUAUCAUUUAUGAUUUCUUUCAUAUUAUAUCUUUCUGGUUUUUUAUUCACAAUAUUGCAGCAUUAUUCCAGGUUCUUCCUCCUACCUUGACUUGGUUUAGUUAUCUUACAUCUUUAUUAUACAUAUAUUAUGAUUUAGCUCAAUUGGAAAAUGAUGCCUACUGAGUACCCAUGGAUUUGGUACUCAUACCAUACUUCUAUACCUUUUUGGUGCAAAUCCAAGUUUUAGUGGCCACCGCUGAUGUUAUAAUCCUACUGCUUAGAGUCUAGAGGUAGGGUGAGCUCUCAGUGCCGAAGUUGCCCUUUUCUCUUUCAUUUACUUCUGCUUAGCUUUUAUUAUUCUAGAUCAAUGUAUAUUUGAUUAUUAUUAUUAUACUCAUAGUCCCUUUUUAAUGUCUCUUAUACAGACAAUACUAGGUCGUGGGAUGUUAUUUCUAUUUUAUCUAUCUAUCUAUCUAUCUAUCAAACUAUUAUUAUUACUUGAAUUAUUGUUGUAAGUCUUUACUUGCAAAUUUCUGGCUAUUAUGCUUCUUUCCAUCAAAUUAGCCCAUUGCUUAUAGCUCUGGGCACCGGUUUGGCUUACAUACUUGUGGGGUAAAGUAGGUGACAUCAUGACUCAUAAAUUAGGUCGUGAUAGAAAAUAAUCAAGAAUGGACAAAGGUGGCAUCAAAUAAGGAUUACCAAGAUUGUGGGAUCUAACCACGGUCAUGCUCAGGCAUUUGUACCAUUGAAUCAGAGAUUCUACAAAUCAGAGGUCUCUUAGACAGAAGGAACCAUGAUCAUAAUUUGAGAGGAUGAUCGUACUACGUGAUCAUGAGAAGUAAGAGUUCAAAUAAACUAAGUUGUGGAACCUAAGUGUGAGAUGAUCAGAUAAGAACAAGUCAUAAUUGUACUUUGAUAUAACAACCAUACCAUGAGAUCAUAGUAUUAAGGCUAAGAUCUAAAGGAUGCAAAAGUUAUGUUAAAUAUGAUUAGAAAACAACAUUCCAUAGUCGUAUGUUGAAACUAUGGGUCCGUACUAAGAACCAUACCAUUGAAGACCUGAAACAUAACAAUUCUAAGUACAAACCAUUAUAAGAAAAGGAUGAUUGUGGGUUGUAACCACGAUUGGACCUUUAUCUCGUCCAAGGCUACUGACACAGUUUUCCUUUUUUUGGUUUAGGAUAGGAUUUGUUUUGUCUGUAAAUACUCUUACAGGGUCAUUUUUAUGGGGUUACACAAACAUACACUACAUUAUUAUACAAUUCUAAGGCAUAUUCUUGGGAUUAGAUGAAAAUCGUUUCUAGGGGUUAAUCAAAUUUAAGAUUAUGGAGCUUAUUUCUUAUUGUAAUUUCAUACUUAUUUUUUCAUCUCUGAACUACUCUUGUAUUCUUGCAAUUAUAAGUAGCUAAACACCACCACUAGGGUUGUGAGAACAAUGAUGAAUUAACAAAAUGAGUUAAGUACGAAGUCAUUCUAGACUAUUGUGGUUGGAUGUAUUGGUAGUCCCUUCCUUAUAAUUAUUCUUCAUGGGUGCAUACAUUAGGAACUCACUUGUAUUCUAAACUUGAUAGAUAGAGAGGUAUAGACUAGGAAAAGAGAAUAACAACAAAGAUGUGAAGCUAUCAACCUGUCAUGAUCCAAUUUACAAGUCAUGAUGGCACCUACUAUAUCCCGUUAGGAGGUAAGCCAAACUAUAGCCCAAAGCUACACACUAUAGGCUAACUUGGUGGAAAAUGGCCUAAAAUCUAAAAUUAACAUUUAAAGAGUUAAAACAACAAUAAAAUAGUCAAAAUAGUCUAAUAGAUUGAUAAAGGCUCAACAACCAUCCGAAGACUUAAUAAUGUCGGUACAAUAGCAACUAUAAAUAAACCAUAAGUACUGAAUAGUUAGAUACAAUCUGUAUCUAAAAUGAAAGACUAGACAUGGAUAAAUAGAAUGAAAAAGGGCAACUCUAACUCUGAGAGCUCACUCUAUCUCUAAAAUUAACUUAGCAAAAUCGUCGAAUCAGUAGUGGCUAUUAGUACCUGGAUCCACACUAAAAAGGUAUAGAAUUUUAGUAUGAGUACCAAAACCAGGUGUACUCAGUAGGCACCAUCGUUCGACUGAGAUAAAUCAUAAUAUAAAUGCGAUAAGACACAAGAUAAAGUAAACUAAGUCAAGGUAAUAGGAAAAACCUAGAAAUAAGCCCUAGCAAUAUUGUACAUGAAUAAAUUAAUACAUACGAAAUAGUAAUACAAGGAUCAUAUAGCUAUAACCACAAGAUUGGCCCCCAUAAGACAAUAAGCGCAAAAAUAUAAAUAACCCAACACAGGAUCCCAUAUGCCUGGAGGGUACAAUUAAGAAAGGUAAAUAACCCCAACAACCAUAAUUUACCAAUUACCAUGCCAUAACAAAAAAUCCAUCUAAACCAUAUUAUUUUAUAAAUAAGGAAUAUUUAUCCUAAAAUAUGGGUGAAUUUUGAGCUCUAAUGGUGAUACAAUCAAGCCACCAAUACAUUAUGGAUUUUGGAUAAAGAUGGUGAAAUUAUCCAUGAAAUUGGAAGCAUACAACAAAUUUCAAGAAGAAUUACGUAAAUUAGUUAUACCAAAGCUCCAUAAUCACCCACAAUUGAUUCUCCAAAGAAUUCCCACAUUUUAGGGAUCAAUAUUCUAGAGAAUGGUUGAAGAAUUUUGAAAAUUGGGAUAAUUGGGGUAUUCACACCCUUUCUAGAUAUGUGGUUGCUGCUUAAGCAAACACUAGGCCACUUUAGUGGUAGGCACUAAAGCUCCUAGCCUACUGCUAAAGUGGUACCUCACUAAAAUGGCAGGUCGCUAAGGCAGUCGGUUGGUGCUAAGGAGACCGACACUUUAGCGACCAACUAGCUGCUAAAAUUACACUUGCUAAUAUGGUCAGGGGCUACUAAAAUGCCCAAAAGGUUGCUAAAUUGCCCUUUGUUAAAAAGUCAAAGGUCGAUUUAGCAAUUGCACUAGAUUUUUUAGCAUCAUCUAGAGACUUGGAAUACUUUUGAGUUUUCGCCAACCCCUUGUGAUUCAUUCAGAAUCCCGUAUAUGCAAACAAACUGUGCUACCCUAUCAAAUUCGAUUUUGUAAAAUUGAUGGUGCAGUAUGAAUUUUCAUUACAGGUUUUGAUAUAAAGUGGAUACCAUACCCACUUGCCAUUUCUCUUAACUUCCAGUUAAUAGCCCAAAAUAAGUUUGAGAGCCUUGGGACUCAAACCAAGGAUCCACCCAACCUAAAAUUGACAUUUCAAAGCUAUUUGAAUAGUUAUAAUUGGGAUACAAGGUCGUUUGACUAAAAUGUUCUCCCAGUAGCCAAUUUGAACCAAUAAAGAUUUCAAAAUAGGGACUUGGCUCUAAAACCAAACGAACUACAUGGUAACUACACUAUCAGUUCUAUCAAGUCAUAAAUGAUUAGGGAAACCAUAAGAAAGCUCUAAACAAUGAAAAUUAGUGGAAAUAUAGAAAAUAACUUGGAGGGUCAUUACGCAACCUUUAUCGAAUAACUAGAGCCAUAAUAGGGAUAAUUAAAAUUAGAUUACAAACAAGGGUUUAUAAGGUAACACUCUUAGUCUGGGAGGAGACGGGUGAAAUUCAUCUAAGUCUGGGAGGAGACGGGUGAAAUUCAUCUAAUCAAGGCCACAAGAUAGUUAGAUGAACCUAUUUUGUUAGAUUUUGCAUGCAAUGCAACAGGAUAGUUUGCUAGAAAAAGUAACCUUUGGAGUUCUGACAUCAUGGGGAUCACAAUCCUAGUGCUCAUAUCAUAUUGCUUACAAAUCUUAAAGCAAAUAUUAUGAUAUUAUUUUGUUUCACAAAAAACCUCCCCUCAUUCACUUACUUGACAAUUAUUUAGAAAAAUACGUGAUCAAAUUUUGUUCUAUUCCCUAUGGGAUUGACCUCAAUCUAGUUGGGUUCUAUAUUUGAUCAAUGAAUGCUUUACACUUUUUGGGAGGUGUAAUUUAGGCAACAUCAGGGACUCUGCACUAACAUCCUAAAGAUAAGUAGGAAGCCGAACACCCUAUUCCCCCUGAAUGAAAUAUGAUUUUUGUUGGAUUAGACUUAUACACUUCCUCCCACUCUAGUUUAUCUCUCUAGACAUUUCUAGAGUUAACAUCUUAUUAUUACAUUUCAAGAAAACAUGAUAUGGAUACAUCCAUGUGACACUCCCAAACUACAACUCUUUUUAAGAAAUAAAAGCGGUCGUUGGCAAAUAUAUAACCUAACAGAGUUUGGGGUCGAAUACAACAUGGAAUAUAGUGCUAAUUAUAAUAUAUGUCAUUAAAAUGACUGAUUGCCACCAUUUUCUAUGAAAUGAAGAGGGGUUGGUUGUUAUGAAAGUUUGUAAAAUAAUAUUCAAAUUAUUGCUAAAGAACAAUAUUAAAAUUGUAUAGAUAUAAAUCAUUAGAGAAAUUGAACUAGGGUUGUGCUUACCAUGGCUAAUAUCACAAUUAUGUACCAAUUGUUGAGUAGGAUUUUUAUGAAAUUGGGAAAUAGAAAGUCACUGAUGCCUACUAUUCACCCAAGUGUUUCUCAACCUAAAUUAGGUGAUUAAUCCUUUAAUUCCUUUAAACUUAAAGAGAAAUACAUUUGAAUUUUAUUUCAGUUUGAGUUAGUUAAUCUCGUUAAAGCAUUGACCAUUAGAUAAAGAUUUAAAAACUUUGAAUCCUCAUUGAAAAUCCGUGUGCCUAUUUAAUUCCUUAUUUUAAGUGGAUUAACCUUAAGGUUUCAAAUAUUUAAAACCACUAGAAAUCUGUUAUAAUGACAAGAUUAUUAAUAUAUUUCCCUUUAUCAUUCGAAUCCCAGUAACAAUCAACAUUCAAACAAUGAAUUCACCAUGUCUCUCACAAUCCUAGUUUAAGGUGUUUAGCUACUCAUGAGUUUAAAAGAGAACAUAGAAGAGGAAUUCAAGGAUUAAAGAAUUAUUCUUACAAAAUAUGGAUUCACACUUCAUUUGUAUUUUAAAGAUCUACAAAGUUACCAAAAUACCCAAGACUAAAUUUAAAACUUUAACAUUUCUCUCCAAGUAACAUUUGAAAAAAAGUAGUUAAAAGAUAAUGAGAAUACCCUAAAAGAUGCUAUUUAUAGUAGAGAAGAUUUUAAAUUUGAAAUUAAAUCUCAGAUUUUCCUGCUUACAGUUGACGUCAAUAGUUGGCAACUCAUCAACUUGAGUUUUUAGAUGGGUUCUCUCUUCAUAAGAAUCUGCCCAGGUUGACGAUGGGAGUUGAUGGCUCGUCAACUAGUCGAUAGCCUAUCAAAUAAUGUCUUUAAUAGCUUUUGAAUUUUGCUUCAAGUUGAUGAUGAGUGUUGAUGGAUUGUCAACUCAAGUAGUCAACACCACUUUUUUUCCUAUUUCUAUGGUUUUCUCCAAAGUUAUUGAAACACCUCAUAUUUUAGUCCUUGAAAUUUUUUUGAUCUUUGAGAUCACUCUCUUGGUUAUGACUUAAAACCAUGAGUUGUAGGGUUUCUUUAUGGGCCAUGUGACCCUAGUCAUAAGGUGGCCAUUGUGUGGUGUUGAUUUUCUAUCCUGGGUACGAUUUGAGGGCACGAGUCGUAAUGACUCGUGAUAAGUCAUUAGGGGAGUUGUAACCAAAUCAUAUAAGUUUUUUGCUUUAUUUUUCUCUGAGUAUGAGUGGCUCACUAAAAUAUAUAGGGAUAUGUUUUGAGUCGUGGGAUAAAAUCAUUGGAAGCCUAAUGUUUAACCUAUUUGAGUUCUGUGUUGACUACGACUGGACCUUACGAGUCAUAGUCUCAUUACGAGUUGGUUGGUUGAGUCAUAAGUAUAUUAGCUUGUGUGUUUAUCAUGAAUAUACAAUUUAUGACUCAUGGAGAUGAGUCAUAAGGAGUGGUUAUGAGUCAACGGUUGACUCGUAGUUAAAGGUGACCUUUAUCUAGCUUUUAAGUUAAGGGCAUUCUGGAUAUUCCCCUUUUUUCCCAACUUGAAAACCACAUCUUAUAACCUAUUUAGGUUAACCUUGACCCUUAUAAUAACAUCAAAUAGACUCUUAAAAACUCUUAAAUCAUCAAGGUUAGGAACACUUAGGGUUUUCAAGAGAUUAAUCAAUUAAGUCUUUCAAGGGUGAUUUCUCUUUGUACUUCUUGGUGUUUAAGUCAUGUUACUCUUACCUCAUUGUCAAUUUCGUAAAUGAGUGUGAUUAAAAGUAUUAUUCAUGGAAUAUUGAUUUAGGGUUUUAAACUAUGGAUUUAGAGUUUUUAAUAUAAAUUAUUUAAAUGCUUCUUCCAUGAUAUUUAUGAAACUAUUGUGUUUAAAUUGAUGGUUAGUGAAUGCAUUAGGGUGCAUGGGAAUGGUAGAUGGAAAUAGGGGUACAAAGGAAUCCCAAAAUUGAUUGUUUUGGUAUGGAAAUUGGUAAUAUACUCAACCCACUUGCAUAAUUGAUUUUGAUUUAUGCAUUACCACUUGACUUGGCUUGUUUCUUGAAGCUAAUGCACAAUAUAAAUGGUUAAACAUAGUUUUAAAAAACUUAUGGGGUACAAUGGAAUCCCUAAGUGAAUGAUUUAAGAAAACCUUGUGGGGUAUACAGGAAUCCCCAAGUGAUUUUAAUAAGAGAGUCUACAAGGUACACGUGAAUCCCCAAAGUCUUGGCUUAAUGAUAUUGCUUGCAAGCUAUAGUCAGUAUGACGAUACCACUUAAUAAUUCCUUAAUAAUUGAAUCUUGGAAUUGGUGGUUUGGUUAUGUGUUAAAUGUUUUAAUUGGGCAAUAAUAGUGGCUGUGAUAGCUAGCCGUGAAGGUGUGAGUCCGAAGGACGGAUACUUAAAACUCAUGUUUAUCGACAUGAGGGUUGGUCUUGAGGUCCGUGUGCUUUUGGGGUACAAAGGAACCCCCCAAUUAUAUACAUGUAUAUGUAUUAUGGAGGGAGAAGGGUACAAGGGAAUCCCUGGCCAUUUAUGAUAUCUCUGGUUUGUGUGGCUAACACGCACUAGGGCCCGUUCAGGGGGUAACACUAGAACCAUAUAGCUUAUGGGUGGGCUAAUGAUAGUAAAGAUACACAACCCAGGUUAAGGAUUUAAAAAAGAGUGCUAAACCUUAUUCCCUAUCCCUUCAUGAUAUAUAUAUAUAUAUACGUAUUCGUAUAUGGUUAUGUGCAUUGGUUUGGCUUGGUUUGGGUUGAUGGCAUAACUUUAUCUUUAUCUCUGAAUUACAAGAUAGCAUUCCCCUCACUAACCAUAUUCUAAUGAUGUAUCCCCAUGUGAUGCAGGAAUCGACCAUUCUUCAACUCUUCCUUCUUAGUGACUAUAACACCCCACAUUUUGGACUAGAAUGAAAAUUCGUCAUUCAUAUGCGUAGAUGAUCCAAAAGGCUCGAAUCCUAUAUAAAUUUAGUGUGUUAAUAAAUUAUGUAGUGUGGGAAUCUAUUUGAGCAUAAAUUAAGAUCAUAGAGGUCCCCUAACUCAAGGACAAGUUGAAAGCAUUCCUAUUGUUCAAGUUUUAGUGAGCGUCAAAACUUGGGACAACUUCAAUCAAUCAUAAAUCCUUGUAUAUAUCGAAUUAGAGGACCAUCUAUAUAUCAAAUGAAAUAUAUUUGAAUUAUAUUUCCAACGAUACCAAUUUUUCCCAAAUACCAUAUCGGAGCAAGGAGUUAUGCCUAUUUUACUCCAGCAUGUCAGGCUGGGAAACUGAGUGACGACAUUCGGGUUAAGCUAUCACAAGUGCGAUGACUUAUCACCAAUGUCGUUAGACCUGGGCAGAUUUCCACCCCCAGUGAUGACAUUUUGUGAUAAUUCAUCAUGCCCGUGAUGGUUUAUCACCAAUGUUGUCAACCUUAACCAGAAAAUCAAGAUUUUACCCUUUUGUGAUGAUAUUUCGUGAUGACUUAUCACCAGCUUGAUGACUUGUCACGAAUGUCGUCAGCUAUUUUUUUUCUAAAAAUUAAGGAACAUUUUUUUCAAGGGUAUUUUAGUCUUUUUCCAUCUUUUGGAGGCCUCUAUAAAUAUCAGAACCCCCAACCAAACCCUAAUUUCAUCAUUUUCUCUUCCAAUUCUCUUAAGAAAAUAUCUAGGGUUUCAAUUAAAGAACAUUAAUCUUCCAAAUAUCAUCCAUAAAUCUUCAAGAUUUCUUCAAGAAUCAAGUUCCUCAUAGUGUGGGCUUCGAGAAUCAUUUAUUACAACUGCGGAUAGAGUCUUAAGCAUUAGAAUUCAUCUAAUUUCAAAGAUUAAGGUAUGGAAGUGUUGAUUCUUGGGUUCCUUUCACCCAAGAAGCUCAAGAGUCCUUUUUAAAAAUUCAAAGAUAACAUUUUUUAUGAGUUUUUAUGACUUAUGUGGUUUGAAAUUGAAGUUCUUGAUGUGGUUGAAAUUAAAUUCAUGAUUUGAUGAUAAAGACUCAAGCUUUGAUCCUAGUAUGUAUUGAUCUUAUGGUGUUCAUAAUAAAGCCUCUUCAAAGAGCAUGUUGAAUUAUGUAAUCAUGUUAAUUGGUGUAAUGAAUUGUUGUAAGGCCAAGAUAAUUGAAGUAUGAAGUUGUUACAUGUUGACUGACGUUGGAAAUAAUCAUAUUUUUCCAUGUGUGUUGAUAUAUGAUCAUAUCAUGCUGAAAUCCUUGUAUGAUGAAUUGGUUGAUGGAUUCAUGAUAUUUAUAAGUAGUAAUUGUUGAAUAACUAAAGCAUGCUCCCUAUAUGUUUGAUAAAAUGGUUGUAUGAAGAAAAUUGGAUCAUUAUGACAAUGUUGACUAGAAAUCCCCAAGUUUGGUAUAAGCUAAGCAUGCCAAGUGUUUGAUAAAAACCUUUAGUGAAUGGAUGGUAACAUGUUAGCAUGAAAUCCUUAAUUAUGUACCUUGAAUGCAUGUUAUAUGUUUAUUGGAAGAUCUUGUGGAAUGAGUUAUAAAUUGUUGGCUUGCAUUUCCUAUAAAAAUACAUGGUAGUAUUUCCAAGUGCUUAAAGUGAUGUUUUAUUGAGUAAAUAUUGAAUCUAUUACUAUGAUGUGGAUGUUGGUCAUGAAUUCAAAAAGUUGAGUCCUAUCAGUUUCCUUCCAUCGAGUACUGGGGGUACUUGUACUUGAAAAAUAUAGCUGUGUGCCUAGAGAAGAAUCAGUCUCAAGAUAAUCUCAGUCGUGAUAUGAUAAAUAGAACUCAGUAAAUGACUGAACAAUAAGAAAACUCAGUAAAUCUCAGUAUUAAGUUUAAUCAAGCUCAGUACUCAGUAUUCAGUUCAGAUUCUAGUAAAGCCCCUUUAAGUUAUAGAACUCAGUUGUAUUCAGACAUAGAGUAAAAUUCAGACAUAUUGCAUCAGAUAACGGAACCAAGUGAACUCAGUCACCUCAGUCAAGUACGGAACUCAGUAAUAGAUUCAGUUCAGUUGAAGUACAAGUUCUAAGAAUCAGUUCAGAAUCUUUCAGUUGGGAGUAGGAGGUAGCACCGAGUGAGUGCAGGGAUGGUGACUCCCCAUCAGAGAGGCAGAGUCAUUAGGGGCAAUCCCUAAACUCUAGAGUUACGUAGCCAGCGCAAGAUGUAGGAGUCACCCAUCAGAAAAAAGCUUUUCACCCAUCAGAGAGGCUUGACUAUUAUACUGCCUUAGGCUUAACUUUCUACGAGGGUCACCCAUUUGAUAGGCUUGAUCAGAGAGGUAUUUACCCAUGACAUGGUAUUGACACAUUUCCAGCUGGGGUUAUAGGUUAGACCCCAUUAGUUCAGGCUCGGGGUAUGUCUGUUAAGUUAGAACUCCCACAGUUGCAGUUUCAACAUCAUUCUUCAGAGUAAAACUCAAAAAUUAGGACUGUCAGAUACAAUCAUCUAUCUCAGUAAAGAACUCAGAUAGUUCCAGUGAUUUGUGGACCACCCGCUAGAUAGGCCUGGUUUCACAUAAAGUUAUUCAGCAUCAGUACUUACAGAGAUCACCCGUUAGAUAGGCUUGAUCUCAGUUUCAGAUUCAGUUGAGUAUUCUCAUUAUCAGAAUAUCCAGAGAUCACCCGUCAGAUAGGCUUGAUCUCAAAUUCAUAUUUAAUUAUUACUUAUCAUUAUAGAAGACUUAGAGAUCAUCCGAUAGAUAGGUUCUAUGUCAAAUUUAGCUGGUCGAUAGUAGCAGGCUUAGACUCAGUUGUUGAUAUUAGUUGACUUGGUUAUAUAGUAUUCCAGAGUUAGUGAACUUAGAUAUCAAUUUUAGUAGCUCCAAAUACUCAGAAUCUCAGUAUAUUUAGUAGUUACAGAUUAUCUAUGUAUGCUAAUCUAGCUCUUGCAUAUCAUUCAGUUAAGUAAUUGUUCAUGCAUAAGCUCUUGCAUUUAGCCUUACCUCAUUUGCAUACUCAGUACAUUCCAACGUACUGACGUAUUUGUGCUAUGGUGUUGUUAUUUCAUUUGACACCAUAGGUUCAGAGGCACAAAAUCCAGAAUACCCAUAACAGUCUAGAUUUUAUAAGCAACAGUAGAAGUAUUAGAGAGUGCUCAUCUUUCGAGGAUGAUUAUUAUUCUAGUAUAGUAUUUUAUCUAGUUUAUUUUAUUAGAAGGAGUUAUUUAGGGACUUUUCCCAUCAACUCCACAGUUCAGGUAGUUAGAGGAUUUUUGGACAGUUGUAUAAGUAUUCAGUUUGCAGAAGUAUUUUAGAUAUUUUGAACCUUAUGGAAAGUUUUCGUCAGUUUUUCUCAUGUAUUUUAUUAUAUUAUGCAGCAGGUACAAAAUCAAAAGAGGGUUAGCUUCUGGUCCUUCAGGAUCAUGAGCACUGUGUGGCAUUUUGGUUAUUGAAAAUUGAGGCGUUACAAACUUGGUAUCAGAGCCUAAGGUUCAAUAGAGUCCUAGGAAGUCUGAAAAGCAGCAUAUAGUAGAGUCUUGUACAUGGGUGUAUUGCGCGCCAUAUUUAUGUAAAAGAGGCUAUAAGAUGUUUUUUGGAACAGUUUUCCUUCUUUCAAUAUUCAUGUCGUGACAGCGAGCAGAAGUUCAAGUUGAACUCUCAGUCUAAUCCUUGUUCCUCUUCCGUAUAUAGAACAUGCCUCCUAAGAGGAUAAUAGGGAACCAGUUAGCCUUUCAGCCUGUUGAUCUCUAGAAUUAAAGUGUGUCACACACCAAGUUCUAGGCAUCUUUUUAGGUGCUAGCCCAAGCGGUGACAACUACAGUGCAGAUAAAUAAUGCUGCUCCUUGAUAGCAGGGUGAUGAUGCAGCCGCAGCUACACUCCGUGACUUUAUCAGAAUGAGCCCUCUCGAGUUUUUUAUGUCUAAGGUAGGUGAGGACACACAGUUAUUUCUAGAGGAGGUAAAGAAAAUAACCCAAGUUAUUAGUGUGUCUGAAGAAGAAAACAUAGAACUAGCCUCAUAUAGGCUGAAAGAUAUUACUUAUGAUUGGGUUGUAGCAUGGAGGAAGGGUAGAGGAGAGGAUGAUGGUCCCAUGACUUGGCAGAUAUUUCAGGAUGCCUUCCUAGAUAAGUUUUUAUCGUUAGAGAUGAGAGAAUCUAAGAUAGGAGAAUUUAUGAACCAAAGAUAAGGCUCUACUACGGUGAAGGAGUAUUGUUUAAGUAUAAUUAGUUAGCCAUGUAUGCCCCUAAAUUGAUAGCCGACCCUAGAGCGAGUAUGCAUAAGUUUGUGAAUGGUGUAUCCGAGAUGGAGUUUAAAGAGUGUAGAAAUUCUAUGCUUGAUAGAGAAAUGGAUCUUGCUAGAUUAAUGAUACAUACACAGUAGAUUGAGUCAGAUAAGAUAAAGGAAAGAGAGAAAUCUAAUAAGAAAGCCAGAACAGGUAGUCAUAGUUUCUCCCAGCCAGGGUCACAAGGUGGUAACCAUUCUCCCCAUAGUUAGAAAUUUUUAGUCCCAGCUCCAUCCUCAGCUAGUGUACCCAUACCUCAUCUCGGAGAUGACAGUCAUGAUGGGGCGCCAGGCUUCAAAGCCUAGGGUAGUGCAAGAAGUGAGCGUAGCUAUCUUCUUUAUAGAGAGUGUGGCAAGAAUCAUCUAGGUGUGUGUAGAGCAAACAACAAUGUAUGUUUUAGUUGUGGAAAGAUAGGCCACAGGAUGCAGGAGUGUAUAGUGUUAGCUAAGAGGGGUAGAGAUUCGCAUUAGCAUCAGAAUAAACUUUAUGCGCUUCAGACUAACCAUGAUCAUGAAAGUUUCCCUGACAUAUAUUUGGGUAUGUUAUGAGUUCUUCAUCUUUCUGAUAUGCAUUGCUACAUUCUUUGCUCCUGCUUGAGCUUAAGUUUUCAGCAUGAGUUAGUUAGUAGAGCAAGCAUUCAGUAUAGCAAUUAGACAGUUAGACCCGUAUAGUUUGUUUUCUUAUAUCUUCAUCUAACCAUGAUAUUAGGCAUCUCAGAUAUUAAGUUAUUCAAGAUAGAGUAUUCUAGUAGUUGCAAGUAUCGCUCAGCUCAUGCAUCAUGCAUAUGAUCCAAUUCAUAGAUGCCUUGUGCAUCAAUUCAGUAUAUCAACAAAGUAAGUGUUCUUAGAGGGACAUAGUGUCCCAAGGGGGAGAUACCCUAAGACUCCCCAAAGUUUUCAAGCUUUGCAUCAGUUAUCAUUGCAUAGUUAGUUAUGCUUUCAAGAGUAAGUUCUAUCAGACCUCCAUGCAUUAGUUAUGCAUGUUCUGUAGAUAAAGUUCAGCCUAUUAGUAUAUUCAUUCAUGUGUACAUAAGAACAACUCAGUCACAGAUCCAUGCAUUAGAUAUGUAUGUCCCAUAUGAUAAUUCAUCUUAUUAAUGUUUCAGCCAGGUAUUCUAUGCAUCAGCUAUGCAUGCAUACUCUAGUGGAAAAUUCAGUGUGUUAGUAAUUUCUGUCAUAUAGUCAUGUUCUAGAUAUUCAUGUCCCUUGAGUAAGUUCAGUUGAUCUGCACUCGUAACUUAUCAAGUGACAUUCAAGGAUGAAUGAUUCCAAUGGGGAGAUAAUGUAACACCCCACAUUUUGGACUAGAAUGGAAAUCCAUCAUUCAUAUGCGUAGAUGUUCCAAAAGCGUCGAAUCCUAUGUAAAUUUAGUGUGUUAAUCAAUUAUGUAGUGUGGGAAUAUAUUUGAGCAUGAAUUAAGAUCAUAGAGGUUCCCUAACUCAAGGACAAGUUGAAAGCUUUCCUAUCGUUAUAGUUUUAGUGAGCGUCAAAACUUGGGUAAACUUCAAUCGACCAUAACUCCUUGUAUAUAUCGAAUUAGAGGACCUACUAUAUAUAAAAUAAAAGCUUUUUGAAUUAUAUUUCCAAUGAUAACAAUUUUGAUCAAAUCAGAUAUCGAAGCAAAGAGUUAUGCUCAUUUUACUCCAUCAUGUCAGGCUGAGAAACCGAGUGACAAUAUUCGUGACAAGCUAUCACAAGCGUGAUGACUUAUCACCAAUGUCGUCAGCCCUGGGUAGAUUUUCACCCCUAGUAAUGACAUAUUAUGAUAAGUCAUCAUACUCAUGAUGGCUUAUCACCAAUGUCGUCAACCUUAACCAGAAAAUCAAGAUUUUACCCUUUUGUGAUUACAUUUUGUGUGACUUAUCACCAGCUUGACGACUUGUCACAAAUGUCGUCAACUACUUUUUUCAAAAAUUAAGGUACAUUUUUACAAGGGUAUUUUGGUCUUUUCCAAUCUUUUGGAGGCCUCUAUAAAUAUGAUAACCCUCAUCCAAACCCUAAUUUCAUCAUUUUCUUUUCCAACUCACUUAAGAAAAUAUCUAGGGUUUCAAUUCAAGAACAUUAAUCUUCCAAAUAUCAUCCAUAAAUCUUCAAGAUUUCUUCAAGAAUCAAGUUCCUCAUAGUGUGGGCUUCGAGAAUCAUUUAUUACUAGUGCGGAUAGAAUCUCAAGCAUUAGAAUUCAUCCAAUUUCAAAGAUUAAGUUAUGAAAGUGUUGAUUCUUGGGUUCCUUUCACCCAAGAAGCUCAAGAAUUCUUUUUAAGAAUUCAAAGAUAAUAUUUUUUUACGAUUUUUUUUAUGAUUUAUGUGGUUUGAAAUUAAAGUUCUUGAUAUGGUUGAAAUUAAAUUCAUGAUUUGAUGAUAAAGACUAAACCUUUGGCCCUAGUUUGUGUUGAUCUUGUGGUAUUCAUAAUAAAGCCUCUUCAAGGAGCAUGUUGAAUUAUGUAAUCAUGUUAAUUGGUGUAAUGAAUUGUUUUAAGGCCAAGAUGAUUAAAGUGUGAUGUUGUUAUAUGUUGACUGACGUUGGAAAUAAUCAUAUUUUUCAAUGUGUGUUGAACUAUGAUCAUAUCAUGUUGAAAUCCUUGUAUGAUGAAUUGGUUGAUGGAUUCAUGAUAUUUAUAAGUAGUAAUUGUUGAAUAACUAAAUCAUGCUCCCUACAUGUUUGAUAAAAUGCUUGUAUGAAGAAAAUUGGGUCAUUAUGACAAUGUUGACUAGAAAUCCCCAAGUUUGGUAUAAGCUAAGCAUGCCAAGUGUUUGAUAAAAACCUUUAGUGAAUGGAUGGUAACAUGUUAGCAUGAAAUCCUUAAUUAUAUACCUUGAAUGCAUGUUAUGUGUUUAUUGAAAGAUCUUGUGGAAUGAGUUAUAAAGUGUUGUCUUGCAUUUCCUAUAAAAAUACAUUUUAGUAUUUCCAAGGGCUUAAAGUGAUGUUUUAUUGAGUAUAUGGUGAAUCUAUUACUAUGAUGUGGAUGUUGGUCAUGAAUUCAAAGAGUCGAGUCCUAUCAGUUUUCUUCCAUCGAGUCUUGGGGGUACUUGUACCCAAAAAAUAUCACUGUGUGCCUAGAUCCGAGUUAGUCUCAAGAUAAUAUCAGUUGUGCUGUGAUCAAUAGAUCUCAAUCAAUGGCUAAACAGUAAGAAAACUUAGUAAAUCUCAGUAUUCUGUUUAAUCAAGCUCAGUACUCAAUAUUUUGUUCAGAUUCUAGUAAAGCCUCUAUAAGUUACAGUACACAGUUGUAUUCAGGCAGAGAGUAGAAUUCAGACAUAUUUCGUCAGAUAAUAGAACCAAGUGAACUCAGUUACCUCAGUCAAGUAAGAAACUCAGUAACAGAUUUAGUUCAGUUGAAGUAUAAGUUCUAAGAAUCAGUUCAGAGUCUUUCAGUUGGGAGUAGGAGUUAGCACCGAACGAGUGUAGGGAUGACGGCUUCCCAUCAGAGAGGAAGAGUCGUUAGGAGAAAUUCUUGAACUGCUGAACUGCAUAGACAACGCAGGAUGUAGGAUUCACCCGUAAAAAAAAGUCUUGUCACCUGUCAGAGAGGCUUGACUAUUAUACUGCCUUAGGCUUGACUUCCUACGUGGGUCACCCAUCAGAUAGGCUUGACCAGAGAGGUCUUUACCCAUGGCAUGGUAUUGAUACCCUUCCAGCUAGGGUUAUAGGUUGGACCCCACUAGUUUAGGCUCGGGGUAUGUCGGUUAAGUGAGAACUCCCAUAGUUGAAGUUUCAGUAUCAGUCUUCAGAGUAGAACUAAAAAAUUAGGACUGUAAAAUAUAGUCAUCUAUCUCAGUAAGGAACUCAGAUAGUUCUAGUGAUUCAUGGAUCACCCGCUACAUAGGCUUGGUAUCACAUAAAGUUAUUCAGCAUUAGUAAUUACAGAGAUCACCCAUUAGAUAGUCUUGAUCUCAGUCUCAGAUUCAGUUGAGUAUUCUCAUUAUUAGAAGAUCUAGAGAUCACCCGUAAGAUAGGCUUGAUCUCAAAUUUAGAUUUAAUUAUUCCUUAUCAUUAUAGAAGACUUAGAUAUCAUCCGCUAGAUUGGUUUAAUCUCAGAUUUAGCCAGUCGAUACUAGAAGGCUUAGACUCAAUUGUUGAUAUUAGCUGACUCGGUUAUAUUGUAUUCUAGAGUUAGAGAACUUAGAUAUCAAUUUUAGUAGCUCUAGAUACUCAGAAUCUCAGUAUGUUCAGAAAGAUUAGCUUGACAGUAUGUCCAGUAUCAGUUAUCAUAUUUAGUCCUAGUAUGCUCAGUCAGUAUGUGCAGUAUGUUCAGUAGUUACAAAUUCUCUAUAUGUGCUAAUCUAGCUCUUGCAUAUCAUUCAGUUAAGUAAUUGUUCAUGCAUAAGCCCUUGUAUUUAGCCUUACCUCAUUUUCAUACUCAGUGCAUUCUAACGUACUGACGCAUUUACGCUAUGGAGUUGUUAUUUCAUUUGACACCAUAGGUUCAGAGGCACGAGAUCCAGAGUACCCAUAGCAGUCCAGAUACAGUCAGCAGUAGUGAAAGUAUUAGAGAGUCCUCAUUUUUCAAGGACGAUUAUUAUUUUAGUAUAGUAUUAUAUGCAGUUUAUUUUAUUAGACGGAGUUAGUUGGGGACAUAUUCCAUCAACUCCAUAGUUCAGAUAGUUAGAGGCUUUUUGGACAGUUGUAUAAGUAUUCAAUUUGCAAAAUUAUGUAUUUUAGAUAUUUUGAACCUUAUGACAAGAUUUCGCUAGUUUUCUGUAUGUAUUUUAUUAUAUUAUGCAGUGAACAGGUACAAAUAUCAGAAGAGGGUUAGCUUGUGGUCCUUCAGGAUCAUGAGCACCGUGUGGCAUUCCAGUUAUAAAAAAUCAGGGCAUUAUAGUGAUAAGGUGAUUCGAGGACAAAUUUUGAGUCAUACUGAAGUGGUAAGCUUCCAUACUUCGGAAGACCCCUUUUCAUGCUAUGGAUUUAUUGUCUUUACUAUUUCUUUGGUUUUGGUUUUGGUUUUGUCUAUGGUUAGGAGAAUGUCCCGAUUGAAUAUUUUUUGGUUUUAGUUAGAGGCUCUGUUGGACUUCUGUGGGCAUAGGCGGUGUUAGUAACGGUGUUGGCAUUGGCAUUGCUAUUUGUAUUGGUUUGGGAAUGGAUGGUUUUGGUUAUAGACUUAUUUUAAUGUUUUAAAAUUGAUAUUCUCUUAUCUUGUUAUAUUUUCAAAAUUCAUCUGACCCAAGGUGUAAGAUGGGCGAUGACUUAGGUAUUGGGGGUAGUCUCCAGUCCUGGUUGGACUUGAGAUACCCGAUCCGGCCAUACUCGGGUUUGGGUUGUGUCAAUUAUCUUUUCUUGCCUAAAAAAUUAAAAUACAAUUUAAAAAAUAUUACUUAAAAACUCACAAUUAUUCCUAGACAAAAGCAUCAAAUGUCCCGUCAGAAAGGCGACACAUCAACACCUUUAACUUAUAACACUUGUUUGUCCUUAAAUAACCAACAAAACUAUAUCAUGCACACAUUAGUGUUUCAAGGGAUGGGACAAAAUUUGUAACCUCAAAAUGGAUCCCAGUGUGAUGAGCAUGACUUUAACUAAUCAAUCACAAGAAUCCAUGCUUAACAUUACAAUACAAAUAGGAAACACUACAUACACUUAAAGUACUCAAUCUAAUAAUCAGCAGUUUUACGUUCCAUCCACAUGACCUCACUACAAAGAAGUUCCUCACACGAUGUGUAGAAUUUUGUUUAGGAACUAGAAAUCAAAUCUCUCACUCUCACAAUGAAUUUCAAAUCAUGCACAUGCUAUGCCAUAGGGUUGUCUUUACCAUUCCACCUCAAGUUUUUAGUUGAUUGACUAAGAUAAUUAUAGAACUUUUCUUGGCUUGUAUUGGAAUAUUAGGUGCAGGUAGCAUAAGUUUGGGAUUAGUGACUUAGCUCUCCUUGACAUAAAUUAGCUAGGCAUUUUUGCUUGACUUAUGACUCCGUCCUUAGUCACCUAGAUGUUUCAACAAUUCUCAUCACCUAGUGUGACAUAUCCCUUAAGUCUUUUAUUUUCUCAAUUAUAAAAUACACAUAUACUUUUUUUUUCUAAUAUAUAUAUAUAUAUAUAUAAAUACACACUCAUAUAUAUACACACACAUAGAGAGAGAUACACACACUCAUAAGAUCUUCUUUUAUCCUUUACUCUUUUCACAUCCUUUUUCACUUGUCACGUCUUUCUACAAUAGCCACCCUUAACUUAGGAGAUUUGCUUGAUUUGAGGUAUACAAUAUCCAAGGAGGUAUCAGUGCCAAAUAGAGGUUCAAUAGUGAAAAUAGGGUAGGUGAACAAGUUUUGAAAAAGAAGGUGUGUCAUCUUAAAUUGGGAUGAAGGGACUAAAAAUCAUACUUUGGAAAACUUAUUUAGGUCAAGUUGACUUAAAAUCAAGCAUGGCCUAUGAUCCUUUCCUAGACAUCCACUUACAACCUAAUAGAUAGAACUGGGCAAGUUUUGGAUGCAUGUACAAGAUAAGAAAAUAAUACAAUAACCUCACAUACUCAUGACCUUGAGUUGCAUAAUCACCACAAAUAAUUAAUUUUAUACUAAUGAUUAAGCAAACAUUGCCAUAUUCAUAUGCUAUUAAUGACAAGCACUGAUUCACAACGGGAAAUUUAGCUAAUGAUGUCACAAAAUUUUUUGGUAGGUUCUCACUUCCACUAAUAUAAAAAACAAUUAACGCCAUUCAUUUUCUAUUGACCAUUUGCAUACAUAAUACACAACAAUAUACAAAACAUAUAGGAAGACAAAAUAAUAUAUCCUAAACAUGUCGGUGCUUCUAGAUACACAUAAAGGAAAAAGAACACAAGCAACAAAAACUAUUAUGGAUACAGGUACCCCCACCCCUCAAUAAAAGUCUAUGAAUUGUCCUUAAUAUAUUAUUCAAAAAUUAUUAGAACUAGGAUGAGGACGUACCUAUAGUGACCUAGGAGCUUAUGUCAUAUGACAGAAUAUGAGGCUGCUUUAACAACAGUAGCAAUAUCAGCAAUGGCACCAGAUACAACCAAUACACUCAAUAUGGUAAUUGGUGGAGUAGAAAACUCCACACUCAUAUUAGUAGUACCCACAUAUCAGGGUGGUCCACUAGUAAAAGCUCCUACAACUUGAGCCCACAAUGCUUCCUCUUGUGGUUUAUUUUCUUCUUUAGAUCUCUUUAUUGCCUCCUUUAACUCUUUUCUCUCUUAUUUUUUAUUAUUUUCUGUAUCUUUUUUCAAUCUGCUUUAUCACUUUGAUUCAUUUGCCUUUACCUUUAGGAUUAAUUAGCUUGUCUGUUAAGUUAUACAUUGCCUUAUUUUUCUUCUAUUUCUCAUUAUCUUGAGUUAGGAACUUCAAUAUCUUUUAGAUUUAAAAAGAUAUGUUAUAAGCCCUAUCCUUCUUUAAUACUGCCUCAAACUUCACAAGAUCAGGUGCAUUUAUUUUUUCAACCUAUCAUUGAUUCAACAUUUCGUAUUAUCAAUGCACCCAUAGAGAGUAGCAUAAGGUGCCAAUGUUUCUCUAAUUUUCCAAUAAAUAAAUUAUUUGAACCAUUGGGCAAACAACUUCAAUUGAGCAUCAAAUAUCUUUCUUUACUUGGAUAUUUUCUUAAAAUUAUGAGGAGUAAGCAUAUAUUCAGAUGUCUAAGCUAUGGAAAUUGCUGCUUUUGUAGUCUCAGUUGUAGGUACAGUACCUAUGGAUGAGGUAGUACGAAUAAACUCAGUUGAAGAGAGAUAUAUAAUUGGUGCAGAUCCUAAGUCAUCCGUUGUCAUAUACGUACCCUCUAUUAUUAGAAUGUCAACUCCCAAACUAUCCUACUUACCCAUACUCAAUGUGGACCAACCCUUAUCCUUUGUUUGAUCAAAAGUAUGUGUUUUUGUGUCUUUCACUUCAUUGUCUACUCUGGAUUAUAGAAACAUGAACCGCUUCACACAACUUUGUGAUCAAACAUGGGAAUAGAUAUGAAUUAUCCAAUAUUGUAUCUCUUAUUUUAUUCUCAUCUGUGAUUAUUUCUCCAAAAUUUAGCUUGAACCUAGACAUCAAACUUUCUACCAACACAACUUUAUCUUCGCCCAACUUAUUAUCACAUGUUAUUGGCAUUAGUCUGAACCUCACAAUACCCCACAAAAAUUUUUCCACCUGAGAUGGAGAGGCUUUGGUUUUCUUAGCAUUGGGAUUUAUCAUCCAAUCCAAUUCUCCUUUGGCAAACAUCUGAGAUAACCAAGGGCAUUAGUUUACAUCAUCACUCAUCCUGUGGAAGAAUUUCUACAUGGUAGAUAGUGGUACAAAGUCUUCUCCAUGCAAAAACCUAUUAAUUAUAUGAUUGAACAAGUCUAUAGAUACACCCCAAACUAGAAUUCUAUCCAUAUUGGAUUUGUCCAUGGCUUUCUCCCCUUUUUUACAUAUGUUCUCUAGAAUGAUUGUAUAGUUUGCAUAAAACUCACACUUUAUAGCCAGUUAAUGUGACCUAAAUCCUUGGUAAGCUAUCCCCAAGUCAUAAGAAUUUAGAAUUUAUUGAAUUUUUUGGAUAUUUCCUAAGUCCCAAACCAAUGAUCUUGACCUCUUCAGCCAAAGUUCUCUUAUUAUAUAUUUCCCAGUUACAAUGAGCCCUUCAUAGUAGAUCUUGGAUGACCGCUAUACUUUCCAUAGCAAAUUAUCUCAGAUACCGGGGAUUUUACCCUUGAUCACAUCACUCAGAGGUUGUAAAAUUUUUAUCUUGGGGCUUCUAGAUGUCUUAGAGUCUUUUAUCAAUUUCCUCCUAGAGCUCUCUUAUUUGAAAUUUAAUUAACUCUAAAUAGACACUGCCCCCUCCUUAGACGGGGGUGGGGGGUGGUGGUGGGUUAUUUGAUAGACACUUUGUUUUAUUUGACACCCUUGCGGUCCAGCCUCCUCAAUGUCAUGUUCUGAUUAAUCAAAUAAUCUCUGAGUUGAGGAGUUUUCGAUUGCUCUCUUAGAUCUACCACUAUGCUUUGUAUGAUCUUUUGGAGGCCUGUUUGUACCUAAAUAAUAAAAAUGUGAUUUAUAAUCAAAGGAAACCAAGAAAAAAUGUACAAAAUUGACUUGUAUUUAUAUGGUUGAUAACAUAGAUCGACAUCUCUUCAACUUGUUGAUGGCUUAUGAACCUUCAUUAUCAACCUAAGAUAGAAUGACCAUAUAUAUUUACAUUAUUGAUGACUUGAGUUGAUGUUUCAUCACACUCUUUUCCAACCUAAGUGUAACACCCCGAAAUUGGGUUCCGAGACAUCACAGAUGCUUAGGGGCAUAAGCGACCCUAAGCUAACCCUUCUACUGGCAUAACUCAUAAGCAACUGAAUAAAAUGCUCAAAUCUACACGAGAUCAGUGAAAACAUAGAACUUAUCUGAACUUGAUCAAUACAAUUAUGAACGUUACAAGGUUACAACUCUGCUUUUACAAAUAAAACUGAAAUUGAAUACAUCAACUUCUACUGACUGUCUAUGAAGCCUCUACUGGUACUGAUUUUAGAUAAAUGGGUCAUGAAUCCCAAAUACCCAAUCUCAAUACGAAUAAAGUUAAAAAAUAUGAUACUCCUCAAAUUGUAUAACUGACUGAAGCCCUCGAAUCAAAAGGACUCAUCACCUGCUGACCGGAAGCUGUAAACUGCCUGAAUGCGGUAUCUGCGCUAUAACUUGUACUUAAAUUAUAAGGCACUGUAGCAUAUAGAAAUAUAUGGGGGUCAGUACUUUAAAGAAUGUACGGAGUAUGUGGGGGUGCAAUGCAACAUUAUAAAUAAUAUCAUAAAUGAUUAUGAAAAUCAUGCAUGCUGACAAUAACAACUUUCUUUGCUUGAAUUAAUUGAAAUAUAUCCAUUGAAACUCAUCAUUAGUAAUACNNNNNNNNNNNNNNNNNNNNNNNNNNNNNNNNNNNNNNNNNNNNNNNNNNNNNNNNNNNNNNNNNNNNNNNNNNNNNNNNNNNNNNNNNNNNNNNNNNNNNNNUUUCUUAUAACCGACAUAACUACACCAUGUGAGCCUCAUGGAGUCCAACAUUUUACCCUCGUAAGGAGAGAACCCCACAUUGGUGAGGGUGUUGUACUCUUGCCAAGGAGUACAACCUCAAUCUCAUUAUCACUAUCUCAUACUCGGCCUUUGGCCCACAAUUAUCAACAUCAAUCCUAUGGUGGCACGUAGUUCUGGGGAAAUACCAAAUUUCCCGCUCGGUGCUAAAUACUCCUCCCAGACUCAACUCAGAACGCGUUAGGAAAUCCACCUUAAUCAAUAUCAACUCAUGGGUCAAUUUUAAAGACCAAAACAUAAAUAUAUAUCUCAUCGGUAAAUCAUAUACAACUGUGGAUUCCUAACCCGACUCAAAAUAAAACAAUCUUUCUCAACAUUAAGAUGAAUCAAUUCAUUAAGUCAUGGUAACAUCAAUAACCUUGAGAAAAUAUCAAGACUCAUUAUAGCAACUUAAUCUCUUGAAUCAAUGUACUCGAUAAUCCUAUUUUUCAUAAGGAGGCUUAUAGCUUGACACAUGUCUUGAAAGCACUUGAAAUACAACUCAUGAUAGAAACAAGAAAUUCACAAUAUUAAAUAUCAAAUCAUAAUUUUGAAAUUGUGAAAUACCCAUGAAUCAAAAACUUCAAGAAAACAUCAUAGAACUCAUUCUUGAAUCUCAAGCUCGAAUAUCAAUAUGUAUAUUCGAUAAUCAAACUUCUUAUCUCAAAUAAUUCGGAAAUCAUCACCUCAUAAUAACAAUAUUCAAUUCAUGGUAUAAGUCCUCAAUUUAAGGACUAAAAUGAUUAAAUAGUCAUGUGUAUCAAUCUUGAUUUGCUCAAAUAUCAUAAAUCAUUAAUAAAGUAAUUUGGGUGUAAGCCCACUUUUCAAAAUCAUGGAUUUCAAUAGUAGAAAUUAAAUCUUUGGGCACAAGAACGAAAGAAGUGUUCUUAUUCAAACCCCACAUACCUUGAUUAUGAAUUUGGAUAUGAAGAAACUUGAUUGGAAACUCUUUCUUGCACUUUUGGGCUAAGCUUAUUGAUGCCUUUGACUUGGAGAACUCAAUUUUUGAACAACUUGGAAGGAUUUAUGGGAGAAUUCUAGAAUUUCUAGGAAGAAGAUUUGAUUUUUGGGUGGAUAGAAAACCCUAGUUUUCUAGAAAUUUCUUGGGAGAUUUUUGGAGAGAAAUAGGAAAAAUGAUCUCCUCUUCUCUAUAUGGAUAUAUAUAUAAAAACCAAAACAGGCGAAAAAUACCAAAAUUCCCUUUUUUGAAAAAGUUGAAAUUCGUUAAUCGGAGCUUGUGACGAUCGAUUUGACGGUCCGUCAGAAGAUCUGAUGGACCACCAAGUCAUCUGUCCCUCGAGUGCUAAAUUUGGGCCAUUAUGCCUCAGAGUGACAUUCAAAGUGACAAUACAUUAGUGAUCUGAUGGUCCACCAGGUCAUCCAUCACUCGAGGCCCAGAAAUAGGACAUUCUAUUUUGGCCUGACGGACCCUUUGACGGUCCGUCAAAUUUUUGAUGAUCAACCAACUUGGCCGUUAUACGAUGGCAUAAAGAGGGAUUCACUGCCUUGGCAUGAUGGGGCACUUGAAGGUCUACCAGGGACCCGACGGUUCGCCAGGUCGACCGUCAAAUCUGGGUGAUCCGAUAAUUCUAAGUAAAACGGUCAUAACUCCUUCGUACGAUGUCGGAUUUCGAUGAAAUUGGUAUCAAUGGAAAGAUUAUUUAAUGCUAUACAUGGAAAAAAUUCUAAAUUAAGAAAAUUCUAUACAUUUCAAUCAUCAUUCACGUUAGGAUUCAUUUCCAUAUACUCGAAAGACAGAUUUAGACUUAAGGGGACGAUCGGGGUAUUACACUAAGGCAAAAUGACAAUAUAUAUUUACAUUUUUGAUGAAUUGAGUUGAAGGCUCGUCAAUCCUUAUUUUCAACCUAAGAUAGAAUAAGCGCAUAUAUUUACAAGGUUGGUGACCUGGGUUGAUGGAUCAUCAAUAUGUUGAUGGCUUAUCUAUACCCUUUGUCACCCUAAAACAUAUUGGAACCAAGGAUUUACAUAAUUGACGACUUGGGUUAAUAGCUAGUCAACUAGUUGAUAGCUUAGCAACCCUCGUCGUUGAUCCUCAACAAUAUAAUUAUCAACUUACUUCAUCCCAAUAUUGAGAAAUUGGCUAAGGGAAUUAUAGAUUCUCCAUUGAGUUAUUAAGGUUACUUACUAAUAUGAGAUGUAAGUAUCAUAACCUAAUAGGGGAUUUAUAAAAAUCAAACAUAUAAUUGGGGUUACUCAAACUUUACCCAUACGAAUAAUUGAGUGUAAUCCUAUUUUUCUAAAAAAAUUUCAAUUGAAAUAAAAAUACAUUACCCAUAAUCAUACCUAAUUUCUCAUUCUUCUAUCAUAUUUGCUAAUAAUACCUUCAGUUUUAAAAGAAAAGAAGGGAGUUAAUAACAUUACAUAGUUUGUUGAUGAUGUACAUGAGAGCAACGAUACUAUGAUUAAAGUUUGAACUUGUGUUUCUUUACUAGUUAUGGUAGGUAGAGCUUUUGGUGAUGUCAACUGUGCAUGUCCGGAGAAAGGAAGAGAUGGGAUUUAUGCUUUUGUAAUGGGUGUAGGUGAGACGUGGUUUGAGAGGAGAUUAUUGAAGGGUGGUAAUGUAAAAAUGGUAGGAAGUUGAAGAGUUUUUAAUGGACAGUUUCUCUCUUUUGUUUUUCUUGAAAUUGUUAGAAAAGGGAUAUGUAUGGGUUUUAGGUUUAAAAAAGAUUGUUUAAAUAAUAUGGGUGGGUAAGGUUUAUAAUGGAAAAUGUUGAUAAAGGAUUUGGACCAAGACUAUUGGAUUGGGUUAUUUUAAGUGACAAGAUACUUACCUAGAUUGAAAUAUGGUUGAUGUCUCAUCAUCUUGUUGACAGUUUGUCAAUGAGCUCGUUAACUUUAGACAGGAUUAUUCCAUCACCUAUAAUGAUUGGCGACUUCAGUUGAUAUCUUGUCAACUUGUUAUGGCUUGUCAACUAGGUCGUCAGCCUCUUUUGGAUUGUGUGACCCCCUCAUCCUAAUUGACAACCUGGGUUGAUGGCCUGUCAACUAGUUGACGAUUUGUCAAUUCAUGGUCAUCACUCUUAUCCAGAAUGUGCUUUUUUGUUCUCCAUAUUACCAACAUAUGGAGUUGAUAUCUUAUCAACAUAUUGAUGACUCAUCACUCCUAGUCAUCUAAGCUAUCAGUGAGAUCAAACUUUUUCCCUUUACACUUCAACAAAAAAAUUUGCCAUACGCAUAAAUAAAACCUAUUCUAUCAUUAUCUUGCUAUAACAAGAUAUGGGUUGCCUUACAUUAAUGUUUGAUUUAACGUGGUGGCAUGAAUCAAGUAUCUUGACUAUUUAAACUUUGUCAAGAUACAUAAGUGACAUUAUUUUUACCUUAUUCGUCAGACCUACAUAAGGCUUGAUCCUUUGACCGUUCACUUAAAAUAGCUUCCCGUAAUUGUUUUCAAAUUCUACCACUUCGAAUGGAUAAACUUGAGUCACUUUGAAAGGUCUGAACCAAUUAGAUUUCUGCUUUCCUGGAAAAAGCUUAAACCUCAAGUUGAAAAGCCAAAUCACCAACUUUGAAGUCUCUCUUUUCAAACUUCUUGUCAUGGUACAACUUUAUUCUCUCCUUAUAGUGAUUAAUACUCUCAUAAGCAUAGAUUCAGAAUUUAUCCAUAUCAUUUAGCUACUCCAAUCUCAUAUCAACUACAUCUUUCCAACUCAGAUUCACCUUUUAAGCAUUGACAAGGCUUUGUGCUCAAACUCUACUAGUAGGUGAUAGAAUUUAUCGAAGACUAGCUAGUAGGGAGACAUACCUAUUGGCAUAUUGAAAGUAGUGUGGUAAGCCCAAAUAGCACAUCAAGUAAUGACCAAUCAUUUCAAUUUUCAUAAAAGACUUGGCUAGCAUCAUCUUAGUUUUACUAUUCGUCACUUCCACUUGCCCCCUAGUUUAGGGAUAAUAAGGAGUGACCACCUAAUGUUGUUUCACCCCAUACUUUGCUAAAGUAGCCCAAAAUUAUUUGUUGCAUAAAUGGGAGCCUCCAUCACUUAUAAUUGUGUCCAGAGUACCAAAAUGAGAAAAAUGUUCUUUUUUAAGAAUGCCACCCACUUCUACCCUCAUUGACUUAUUUUACAUAUAGUCCGUAACAACCAAAAUGUACUUGUUAACAUAAUAACUCACAAAAGGACCCAUGAAAUAAAUUCCCCACAAAUCAAAUAAUUCAACCUCUAACAUUUUGUUCAUUGACAUCUCUUAAUGUCUAAAAAUCGAUCAUUGUCGCUAGCACUGAUCAUAAGCUCUAAUAACUCGUAUGCAUCAUUAUGAAUCAUAGGACAAUAAUACCCAUAUUACAAAAUCUUCCUAAUUGUGUGAUCACCCACAUGAUUUCCUCCUACAGAGGAAGAAUGGUAGGCCUAUAAAAUAAUUAACAUUUCCACCUCUGGUACACAUCUUCAAAUAAUAUCGUGAGCACAAUAUUUGAACAAAUAUGGCUCAUUUGAUAAGUAAUUCACAUCAUGUAGGAAAUUCUUUCUUUGAUAAAAAUUUAGGUCAUUUGGAUGAUAUCACUGACCAAGUGUUUGGCAAAAUCUAUGUACCAAGGUGCGAGGUCAAAAAUUGAUGCAAUUACUUGUUCAUCCAAGAAUAAGUUAUUAAUUUCUAACUAAUCUGACUUCUUCCCAUCAUUCUCCAAGUGAGAUAGGUGGUCCGCUACCUGAUUUCAUGCCCUUUUUGUCUUUAACUUCAAAGUUAAAUUCUUUUUAGAAUAACACCCAUCUAAUCAACCUAGGCUUGAUAUCCUUCUUUUCCAUCAAAUAUCUAAAUGCAACAUGGUCAAUGUGAACCCUAACUAUAGUUCCAAGAAAGUACGCCCUAAAUUUCUCAAAUGCGUAAACCAUAGUAGGGCUCUUGCUCUAUAACAGUGCAGUUCUGUUGAGCUCUAUUCAAUUCCUUGCUUACAUAGUAAAUUAUGUGAAGUAGUUUCUCCUUCUUUUUCCUAAAACAAACCCUUGUGCAACUCUGCUUGCAUCACAUAUCACUUUAAAUGAUUUAGACUAAUUUGGCAAAAUAAUAAUGGGAGCAACAACUAAAUUUUCUUUAAGCAACUAAAAUACCUUUAAAAAAUCAUCACCAAACCUGACUUAACUUCUUUCUCCAAUAGUUUACAAAAAAUGUUCGUAAUGUUAGAAAAGUCCUUAAUGAACCUCUGGUAAAAUCCCACAUAGCUAAUAAAAUUGUGAACACCCUUUAUUGAGAUUGGUGGAGGUAACUUUUCAAUUACCUUAUUUGGCUCCAUCGACUUUGAUUUCUUUUUCUGAAAUCUUACGCCCCAAUACUAUGGCCUCCUUUACCAUAAAGUGGCAUAUUUCCCAAUUGAGAAUAUAGUUGAUUCAUAAUGCUACAAAAUAUUUUUUAAGUUCAUCAAAAAAUUGUCAAACGAAUCACCUACCACUGAAAAUUCAUCCCAUGAACACUUCCAAAGUAUCCUCCACUAUGUUUGAGAAAACAGACAUCAUACAUCUUUAGAAAGUAUCUCGAGCAUUACAAAACUUGAAAGACGAUUGGUUGAAGUAAAAGGUACUGUAGGGACAUGUGAAUGUUGUAUUUUCUUAAUCCUCAGGAGCAAUGGAUAUUUAAUUCUAUCUGGAAUAACCACCAAAGAAGUAAUACUAACCCCUUCCUACUAACUAAUCCAACAUUUGUUCUAUAAAGGGCAUUGAGAAAUAAUACCAGAGCAGCCAAGAGUUCAACUUCUGAUAAUCCAUGUAUACUCUCUAUCUUGUGACAUGUCUAAGUGGAAUCAACUCAUUUUUCUCAUUAGCUACCCAAUCAUGCCUCCUUUCUUAGGGACAUACUGAUCUAGGCUUACCCACUUGUUGUCACAGAUUUGAUACACCUCUCCUACAUUAGACAUUUUAUUAUAUCCUUCUUGACCACCUCUUAAAUUAGUGGGUUAAGACUAUGCCAAUGUUCAAUAGCAGGAGUGUAGUCUUCCUCUAACUGAAUCUUGUGAGUCUUUUCAAUAUACAUGAGCAUCUACUUAUGAUUAAACUAAAUCCACAACAAUAAACACUAGAAAAGUAUUCUUUUCACCCAAUAACACAUAUCUCAAGUGAUCUAGUAAUUUUUUCAGCUCUAGCAUUGGCUGCUCUUUAACGAAUGGUUUUGCUGGAGGCGUUAGUCUAUUUUUCAAGUCCAAGUCCAAUUUUUGUACAUAAUAUAAAUAUGAGCCCAUACCGAUUAAUUCAUAUGCCAUCUUAUUAUACUCAUCAAUUCUAUCACUAUCAAAAUUCAUUAAGACUGGUGCCAAAGUUUCAACAACAAAUUUAUCUUCACUGGCACAUCUACCUUAUUUUCUUUUACCAUAUCAAUAAUAGAAAACACACUUAUAUCUCUUGGUUGCUUUUUUCUUAUUAAUAAACAUUGAAAUUUAGCUCCUUAUAUUGAGCCUAAAUUUAAGCUAAUUCCUCUCUAUAUCCACUAACACUUUUUCAGUGGCUAGAAAUAGUCUACCCAAGAUAAUGGGUACUUCAAAAUUGACCUCAUAAUUAAGAAUUACAAAGUUCCCUGGAAAUAUGAAAUUUGCCACUUUCUCCAGUACAUCAUAGAGAAUUUCAAUAUGUUGCCUGACCGAAUGAUCGGCCAUUAAUAGCUAUAUAGAUGUCAUCUUAGGGGAUCCCAAGCCCAACUACUGAUAUAUAGCCAAUGAUAUCAAAUUAAUAUUUGAUCCAAGGUCACAAAGUGCCUUACCAAAUCUGAAUGCACCAAUUGUGUAUGGAAUUGUGAAUGCUCCAGGAUUGGAUUUGUUUUAUACCAAUGAUCUUGUAGCAAUUGCACUACAGUGACGAAUUUGUGCAUUGAUUCAUAGCGCACUAUUGUCUUCUUAGUGACUAGGUCCUUCAUAUCUUAGAAUUUGUUCUAAAUAUUUAAGCAACAGAUAUUUAUUGACAAUUUCUUCAACAAAGCCAUGGAUUUAGUAAAUUUUUCAUCCUCUUUCUUUUUUAUCCUUUGUGGAAAUAGAAGAAGAGGCUUAGGGAUUCGAGCUAGCAGUGUUUCCACUUUCUUCCCCUUUUUCUUGCUCAACUCAUCAUUAUUCAUCAUUUUGGGAGACUUCCCAACAAUAGCCUUCUUCUCACCUACAUCUUCCAUCUUCUCAGACUCAGCUAAACUAUUUUUCAAAUCAACAUCAUCAACAAUGAUUUCAACCUCAGAUGCAACAUUAUGUAUAUGUGUUUAGACUAAUAGGUGUGGUUUAGGUAACACUCUACCAUUUAUCAUGGUGAUAGAUAGACAGGUUCUAGCAUUCCUCAAAUUUUGUACCAUAUCACAUGACAAAGUUUCACUCUUUCAUUGGUUGAAGGCCAUAGAUAAUUAAUUUAUUUGAUGCUCCAACUAUUUGAUAGAAAUGGAAUUAGAAUCAACCAAUUGACUCAUAGUUGAUAAGUCUCUUUUUAUCCUUUUUACACCUGCUUCUAUAAAUUCCACCUAUUUUAGCAACACGACCAUCGUAUCUUUUAUAAAAUGCUUACCUGAGUCAUUUACAACCUUAUCAUGAUUUGACGUGGCAUAUACAACCCACUAUGAUUGCCCUUAUUCUUCUAAUUCCCUUUCUCAUAAUAUCUAUCACAAGAUUUGUCAUAAUAAUUUUUUCUUUGAUAAUUCUGACCUUGAUUUCAUUGUCUAUUGACCCAAAAAUUCCCUUGAUUAUUUAAGUUAUUAGCUUCUUCCUUGAAAUCAAAUUUAGCUGCUCUGCUAUUUGAACAACUGAUUUCACCAUCUCAACGCUACCAAACAAUAAGUGUUUAGUGAGUAAAUCCAUCUGAGUCUUCAUGUUUGUCAUAUUGUGGUCACACUCUUCUACUUUUUGAUGUUUUCUCAGAUGACAUGCUAACUAUAUGUGUUUCUUGCUACCUUAGAAUCCACCAAUCUAUCCAAUAUCAUAAUUGUAUCCUUAAAAUAUGGGACAUAAAAGUGCCUCCUAUUGCAUUAGCAACUAUUGGCUUCACAUUCAAGUACAGUACCCUAUAAAAUAUUUCUAUUAAGUGCUCAUCAGUUAUCUUAUGAUUAGGACACUAAAUCAACUAAUUUUUGAAUCUUACCUAAGUUUCAUGUAGUGCCUUAUUUGGAAGCUACCUGACGUUUCUUAUCUCUUAACUUAAAUUUAACAUCCUAGAAGACGGAAAGAAAUUUUCUAGGAAAGCUCCUUUAACUUCCUCAAGUUUGUUAUAGAAUCAGGUGAUCUUAGGCAUAUUAUCAUACCUAAGGUCAUCAUCUAUACGUGUUUAGCCUAGUUUGACACUUCUUAAUGUGUUUGAUGAGUUAAUAAGGGUGUAAUUAUGUGUUGAAGUAUAUAUUUAGGGUGUUUAGGGUCUAUUCAAAACACGUUAAGAAUCAAAAUGAUCACAUGGAGUUUAGACGCCAAAACUAGUGAUGCUAGCUUGAGCUAUUAAGUGUUCUAGUGAACUUUGAUGAAUUUUAUUUUGUUUUACAAACUAAUACUUGUUACUUGAUGUUGUGGGAUAAAUGUAGUGAAGAAAAACAAGCUCUAAUGAAGUUGGAAAGGCAACUACCAAAGUGUGGAACUUAAGUACAAAUGGAAGGAUUUCUCUACAAAGUAAACUUCACAUUUGGAGCACAAGGGUGUGCCAUACUAUCAAAGCUCCAAGAUAAAGGCAUUCCAUGCCCUUGGCCAAAAAGUGAAAAUUCUAGUAGGGGUGCACAUCAAGGGAGUGUUAUGCCCAAAGACAUCCGUGUUAAGGGUGUGCCAUUCCCUAGGGUAAUUUUUGGCCUAAAAUCCUCCUAUACUUUAAAUAGGACACUUAUAUCCUAUCUUAAACACCUUGGGCGACUUUGGGAUAGAGAAAACAUAAUAGGAAGGCACCAAUUAGGGUUUUGAUUCUUUAAUUUAGUUUGCUUUUAGUUUUACACAUGUAUUCUACUACUGGGAUUCUUUAUAAUACUAUGAGUGGCUAAACACCCUCAUUCUAUGGUCAAGGCUACGGACAUUAAUACUUAUCUUUUAAUUGAGUUGAUUUAACAUUGAUUAUCAUAUUUGGUUGUUCAUAUAUUCUUGAUUUUUCUAUUCUAUUGACUUCCGACCUAUAGAAUACAUUUAUCUUUCUAUUGUGAACCUAAAAGGAGGAACUUUUUAUUUGAUCAUGAAAUAUGUGGAGUGGGUUCUUAUGUUUUAAAUGAAUUAAAGAUAGGAUUCAUAGUAUGGAGGAAUAUACCUAAUUCACCCUAUUUGGAUCAAAUAUUGGAUGAAAUACAAAUGCAUUUAAAUAAGUUCUCAUAUCUCCGCUCAACGAUGUAGUUGUGGGGAUAAUGUAGAUAGAUGAUUAGAAGGUUGUAGGACCAUACUCAUGUUAUUAACCCCGUGAAUCAACAAACAAUAUAAUUAACUUAACCAACGAGAUUAGAUAGUUUUGUAGCAUAGUUAAAAUUACCUUGGCCCUAGUUUUCUCAUAAUCAUUAUCUCCAUUAUUUAAUAUUUUCAUUAUUAUUCAUUGCUCCUUUUAGAUUCUCAAACUUAAACUCUUUCGUUAUGAUUUGCACUUAUUUAAUCUUCUUAGUACUGCUAGAAUUGGAUUGCUUGCAUAACACAAAUCCCCUUAUAGGAUUAAUAUUCGACUUGAAAGGGACACUUUAUUACUCUCAUGACCACGUACACUUGAGUGUAUGGUAGGACACAAUAUGUUUUUGGCACCAUUUAUGGGGACUUGAAAAUUGACAUCUUUCUAAUUGAGAGUUUACAAUAUUUUUAUAAAAUCUGAUAACAUGGUCUUAACUACAGAAUUUGUAGGUAAAUGUCUAAAUUUCAAGUAAGUUUGCAAGGUAAAUGGUUUGGUUGAACCAUAUAUAAAACCUUAACAAUGUUUACAUCAAAUAAGGAGAGAAGUAAUACAUCUCUAUUGUAUCCCACAUGGAAAUCCCACUUGCAACUAAUGUUACCUCCACCAUCUACAGACUAGAACCUAGAGGUAGAUUUGAGUUGAGAUAAUAUAUGGUGAAAUUAUUCCACAACAGUGGGCAGUUCAUAGGCCUAUCACAUGAGGAUCCAUAGGUCCACCUAUAAAAUUUCUUAGAGAUCAGUGACAUCUUUAUUCCCACUAGAUUAUCUACAAACUACGCGAGGUUCCCUCCUUCCCCUUCUCACUUUUAAGUGAUGCAAAGAAAUGGUUAAAGGAAGAACCUCCAAACUCCAUCACUACUUAAAAACUUGCCGAAAAAGUUUCUCGUCCAAUUCUUUCCAUCUAGAAAAAAUACAAGGUUAAGCAGUGAGAUCUUGAGUUUCCAAAACAAUCUAGAUGAGAACCUAUAUCAUGCAUAUGAUACAUUCAAGUAUCUUCUCAGAGAUUGUCAGCAUCACCAUAAACCAAUGAGGUAUUAUCUCAUACUUUUGUUGAAGGACUUAACCAUAAUACAAAGAAUUUGUUAUAUGCAGCUACAUAUGAUCAUGUAUUUGAGAAAACUUAUAAUGAGAUAUGCACUCUUCAAAAUUGAAUUGUACAGGUAAUCCUAAAUGGCAUAGGGAUAUGUACAGAAAUGCAGUGAAGAAGAUGACACGUAUGAUUGAGAUGGAUACUUAUACAAUAUUAGGUGCUCAAUAGCUUCCCUUCAGAACCAAAUGAUGACACAAUUUAGCAGUUAAGUAUGAAUCAACCUUAGGAACAAGUAAAUACAAUUUAGCAAGCUAAGAUGUGGUAUGAGAUUUAUGGAAAUAGUGGUGACUCUACAAACCUAUGUGGAGCAAAUUCAGAGUUGAUUAAUUUUAUGGGUAGUGCACAAAAUUAAAACUUGAACUAUGGUAAUGCCUAUAACCAUAAUUGGCGGAGUUAUCCCUAUUACUCAUGAGGUAAUAAUCAGGAUCAAACUCAGUAAGUCCAACAACAAUAUAUUAUUCAGAAUAACACUUAGGCCAGUAAUAUUGAAGAGACUUUGAAAAAUAUCCUAGCUAACCAAGAACAAAUGGUUGCAAAAAUAAAAAAUCAGCAACUGGCUCAGAAGUAUUUGGAGACACAAUUAGGGAAGUUAGCUCAGGCAUAGAACACAAGACCUCAAGGGGGUUUUCCUAGUGAUAUAGAAAAUGUAAAGCAAGUAAUGACAGUCACCUUGAGAGGUGGUAAAGUUAGUCCCGCAGCAAAAUGAUGAGAAGCAAAUAGUAGCCAAAUAGGCUAAAAUUUGAGGAAGUUUAGUACCCAAAAGCAAAGCUAGCAAAGAAAACAUCAGAGAGGCCACGACCACCGUUUCCUCAAAAGUUUUAAAAAUCUAUGAAGGAUGCAUACUUUAAGAAGUUCUUUGACAUAUUCAGAGAACUUCACAUUAACCUUCCCUUUUCAGAUGUUUGGCAGGAAAUGCCUAAGUACAUUAAUUACUUAAAGAAUGUGGUGACUAAUAAGACAAUGUUGGGCAACAUUGAGAUGGUAGCAUUUACUAAAGAGUGCAGUUUUGUAGUGAUAACCAAGAUGCCAAAAAAUCUUAAGUAUCUAGGAAUUUUCACCCUCCCUAUACAAAUUGUUGAAAUUGAUGUAGUCCAUGCUUUGAGUGAUUUUGGGGCAAAUAAAAAUUUGAUGCUCCUAUCUGUGUUCAACACUAUAUGUUUGAGAAAGUCGAGGUAAGGUUCUAUGAUGCUCUAUCUAGUAGAUAGAAUAAGAGUGGUGCCCAAAAUAAUUAUAGAGGAUGUUAUUAUGGUUGGUAAGUUCAUUAUUCCUAUUGCCUUUAUUGGUAUUAUGAUGUAGAUGAUAGGGUACUAAUAAUAUUAGGACAUUCAUUAUUAGCAACUAUAAGAGCACUUAUUAAUGUGAGAGAAUGGACUCUAAAAAUGAGAUUGAAUAAUGAAGUAGUGGUCUUUAGAGUAUACAAAACACUCAAUACACCCUCACACUACAAGUAUUUAUGUAUAAUCACAACAAUAAAAGUUGAUGAGUGUAGGGUGGUGGAGUGAAAUUAUCUAGUGACCUCUUUGGGCAUGCUCAUGAAGUUUCCUAAAUAGAUAAUUAAGCUAAAAAAUUGGAAAUAUAAAGAUAAGCCUAAAAAGGCAAGUGUGAAAAGAGUUACAAACCUUUAGAGUAAGCACUCAUGAAUUUAUAAAAGAGUAAGAAGAUAGGCUCUACAUAGGAGGAAGAGGAUGAAAGAAUACAGUUGAGAGUAGUGAUGUGAGUCGUGUGACGAUAGUAAAUCUGAUGCUUCUUAGGGGGGGGGGGGCAAACCAAGAUAAGGUAGGUAUUUUAUUUUCUUAUUUUCCUCGAGUAUCAUAUUUAUUAUUAUUUUUGUUGAGUCACAAGUUGAUGAGAAGUCUGAGUCCUGGAGACCCAAGCUAUGGAUCAUGGAAAAGACAAAGUGUGGGGUCCUUUGGACCUCUUUGAAGAUUAAGAUGCUACUAGCUAGGCCUAAAGGACUUAGGCAGUGUUUAUAUCCUUACCUUUUAAGUAAUACUUUGAGGACAAAGUGUGAUUUUAAGGGGAGGGGGAAUCUUCUGAUUAUUAGGGUGAAGUGCUAAUAUAGGAUUUCUAUUUUUAGUUAUUUUCUAGUUUAUAACCAAAUUUUAAAAAUUGCAAAAAGAAAUUCUUUGUUUAAGUUUAGUUUUUUUUGGUGUCAGCCUAGUAGAAGCACACUUCACCCACCCCUUAUUUUUUUCUUUUCAAUUCUUUUCUGAGGGAGCAUCCUUUAAACCUAGUAUCCCUUUUUAGAAGUAAUUUUACAUUUUCAUUAUAUAUUAAUCAAUUGUUCUUGAUAAGUGCUAUUUAUGAUUACAUGAUGUAAGUUGGUUUAGAAUAUGAAAGUAUGUUUUAUGAGUGAAUGACUAUUUUUGAGACACCGAGGCUAAUUUUUAUGACUCUUGUGCUAUGUUGGUUUAAUUUUGAACUUUUUCUAUUUCUUGGUUAAGAGUCAUCAUAGAUCAUUCUUGAUUUGAGCAUGUGUAGUGUGUGAGGGAGGUUAUUCUUGAUGUUCUUUGUUGCAUAUUGAUGUCAAGAACAUAGCUGGUGUGUUUGCAAAGCAAAAUAAAGAAUAUUGGGUUUAGGAGAUAAUAUAGGCAUUUUUUUGAUAUCCAUGUUUUUACCCUCUUUAUCUACCCUUAUUGCAUGAUCUUAGUCAACCCCGUAGAUCCCUUAGCCUAUUCUUUGGUAGACUUGUAUGUAGCUUAUUUCAUUUCUAUUAAUGGACUAGAAUUUUAUCCAAAGCUCCUGAAGCACUUUAGUUAAAAAUUGAGAUGUUAAGGAUUGUAGAAUUGAAAAAGGAAAAAGUGAAAGUAAGCACCAUAAAAAUAGUAGAUAAUGGUAUUUUGAAAAAUUUCACGUGUUGUGACUGGGAAGAAUAUAAUGAAAAGAAAUAACAUAAUAAAAAUAAGUCAUAUAUUGAGAGAAAAUACUCCCUACUUAAGAUGUAUGAACUAUCUUAAAGAAAUGGGGCAAACUUAAAGUGGUGGAAACAUUGAUUGGUUAGGGAGAGUAAUGUGAAGUAAGAGGUAUUAAAAUGCUUAUAAAAGAUAGUCACUAUUACUGGACAUAAUAGUUCCUAUUUGUCCCUUAAGUUACAUUACAACCCUUAAAUUCUUACUUUAUCUUGAGCCUCGAUGUUCAAAUAUUAGUGGAGAACUACACUAAGGGUGUAACCCCUCGAGACUACCCCCUAGAUGUUACAUGGUGGUUAGAACCACAAGUGAUCCUAAGCUAACCCAUGAUACUAGCAUGAUUUAUGAGUAGCAAAAUAAAUUCAUAAAACCAAAAAAAUAAGCCGAAAAGAUGUCAUUAGUAGAACUUGUUCAUUACAAAAUGGUUUAAGAAUGUUUACAUCAAUAGAUAUACAAAGGAAAUAAGAAACUAGAUACAUCAACUCUGACUGACUGUCUAUUAAGCCUAUACUAAUACUGACUAUAGGUAACCGAGACAUGACCCCCAACCAUCCCUAAUCAAUACGAAUGAAUAAUAACAUAAUACUAGUACUAGAGUUGACUCGAAUCCUCGAAUCAAGUAAACUUAUCACCUAUUGGCUUAAAGCUAUGCUCUGUCUGAUUAUAGUGUUGUAGGAUACAACUGGUACCUACAUCAUGAAAUAAUAUAGCCAAAAACACAUAUAUGUGGCCAAUACUUUGGAAUAUACUGAGUAUUUAAACCAUGCACGAAUCGUGAAAACACUUAAAACAUCGCUUUAAAAUGGAGGACAUAAACCAUUUGAUGAAAUAUUCAUAUAAAACAUGUCUAUACGUUAAAACUUGCAAGGCAUAGUGAAAUUUCUAGAUCAUGAGAUAAAACACUUUUGUAAACUGAGAAGCAGUAGAAGCAUGAAUACCAUAUGUAAAUAUUAAGUUAAAGUUGAAUAGGCUGUAUAACUAUAUCGAGGAUCAUGUAUGAAUACUUAGGAUGAAUGCAUAAAAAUGUAAAGUGAAUGCAAGACCAACAAUAAACAUGUACUAAAAUAAUCUGUAAAAUUGAUUAACUAAAAAAAAUAAAAAAAUAAAAAAAUAUACACUUGGCCAAGCAAUCCUGAACUGGCAUAAUCUGAAUAUUGGACUAAAAUUGUGGGAGCUAACAUUUAAUUGACAUGCCCCAAUCGAGCUAAUAGGGGUCCAACCUGUAACCCAGUAGGAAGGGUGUUAGUACCUUGCCACGGGUACCAACGCUGGCUAUAUGGAUCUACUAAUAUGUUAUCCCGAAGGACCAAACUGUAAAGCCUAAGUUGAUGGGUGACCCCUGAGAGGGUGUAAAGCCUAAAUUGAUGGGUGACCCCUUAUAACCUACUCUAGGUACAUAGUUUUGGAACUUAGGGACUACUACUAACGACUCUGUCAAACUGACGAGAGAGUCGCCACCCCUGCAUUGACUUAGUGCUAAGUUCUACUUCCAAUUGAACUAGCACAGAAGCAUAAAUUGGUACAUGCACUGAUAACUAAUAUACUUAAGUGAUGGUAUUCUGAAAAGGAUAGUGCACGUAUAAUCUGAAGCAUUUAAAACCAUGUAAACUGAUCACCAUAUAAGAAUUUCAUGAAUAGAGCCCAAAAAUUCAACAACUAAUCAUAAUAAGGAAAUUCAUGAUUCUUGAACAUGGGAGGAUGCCAUUCUUAUGGAAAAACAAGCAUUCAUGGUUUAAUUACAAAAUGAUCUAAAGAAAUUAGGGAAAACUCAUGUAGCUUGAUUAUAUGCUUGAAAUCUUAAAUAAUAUCAUGUAAAACAUACUUAGAUUUUAGAAUAGUGUGAAUGAUAUGAUAUGGUCCUAAAAACUUUGAAUAAUCAUUAAAACAUACUUAGGGGGUGAAAAUUAUGUCACAGGGAAUUGAAUUUAAACUUGGAGUAACAAUUUGGGUUAAGCCCUAUUUUAUGAAGAUCAGAAAAUGUCAUGAACAAAAUCAUAAUUUUGGCACGAGGAUGAAAGGAGAUCCUUAUUGAAUAACCACAUAUCUGAAUUUCUUGAUUUCUUGAAGGGAAAACAUGAAUUCACUUAAACGUUGAAAACUGAAUAAUGAUAAAAAAAUAUCGUUUAUAGGGUGAUUUAAGUCAUGGGGGUAGGGUUUGAGGUUAGGAAAAGAGCAAAAUUUCCCUAAAGAAACUGAAUAAAAAUUGUAGGAAUUUUUAGUUAACAACUAAGUUGACAACUUGUCAACUAGUUGAUAACUUAUUAACUUAGUCGUCAGCAUCUAGCUGGACUUGGACACUUUCUGGUUAAGGUUGAAAAUUUAGUAGACAACUUAUCAUCUAGUUGAUAACUUAUCAACAUAGUCAUCACCUUACCUAAGUGAUAUAAUCUGUUUUUUGGUUAAGUCUAACGACCAAGUUCACAGCUCAACACUUAGUUGACAGCUUUUUAACUCAAGUCAUCACCUUCUCUCAGACAGAUACUUUGAGGUAAAAUGAGUAUAACUUUGUACUCCAAUAUCAGAUUAAGGUGAAAUCAGAUGAGUUGGAAAAAAGACUCAAAAAUAUUUCAUUUUAUAUUUAGUAGGCCACCUAACUCAUAUAUUCUAUGAGUAAUAGUUGUCAAAAUUUGAUCCAAGUUGAAACAUCAACUAAAACUUAACUGAUAGAAAAGUUCUCAACUCAUAUUUGAGUUAGGAUAUCCUUAUGAACCCAAUUCAUAUACCAAGAUGUUCCCACACUGUAGAAUUUAUCAAAAUACUUAUUUGACAUGGAAUUCAUUUUGUUCAGUUCUAUAUACGAAGGAACAACGGUUUAAAUUCUAGCCCGAAAAUAUGAAGUAUUCAAGGGCAAGCUUAUGGUUCAUCUUAUUUUACAUAUGAAUUCCUUGUGAGAGUUAGAAAAAUUUGAUUUUUACACCCAUUCUUGUGCUAGAUUAUAAAUUUGUGACUAAAUAUGGGUGACUGUCUUGUGGUUAGGGCACAUGAUGGAUGAUGUUUAGGUGAUUUGUAAUUUUUUUUAUUAAGUAAUAUGCAUGACUUUGCAAGCUUGGUAGAGUUAAUUCUUGUGGAUAAGAUAUUUUAAAGUACUGUUCAGAGUUUUCAAAGAUAAUAUGACAUACUUAAUGUGGAACUUGUUAUUCAUGUAGUCAUCGUAGUUCUAUCUUUAGUACCUUAGUUGUAGAGUGUGAUUAGUCUAGAGAGUUAUUUGGGGAUGAACAAGGCUUUAAGUGUUGGUGGUGAUCUUAGGCAUAUUUAUACACCUAAGUGUUAUUAUCUAAUGCGUUUAGCCAAAUUUGAGGACUUCUUGAUGUGUUUGAUGAGUUAAUAAGGGUGUAAUGGUGUAAUUAUUUUUUGGAGCAUGUGUUUAGAGUAUUUAGGGUGCAUUCAAAACAAGGUUAGAAUCAAAAUGAUCACAUAGAGUUUAGACGAGGAAACUAGUGGUGCUAGCUUGAGUUAUGCUUUUUCUAGUGCACUUUGAUGGACUUUUUUAAGAACAAAUAAUUGUUACUUGAUAUUGUAGGAGCAAUGUCAUUAAGGAAAAACAAACUUUAAUGAAGUUAGAAAGGCUGUUGUAGAGUAUGGAAGUUUAAGACAAAUGGAAGGAUUUAACUACAAAGGAAACUUGGCAUUUGGAUAAAAAAGUCAUGCCAAGAUCUCAGAGCUAUAAGAUAAGGGCAUGCCACUCCCUUGGAAAAAAAGUGAAAUGCAAAUUCCAGUAGGGGCAUGUGUGCUACACCCACGUUAACGGAGUUCCACGCCCUUUGAAUUAAUUUUUUCCAAAAAUUCAUAUAUACUAUAAUAGGACAUUUAGCUCCUUUCCUAAGCACCUUUGAUGACUUUGUGAGAGAGAAAGCACAUCAGGAAGGCUUCGAUUGGUUACUCAUGAAUUCCAUUACUAUGAUUCUUUGUAAGAUGAUAAGCGGCUAUACACCCUCAUUUUAAGGUUGAGGCCACAAACAUUUAUACUUAGCUUUUAAUUAAGUUGGUUUAACAUUGAUAAUCAUACUUAGUUGUAAAUUUAUUAUUGAUUUUAUUAUUCUAUUAAUUCUCGACCUAUAGAAUAUAUUAUAUUUCUAUUGUGAUCCUGGAAGGAGGAAAUUUAUUUUUGACAUGGAAUAUAUGGAAUACAUUCUUGUCUUUUAGAAGAAUUAAAGAUAGGAUUCACAGUUUGGAUAGGCACAUACACAAUUCAUUCAAUUUGGUUCAAAUAUGGAAUGAAAUACAAAUGCAAGUAAAUUAGUUCUCACAUCCCCGCUCAACAAUGUAGUUAUGGGCUAGUAUAGAUAGAUGAUUAGAUGCUCGGAAGACCAUAAUCAUGUUACUAACCUUGUGAAUCAACAACCAAGAUAAUUAACUUAACCAAUGAGAUUAGAUAUUUUGUAGGAUUGUUUAAAUUGCCUCAAACCUAGAUUUCUCAUAAUCAUUAUCUCUAAUACUUUCUAUUUUCAUUAUCAUUCAUUGCUCCUUUUAUAUUCUCUAACUUAAAAUCUCUUUGGUUAUGAUUUGCACGUAUUUAAUCUUCUUAGUAAUGGUAAAAUUUGAUUUCUUGCUAAACACAAGUACCCGUGGGAUCAAUAUUCAUAUUGAAAGGGACACUUUAUUUCUUGUACGACCAUGUAGACUUGCCUGUGUGAUAGGAUGCAGCAAGUUUUUUGACCUGUUAACAGGGACUUAAAAAUUGCAACUUUCUGAUUGAUAGUUUACUAUUUUAUUUUAUUAAAGUUGAUAAUUUGGCCAUAUCUUCUGAACUUGUAGGUACAAGUCUGAAUUUCAAGUAAGCUGGCAAUGGAAAUGGUUUGGUUGAACCAUAUCUUGAACCAGAGCAACAUUUACAUUGAUUAAGGAGAGAAGCAAUACUUCUUUAUCACAGCCAUUCCCAAAGUCAUGGAUGAAGAAUAACUAGCCCAUAGUAUAGUACGUAAAGUGGCAAUCCCUCUUGCUACUAAUAUUACCUCGACUUUCCGUAAAUCAAAACUUGGAGGUAGAUUUAAGCUAAAACAAAAAUGGUGCAAUUAUGUAAUGACCCUCUUAGUCAUUUUAUGUAUUUCUACUUAUUUUUACCAUUUAUAGCUUUCUUAUAACUACCCUAAGCUACUUUGACUUAUUAGAAUUAACAUUUUCGUUACGAGGCAAUUCAUUUGGUUUUUAGAGCCAAUUUCCUAUUUUGAAGUCUUUGCUGGUUCAAAUUGGCUACCAGGUGAAAAAUCUAGCUUAACAAUCUUGUAUGCAAAUUUGAAUGUUCCAAUAGCUUUGAAGAUUUAAUUUUGGGCUAGGUGGACCCUUGGUUCGGGUCUCGAGGCUUUCAAACUCAUUUUGGACUAUUGGUAAGAAAUUACAAAAAUUGGCACAUAGGUGUGGUACCCACUCUUUGUAGAAAAGACCUCAGAUGGAAAUUUUAACUAUGCCAUUGAUUCUAUAAUGUUGAAUUUGAUAGGUUAACAUAUUCUGUUUAUAUAUAGGAGAUUUUGGAUGAAUAUCAAGGGGUUAGCAGAGACUUUGAAAAAUUCCAAGUCUUAGCUAGUGUUGGAGCACCACUUUGGUGCCCUUUUUGGACCGCUUAAGAGAAGGGGUCUCUUAAGUGGCCUACCCAUUGCUUAAGCGACUGGGUUGGCCCAGGGGAGGUUCGUUAAGAAGAAUCCCUACUUCUUAAGCGAUAGCCACUAAAACUAUAAGGGAUCGCUUAAGCCAUACUUAUGCAGGCACCCAGAUGUCGUUUUAGAGACCCUAGCCCAAUUUUCCCUAUUUUAUCUAUUCUAAAGAAAAUUAGACCUUAAAAAGAGGGAAAACAUGGGAGAAUCAUUUGUUGGUGAUUUUGGAGCUUGGUAUAGUUAAUUAUGCAUUUCUUCUUUGAAUUUGCGGUAAGCUUUCAUCAAUUUCUUUGUUUAAUUCUCCAUAUACUUAUAAAAUAACAAAAAGCUUGGUGGCUUUACUGUAGAAACAUUAGGGCUUGGAAUUCACCCAUCUUUGAGGGAAAAUAUUCCUUUGAGUAUUGAGAGAUAUUGUGUUGGUUUUGAAUGUGCGAUUUCAUAAACAGCCUCACAUAGGGUUUUUACAUAAUUUUGGACCCAAAGCACAAUAGUGCAAUAUGGGUAUAGUAAUUCCUUUUUUGAUAAAAAGACUGUGAUUUUGAUAGUGUCAUCUUAUGAAAGCUUCUUGAAAAGGGAAAUCAGUGGUUUAGCGAAUUCUUGAGGCUUUUCUUUGAUGUCCAGGUAGGCUAGGUUUACCUCCCUCAUAGAUUGAGGUAAUUCAUAGUAUAAUUAUUAUAUUAUGCUAGAUAUGGGAUGGAAUUUAGGUAUUGUAAGUAUUAUUGAUGUGAUUAGUCUUAUUUGGACUGUCUAGGUAUCUUAGAACCAUAAUCUAGGUGGAAUUGACCUAGUUGGUUAUAUUUUAGUUAGGAUUGACUUUGUUGCUCACAUUUUAGGAAGAAUUGAUAUCUUAGAGCUAAUUAUAACUUAUUUAAUAGCUAUAUUUAGAUUUAGAUACCUUAUUCAAGUUUGGGGUAGAAAUUUCUAAUGUAUUUUGGGGAUUAGAAGUUCGCCUCUCCGAUCCACCUUAGGCCAAGACUUGUGUUAGCUUUUGUUGAUUUAUUUACGCAUAUUAAACCCUUAUUACUGAUUAUUUUUUUUUUACUUUGAGGAGAUUUAAUACUUAAUGAGUACUUUAUUUUAGUAUUAGAAGGUGGUGCUAAUUUUGGGUAAAAUUCGGUGGUUUAUUGAUAUAGUUUACUUAUUAUAGUUUAUUUAUAUGGCUUAUGGAUAUGGUUUAUUGGUAUGGAUUAUGGAUAUGCUUUAUUGGUAUAGUUUAAGGAUAUGGUCUAUUGAUUAUAUGAGUUUCGGUUGAAGUCUGACAAUUGAUGUUGAUAUUGAUAAUACGAGUUUCAAUUCAAGUCCACCAAUUGAUAAAGAUGUUGAUACUAUGAGUUUUAGUUCAAGUCCAACAAAUGAUGUUAUGAAGUUAGUACUAUUGAUGAUGAUAAUAUGUGUUUCGAUUCGAGUUCGACAUUAAGAGUUGGGUAUAAUAUGUUACAAUAUGGACUGCUUAUCAUUAAAGCUGGUUUUUGGAAAAGUUAUGGAUCUUCGGUUAUUUAUUUUACUUUGAUUAUACCGUCCAAGCUUAUGUGGUCCCGCAUUGGGUUACUUUUAUACACUUAUUUGCUUAUAGGGUCCAAUUUAGUAGUUAAAAUUGUGUUGUUCUUUUGUUAAUUUGUCAGAUUUAUUUUACUUAUUUAUGCACAUCAGUGUUGGAGCUUAAUUAUAGGUUUACCCUUUAACCUUAACUUAGCUUAUUUUAUCUUGUAUUUUAUCAUAUUUAUAUCAUAAUUUAUCUUAGUAGCUAAUGAUGCUUACUGAGUACACAUGGUUUUAGUACUCAUACUAUAUUUUUUUUUUGCCUUUUUGGUGCUGAUUAGAGUAUAGAGGCGUUGCUGAUAUGACACUUAUAACAGGUUGAUUUCAAAGAUUGGGUAAGGUCUUGGAGUCAGAGAUACCCUUUUUCUUUCUAUUAUCCAUAUCUAGUCUUUCAUUUUCUGAGAUGGAUUGUAUUUGACUAUUUUAGAACAUUUGUUUCAUUUGUAGUAGUUCUUGUACUGACACUAUUAGGUCGCGGAUGAUUAUUGAUCUCUUAUCAAUCUAUUAGACUAUUAUUUCUAUCUUAUUAUUAUUAUAAGUCUUUAAUCAUUAAAUUUUGGCUUUUAGGCUAUUUUCCACCAAGCUAGCUCAUUGCGUAUAGCUUCGAGCUACAAUUUGGCUUGCCUUCUAGUUAAAUAAAGUAGGUGCCAUCAUGACUCAUAAAAUAGGUCAUGACAAAUUCUUAUCAGAGCCUAGGUUCACCGAUAUUGUAGGUGCAACAACAAGUGUCUAGUAGAGUCCCGAAGAUAAGGUGGUGAUGCACCAGCUGAUUGCCCGAAGAUAAGGUGGUGAUGCACCAGCUGAUUGUACAUAAUCUGUAGAUCAAAGUGGUGCUAAGGUAGGGCUGUAAUCUGUAGCUGUGGCUUCCAGAGUUGAGGUCCCUCCUGAGCAGAUGAUUGUUCAUCCAAUAGUCGACCAACCUACUGUAUCUAUUGAGUAUCAAAAGAGGUUGUCUAGAUUCUUGAGAUUGGCUAUGCCUAGAUUUUCUGGUGCAUCGAGUGAGGAUGCAUAUGAGUUCUUAAUUAUAUGUGAGGAUAGGUGUAAUUCCCCAGAUUUUGAACACCAAAUGCUACACGGUGAUUAUAAUUCCGAAGGACCACAAGCUAAUUCAUGACUAGUACCUGCUACAAUAUCUGUACAUUAACACUGUAAUCAUAUGUAGAAUAACGGUUUAAACUACCAUAAGGUUCAAAUAACUUAAAUAAUACUGAAGUAUGCGGUAUAACAAUACCAAAACAAACUGAAAUAUAAAUACUGAACAUACUGAAGUAUGAAUAUCUAGUUUAAAAGCCUCUAAACUGUCUGAAUAAGGAGUUUAUCGGACAUGUCCCCAACUAACACCGACUGUUGAAAUAAACUAGGUACUGAAAUACUGAAAUAAUUAAGUAUCCUCGCAUGAUAAGGACUCACUGCUAGUCUACUGCUGUUGACUGAAAACUGAAACUACCUAUGCACGGUCGGAACCUGAGCAUCCAAAUCUAUGGUAAAAAAUACCAUAGAGCAAAAGAAAAGUAUGCGUUAGUACGUGUGAAUGUACUGGUACACAAAGUGAGGUAAGGCUGAAUGAAUGAGGUUAAUAUGCAUGAACUAUAACUGUCUAAUAACAUGAAUAUGACUGUGUGAGAAUACAUCCAUGAAUACAUAACUGUAACUAACAACGUGUGGAUUUUCAAUACUGAAUAUACUGAUAACAUGCAUACGGAUAACUAAUAUGCUAUUUACUGAGUGGCUGUACCUGACAACCUUUAUUCUGAUGGAACUAGCUGAGUUCUGUACUGAGCUGAGUGACUGUAUCUGACGGUUCUAAAAUCUGUAGAACUAUCUGAGUUCUACUCUAAAGACUGAGACUCAGAUUGUGAAAGGUAGUCAUCUAACCAACAUGCCCUGAAUAAAGCAAUAUAGCUGAGUUGGGGUCCAAUAUGUAACCCCAAUUAGAAGGAUGUCAAUACCGCACCACUAGUAAGGACAAACUGUGAGUGACCCUCAUCUGGCAGGUACUCUAAGGAGAACGAAGGGACCCUCAUCUGACAAGUUAACAAGUUAAUCCACCUCAUUAACCCUUCAUCUGACAAGUUUUUGAUGUCUCAACCUAUGCUGGCUACGUAGUAUUAGAACAUAAGGACUACUUCUAAGAAUCACACCCUCUGCUGGAAGGUGAGUUCCCAUCCUUGGGUUCACUCGGUGCUAAAUCCUACUCCCAACUUAAUAGAUACUGAACUAAUUAUAUUAAUAUAAACUAGAUUAAGUUCACUGAAUUCUGUUGACUGAUGGAAUACUACUGAAUUCUAUUAACUAACUGAGUAUACUGAGAUUACUGAGUAGGACUUGACUGGUACUGAAUUUACUGAGUUUGCCUGAAUCAUGUGACGGAGUGAAUUCUACUGAUCGUUGUUUGACUGAGAGCAUCUUGAAAACUAACAAUGGCUCUAGGCACACAGCUAAAUUAUUGGGUACAAGUACCCCCAGGACUCGAUAGCAUGAAAUUGACAAGACAUGACACUUCUUGAACACAUGACCAUAGUUAACAAUUCAUAGUACAACCAUUGGGGAUUUUCAUGAAGUAUUUUCAUGUCAUAAGCUUACACAUGAAUAGGAAUUCUUAUAAACUUGUCAUAAUUUCGUAAGUCUAAUCUCAUGAGCAUUCCACCAAACCAUUACAAUGCAUAACAAUAACAUGGAGGUCAUUGUGAACAUAAGGGUAAAGCAUGGAUUCAUCAAUUUGGUCACAAUUGAGUCAUAAAGCAUAAGUCUUAUUCUUUUUGGUAUUUUUGUUAACACCUUGCAUGCAUAACUUGAGGCUUAGGCAUUCAUGGCAACAUUUUUCACUUCAAAUACAAGAAUUCCAACCACAUGCUAACAUAAUUUCAUUAUAUGUAUUAAAGAUUUCAACUUGGUAAUCAUACAACAAAAUAAACAUGGAUAUGAUUCAAUUCAUAACAUGGAUUUCAAAAUUUAUAUUUCUGAAAGGGUUUCUUGGGCUUCAUGGGUGAAACAAACCCAUGAAUCAACACCUUACAUACCUUAGAACGUAAAUCCUUAAGGGUUCUUGAAGGAAUCCUUGUGCCUUGUCCUAAAAUUUUGAAACUAGGGUUUCUUGCUUUUGAGAGGGAAUGAUGAACUUUGGGGAAACUUGAGCAAGUAAUGAAAUAUUUAGGUUGUUUAGGGAUUAAUUUCAUGUUUUAGGGCUGAAUAGUGUGGGAGAAAUGAUCCCUUUACCCCCUAAACGCGUAGUAAAAAUUUUUGUAAAACAGGAUUGGCCUCGCGAUGUGACCCAUAGAAAUGUGAACUGGCCCUUGCAAUGCAACAUCUAAAACGGGAUUGGACCUAGCGACGUGGGUAUAUCACGAGACUUUACUAUUUUGGGCAACCAAACUAGCCUUUACGCUAUUAGAAAAAUCUUGAAACUAACUCGAGAUGUACUAUUGACUUACCCCAUCAUGAAUCAACUUGAAAAUCAACAAAUAGAGGUCGGGAAUGUAAUGAAAUAAAUCCUCAGAGUUUGAAGGCUUAAAAUAAGACUAAAUAUUUAGCACUUGGCAAAAAUUUUCUGAGUGUUGGAUCUUUUAUAGAGCUUUAAGGGGCUUAAUUUGACUUAGACUUUUACAGGGUCUUACAAUAUCUCCCCCUUGGGAACAUUCAUCCUUGAAUGAGACUUAUUGAGAGGGGAGAAAUGAUAAGUGAAGUACCCACUGAACAUGAAUAACUAAAAAUGAUUACAUGACUAACAUGACUGAUUUACUGGAACUCAUAUCGAACAUACAUAUCUGAUGCAUGGUUUCAUGGCUAAACUGAUUCACGAAUGCAUGACUGGUAUUUUUGAUAAACUGAGUUUCUCACAAAGAGAAUGCAUAUCUGAUGCAAGAAUAUGUGACUGAUCUGAUACAUGACCAUAUGACUAAAUAUGCAAUGGUAUUUGAUACCAAGUUUAUGAUGGGAAUCUGAGCGUGAAACUGGUUUGUAACUAAAAUCUAAACAUGAAAUCGAAUAAGCUUGAGGAAAGCUAUUACCUUGGGUUGAGUUUGAGUUUACGGAGAAGAGGUAAGGAUACUUGGUCCGCAUAUGUACUUCUGCUUCCUAAGUAGCUAUCUCAACAGACUAAUUCCGCCAAAGAACUUUGACUAGAGGGACUUUUUGUUUCUCAGUCUGCGAGUCUGAUAGUUAAGGAUUUCGACUGGAAUCUCUUCAAAAGAAGGGUUGUUCUGAAUGUCUAUGCCCUCUACAAGGACUACAACUGUUGGGUCCCCUAUGCACUUCUUAAGCAAGGAGACAUGAAAUACAGGAUUCACUAAAGCUAGAUCUGAAGGAAACUUGAGCUAAUAGGCUACUUUGCUGAAGUGACUGAGAAUUUUAAAGGGACCAACAUAUCGAGGACUGAGCUUUCCCUUCUUUCCAAAUUUCCUUACUCCCUUUAAGGGAGAAAUUUUUAAGUACACCUGCUCACCAAUCUCGAACUCGAGAUCCUUUGUACGCACAUCUGCAUACAAUUUUUGUUAGCUUUAAGCUGUCUUGAGCCAUUCUCUGAUCAACUAAACUUUCUCUAAGGUGUUGAAUACCAAGUCAGGCCCUAUCACAGCGGCCUCACUAAUUUUGAACCAACCGAUUGGAGAUCUGCAUAUCCUAUCAUAGAGAGCUUCGAAUGGAGCCAUCUAAAUACUGUAAUGAUAGCUGUUGUUGUAUGCAAACUCAAUCAAAGGCAAGUGGUCAUCCCAACUACCUUUAAAAUCAAUUACACACGCCCUUAGCAUUUCUUCCAAGGUCUGAAUGGUCCUUUUUGCUUGACUAUCUGUCUGAGGAUGAAAGGCUGUACUGUGAUAAACUCGGGUACCAAGACCCUUUUAGAACACUUUCAAAAAGUGGAAGGUGAACUGGGUACCUCUAUCUAAGACAAUGGAUAAUGGAACACUGUGUAAUCUGACCAACUCCUUGAUAUAGAGUUUAGCGUAAUCCUCGGCUAAAUAAGAGGUGUGUAAUGGAAGAAAAUGAGAUGAUUUGGUCAUCCUGUCUACAAUGACCCAAACUGAAUCAUGUUGAUAAAGAGUACGAGGCAAAGCCAUCACAAAGUCUAUGUUCACUUCUUCCUACUUCCAAGUGGGAAUAUUGAACUCCUGCAUGGACCUACUAGGCUUCUGAUGCUCAAUCUUAACCUGCUGACAUGUAGAGCACUUAGCUACAGACUCUGCAAUAUCUCUUUUCAUCCCAAUCCACCAAUAGAUCUCUCGUAAAUUAUGGUACAUCUUAGUAUCCCCUGGAUGAAUUGAGUAACUCACACCAUGCACUACUGUAAGAAUUUACUGCCUUAAGUCAUCAACACCUGGCACACAUAGAUGACCCUAACAAUGCAAUACAACAUCCCCCCCUUGGGAGAAAACCUCAACCUUUUGAUCCUUGAACGAUUCUUUCAACUUGACUAGACUGAGAUCUUUAUCUUACUUUUCCUUAACUUUGAAAACUAGAGAUGAUUCUUAACUGUUCUGAACCCAUAUACUACCUUCAGCUGAAUCGACUAAGCAGACACCUAGUCGGGCAAGCUGAUGGACUACCAGAGCUAAUUUCCUCUUACUAUCCUCAACAAAAGAAAUACUACCCAUAGAUAAUCUAUUGAGAGCAUCAACCACUACAUUGGCCUUGCCCGAAUGGUAAAAGGGCACUCAUGUCAUAGUUUUUCAAAAGCUCUAACCACCUUCUUUGAUGGAGGUUAAAAUCUUUCUGAGAAAAUACAUACUGAAGUCUUUUGUGAUCUAUGAACACAUCUAUAUGCACCCUAUAAAAGUAAUACCUUGAUGUUGGCGUAUUUAUACGUUUAAGCACCAUAACUUACCCAUGUUUUAGCUAAGUUUUGAGGAUAAAAUACAUAAUUCUUGCACUUUUAGCCUAGUUUUAGUAAGUGAGCUGACCUAUGUUAUUAGCAUGCUUUUCAGGUACUAAUGAGGAAGAUUUCAGCCCUUUAGGGACCUGUGGACAACAAAGGAAAACUUCACAUAACAAGGAAAGCAACUCUUGGACUGAAUGUGAAGCAUGGGAACUUUUUCUCGGGCAAACUCACUAUUUUUAAAUAGUUAAAGAUGCAGUAGAAAUUUAUUAGAGAAGGAUGUUAUUAAAAGCAUUAUUGCUGAAUUUUUAUUAUUCAUUAUUAAGAAAAUUCAGAUUCUGUAUUAUUUUGAAACCAGAGAAAGUGACUUAGUUGAGCAACGGAGAGAGGGAAACACGUUUCUCUCUAAAUUUCGCUUGUCAUCUUCAUCACCAAGAUUGUUCUAAGUUUUGGUAUGAUGAAUAUUUCUAUGUUGAUUUCCGUUUUAUUCAUGAGUAGCUAAGUUAUUUGUUAGGGUUAUGGAAACCUUGUAGUAUACUCUCUAUUGCUAUGGGUUUGUGAAUUUAUGAUGUGUAAUCCACUUAUAUCAUUACUCUCUUCAUUUUAAUUGAAUUCUCAUGGUUGCAAACAUAGGAAUGCGCCAUUAUAACAAUAACUUGCUCUAUAGAAAAGUUACUAUUUGGAAAAGAGAGUGUGACAAGAAAAUAGGGUUUCCAACCUCUAUUUACACGUUAAUGCCCUAGCAGGAUUAACUUCUUGGAGAGUUCGUACAAUUUGUUGUACACUUUGGAUUCAAGAGAACUAAGGUGAAUAAAUCCUUGAUGGUUGAAAAACACUUGGAUUUAGAAUUAGAAUAUGUCUCUCUAUAAGUGCAUGCAUGUAUAAAAUUCGUAUUACUCAUAGUUAAUAGAGAAGUAGAAACUACAAGGUGGACAUAACCCUAACUUGUCAUUCUCUGUUAUCAAAUAUAAUUACACAUAUCAUCUCAUCAUUACACAGAUAAUAUUAUUGUGUACUUAAACCAAACCCCCCUUAUCUUGGAACCUUCGACCAACAGUCUAAUAAUAAUUGCAAUACUUAGUGAUUAUAGUUUCCAUGUGGGAUUCGACACCCAACCCAGUUGGGUUCUAUAUUUGACAGCGACCGCUUACACUUUCUAACGAGAGUUGUAAUUUGGGCGUAUCAAAUUUUGGCGCCGUUGUCGGGGAAUACGGUUGUCAACUAAGUUUGUGAUAGUUAAUAGACCCUUUGGUCAAAGAUUCACAAAUUUUACUUUUUGUUUGUUGUUUUUGUUUUGUUCAGGUUUAGUGGAGUGCAUGACAAAUACACAAAGUUCUGGUCAACCAUUAUUACCUAUAACUCCUGAACCACAUCUUAUUGGUAGAAUGGAUACGCAAAGUGACCUUGAAAGGAUAGCUACUCAACAGGAGCAGGAUAGAUUAGCUGCAUUGACAGCUGCACAAGUAAAUCAACAGAAUGCUGAUAAACCAGGUCGGGUACUGAAUCUUGAUGAUGAGGACUUGGGUGAUGAUGAGUUAUUAAAUCCAAGGCGUGCAGAUGAUGUGGUUGCACCAGUGAACAGGAAUGUCAACAGAGAUCAUCAAGCUAGAAUGAGACCUAAACGCCGAGCUGUGCAGGUUGCUUUUGAUGAUGAUGAUGACGACUUAGAUGGAGCUGGUGCCACAGGGGAUAAUAUUCCUCCGCCCUUGGCACUCGGAGCCAAGUUCAAUAUCACUAGCACCAUGAUCCAGCUAUUGCAACUCAAAGGGUUAUUUGGUGGACUUGCAGGCGACGAUCAGAAUAUGCAUCUGAUUAAUUUUAUCUCAAUAUGCAAAUCGUUUGACAAUCCAGGGGUUGGACAAAAUAUGAUCCGGCUGCGCUUAUUUCCAUUGUCUCUAUCUGGAGAGGCAACUCUAUGGUUAAAUGGGUUAACUCCUAACUCUAUUACCAAUUGGAGGCAACUGAAAGAAGCUUUCCUAGAAAGAUUCUUUCCGCCAUCCAAGAGAGCACAAUUAAGAGAUGAGAUAAGCAAUUUCAGAUAGCUUCCAACUGAAGCUCUCCACGAGACAUGGGACAGGUUCAAUAAUAAGCAUAUGCGGUGCCCAAAUCAUCAGAUGACCAAUGUCCACUUGAUGGAAAUAUUAUAUAGGGCUUUGAACUCGGUGACUAAGCCAGUGGUAGAUAAUGCCACGGGUGGGUCAUUCAUGGACCUUACUUUUAUUGAGGCAUGUGAUAUGCUAGAUCGUAUGACAAAGCAGAGUAGAGCGUGGCAUACCAGGGAUUUUGAGGUAGCAAGCUCUACUGUAUCUACUGGCAUGAAAGCAAAAUAGAGGCGAAGAGAAGAGAAACGUGAACAGGAUAUGGCUCACAUGAAAACGCAGAUGGGCCUUUUUACUAAGCAUUUAUUAUCAAGGAAGAUAAAAAAGAUCAAGGCUGUUGUAUCACAGGGAAGAGAUGACUCCAAUUCUGAGGAGGAAGCAUCUUACUUGAAUAAUUAGGGGGGUUUUCAAGGCAAUGUCCAAGGAAACCAAGGUCGGAACUAUUAUGAAUAAUUCAGAUACAAGGACCAAGACCAAGGGAAUUGGAAGAAUAAGAAUGACAGGAGCGGUUUGUAUGUCCCUCCUGGAAAUCGUGAAGCUGCUGCACUUAGCUCUGGAAAGAUAUCCAUGGAGGACAUGAUGGCUAAGCUGUUGAAAGGAGUGGAGGCAACCAACACGGGAGUAACUAAGGUAAAAAAUGAUUUGUCCUCAAUAAAUCAGUUGGUUGACUCGUAUUCUACUUCAAUGAAAUAGCUGGAACAAUAAAUGAGUUAAUUAUCAGCGGGAUUCAAUCAAAAUCCAAGGAAAGAUGGAUCAUGUUUGGCUAUUACAACCAGGAGUGAUAAAGUGUUGGAAAAUCCAUCCAAGGGCAAGCCCGUGGUUGAUAGUAUAGAUGAGAAUGCUAUUGAAGCAAAUUGUGAUGAUUCUGUAGAAGUUGAAGAUCAGGAUGAGAACAUUCAUGAUACUACACCUAGAUGUCAGCAGUUUGAACAGAUUGAUAAUGGGAAGCACAAUAAAAAGGAAGUGGUGGGGAAAACUCUUCCAAAUCCACCACCACCUUUUCCUCAGAGACUGAAGAAGAAAGCUGAUGACACCAGGUUCAGUAAAUUCAUGACCAUGAUAAAGCAGCUGACUAUAAAUGUUCCUUUGGUGGAGGCACUGGAGCAAAUGCCAGGAUACGCCAAAUUCAAGAAGGACCUUUUGACAAAGAAAAGGGCAGCGAGCUAUGAACUGGCAGAUAAUUUUCAUUAUUGCAGUGCAAUUACCAUGAGGUCUCUGGUACAAAAAAAGGUAGAUUUGGGUGCUUUCACUAUUCCUUGCACGGUUGGAUCUUUAGAUUUUGCUAAGGUGUUAUGUGAUUUGGGGGCUAGCAUUAAUUUGAUGCCACUAGCCAUUUAUAAACAGUUGGGGUUGGGCGAUCCUACACCAACCAACAUGCGGCUUGUAAUGGUAGAUANNNNNNNNNNNNNNNNNNNNNNNNNNNNNNNNNNNNNNNNNNNNNNNNNNNNNNNNNNNNNNNNNNNNNNNNNNNNNNNNNNNNNNNNNNNNNNNNNNNNNNNNNNNNNNNNNNNNNNNNNNNNNNNNNNNNNNNNNNNNNNNNNNNNNNNNNNNNNNNNNNNNNNNNNNNNNNNNNNNNNNNNNNNNNNNNNNNNNNNNNNNNNNNNNNNNNNNNNNNNNNNNNNNNNNNNNNNNNNNNNNNNNNNNNNNNNNNNNNNNNNNNNNNNNNNNNNNNNNNNNNNNNNNNNNNNNNNNNNNNNNNNNNNNNNNNNNNNNNNNNNNNNNNNNNNNNNNNNNNNNNNNNNNNNNNNNNNNNNNNNNNNNNNNNNNNNNNNNNNNNNNNNNNNNNNNNNNNNNNNNNNNNNNNNNNNNNNNNNNNNNNNNNNNNNNNNNNNNNNNNNNNNNNNNNNNNNNNNNNNNNNNNNNNNNNNNNNNNNNNNNNNNNNNNNNNNNNNNNNNNNNNNNNNNNNNNNNNNNNNNNNNNNNNNNNNNNNNNNNNNNNNNNNNNNNNNNNNNNNNNNNNNNNNNNNNNNNNNNNNNNNNNNNNNNNNNNNNNNNNNNNNNNNNNNNNNNNNNNNNNNNNNNNNNNNNNNNNNNNNNNNNNNNNNNNNNNNNNNNNNNNNNNNNNNNNNNCUUUUCAACUCCAGACUGAAGCUGUUUCCAGGUAAGUUGAAGUCUAAAUGGUCUGGUCCAUUCAGAAUCAGCCAAGUUUACUCAUCUGGAGUAGUGGAGUUAGAAAACGAUGAUGGUAGUGUCUUUAAGUGGAAUGGCCAAAGAGUGAAGCUAUAUAUCGGUCCAACCGACUCGAUAAAAUGUAUAGCCACCAUAUAUCUUGAUGAAGUCUGAGUAAUCGAGAUAACUAUGUCGUGACGCGACAAUAAAUCAAGCGCUAUAAUGGAGGCAACCCAUCAUUUUUAAUCAUUUUUGUUUUACUAGGAGUUUGUUUUUGAUAAAUAAAAAUUCAAAAAGAAGAGUCGAGCCACGACCAAAACUAAAGCGCUUGGUGGGAGGCAACCCAUCCUUCUAAUCAUUUUUGUUGUUUUUGAUUAAGUGUAGGUGCAUGAAGUACAAAGGAGGAGAUUAGCCCCAAAUUUUGAAUUGAAAGUGAGCCAUGUCAAUGGUGGUAAGUCUAGGAAUGAUGGAACAAUACAGGUAAGUGGGAAUGGUCAAAUGUGUAAGGCUCAAUGAGAGGUUAGGCGCUGCCUAUGCCAACAUAGGCAAUAGGUUAGGCACCGCCUAUGCCAUUGCCUAUGCUCACUGCCUCACAUAGGUGAUAGGCUAGGCGCCGCCUAUGCCAACAUAGGCAAUAGGUUAGGCGCCACCUAUGCCAACAUAGGCAAUAGGUUAGGUGCCGCCUAUGCCAUUGCCUAUGCUCACUGCCUCACAUAGGCGAUAGGCUAGGCGCCGCCUAUGCCAACAUAGGCAAUAGGUUAGGCGCCGCCUACUUAUUCUUAGGCAAUGCUAUAGGCGCAGCCUAUCAACAUGACUUUUGCCUACUAACCCAUUUGUGAAUGGACCAACCCGACCCAUGGCUCAUCCUUUAAAUAUAUCCUCUACCCUUGAACACCACUUAAUUGUUUCUUAAACCUAAGCGCCACCUAACCACCCUUGCCCUCCCUAAGCUCUUCUCUUUUCUCAUCUAAUCCUGCAGGCUCACCUUCCCGAUUCAUCACGAAUUAAUCACCAAGUAAGUUGUUCUUUCAUGUUCCGUAGUUGUUUAAGUUCUACGCUUAUAAUGGUUAACUAGAUUUUGUAGUAGUGCUUGGUGAUAAGAAUAUGGUUGGUUUGUUAUGAUUUUUGAAAAGUACAUCUCAUUUAGUGCAAGGAUUCUUGUGGGUAUUCUUGAUUUUACUCCGACAUGUAUUGAUUGGUAUUGCAUAAUUUUAGGAGUUGUAAGCUUGACUAUAUGAGUAACUCGUUCAUCGAAGUAAUGAUCAUGGUUAACCAAAAGCAUAAGAUUGUGUAAUUAUUUCUCUGCUAUAGCAUGAUAAGAUUUCUAGGUGGUGGUCUUGCUCAAAGAUUGCAUUGCUCCAAUGAAAUAAAGUUGGAAAUGAUAGUCAAGAUUACAUGACCAUUGUGUGCUGCUUCUUUAUAUCAAACUGAGAAAUUGUUAUUUAAAGUGAAGGGUUGAAAGUGUGACUGCGCUAAUAAUGUUGUUGGGACAUACCACCUAACUGUAUGUCGAUGAAGUCUGAGUAAUCGACAUUACUCACUCAAUUAGAUUGUGCAAACAAAUUAAGUGUGGGGUGGUGCCUUCACUAUUUUCUUUUCCGAUUAUAGUGAAUUUUACGAAAUGAGACUGACAUGACCCUAUUAUGAUCUCAGGUAACAUGACUCCGAAAGGACAACAGGGAAAGGAGAAAGCAUCCACCUCACAAAAAGGUCAAAAAAGGUCAAGAAAGGACCAGGCUGAUUCNNNNNNNNNNNNNNNNNNNNNNNNNNNNNNNNNNNNNNNNNNNNNNNNNNNNNNNNNNNNNNNNNNNNNNNNNNNNNNNNNNNNNNNNNNNNNNNNNNNNNNNNNNNNNNNNNNNNNNNNNNNNNNNNNNNNNNNNNNNNNACUAAAUCUUGACUUUAUCUUCCGAGACAUGGGCGAAUGUAAUCUUAAUUUGACUCGAGAGUUUUAUGCCAAUUCGUCCCCAAGGACUGCGAGAAAUGAAGUAAAGAUUCGGGGGCAAGUUUUGCAAUUGAACGCUGAUUUCUUCAACUCUUUCCUGGGUACUCCAAGUGUGGAUCAAUCACCACUCAAGGAGCUCUACAACAGACCUCCCUACAGAGCCAUCAGACAUACGUUGUGUGGAUCAAGGUCCAUGACCUGGUGGACUCAUCACAAAGAUAAUGGUCGUCACAAUACUUACCCAUAUACUUGUUUGAACAGAGAAGCUCGCAUAUGGUUAAGAAUAGUUAGUUCCUGCUUGAUUCCUGGGAUAUAAUACACUAAGGUCAUGCGUGAUCGAGUCUGCUUGGUAUAUGCUCUAAUGACGAAUGUUCCCAUCAACAUUGGUGCAGUUAUACGAACGUCGAUGCAAAAACCAAGGGUGCACAAAAGGUCUCAUUUUAGCUUUGGCAACUUGUUGACUGGAAUUUUGAGAAAAGAGCAUAUUGAGGAGGAGCCAGCAGACCAUAAGUUGCCACAUAACCCAAAGAAGGUAGAUCUCACAAAAAUCAAAGAUCCAGACACUGUUCAAGGCAUCAACCUUACCACUGCUGAGAGACAUGCUCGAGAUGAGAGUUUUUUUCGCCAUCUGUAUGGCAUGACUAGGUUUACUAUAAUGAAUGAGGGUCGUGUGCCAACUGAUGCAGAGCUUCGGCAGUUAGACUAUGACUACCCGCUUAAUGAGCAUGCUCGAGCCAUGUGUAGAGUGGGGGUAAAUUUUGAAGAGUCUCUAGAUGAUAAUGUACCGACAGACGAUGAUCACCAGCUGCUAGACUCUGAUGUGGAGGGCAACUCUGAUGAUGAAGACUCUAAUGAUGAUUCUAACGCAAGGGGUAUGACCCCGGAUAUAGAGGAGGAGUCUGACUAACCAGGUUUUUGCUUAUUUAUUUACACUGAGGACAGUGUAUUCCUUCUUAGUAUGGGGUGUUGCACUGCGUACUGCUUGGCCGCAUUUAUUCUAUAGUCAUUUUAAUUUAGUUAUAGUAGUUAGUUGUAAUUAGUCAGAUUUUGCAUGAAAUUGUUCUUAUAGACGGCAUGGCAUUAUAACAAUAGUUUGUGCUGAAUCAUUACUAUUGAAACAUUUAGGCUCUAAGUUGUGACUCAAUCUGUGGUAAUUGUUUGUGGUUUAAUUCAUUUAUCUGUUGGGUCAAGAAUCUAUAAUGCUCCCAAUUAAGUUGACCAUGUGCAAUGUGUGUGUAAGGUUAUUGUAUAUUCUUUGUUGCGACUGAUGCUAGAACUUGCCUAGUUUAUGUGUGAAGCGAAAUAAAGAUUGUGAGUUUAGGAGAUGAUUUAGGCAUUUCUUGGCAUCCCUGAUUUUUUAUCUUUUUUUUUUUACCUACCUUUGUACAUUGUCCUAGUGAACACCCUUUGAGCCUUUAGCUAUUUUCUUUGGCAACCCCAUAUGUAGCCUAAUCCAUUUUUUUUGAAAAGACCAUAAUUUGAUCCAAAAGCUCCUAAGCACUUUAAAUUGUAGAAUCAGGUUGAGUAAAGAGUGUGGCAAAAUAAGAGGAAAAUGGUGAAAGUGAUGCCCCAAAGUUUAGUUAUUGGUACAUGAAAAUAUGUGAUCAAGGGUGGCUAUCAUAGGGAUGCUUAGUAAAAAUAAAGAAAAAAAAAAGAGAUGAAAAAAAUAAAAAAAAUAAAAAAAAA